rnacentral:lncRNA from 1 species
UUCAUUGUAAAUGAGAAGAGUACUCAAGACAUAUUUGGUACUCUCUUUUGAAGGACCAUAUUUAAUAUUAAUUUCUUUCAAUCUUGUUCUUUCUAUUCUUGACAAACUUUUAAAAUAAAAAAUGAGGUAGCCUAACCAUUCUUGCAACUGAUUUGUGGUGCCAAGAAACUCCAAUUCUGUUGUCUUAAAGAUUCUUGUUGCAGUAAGUUGCUGGGUCAUGUACUAGCAAUAGAGUGGUUCGGGAGUUUGUACAAGGAAUACUUCUCUGAUUUUUAACUUGAAUUACUGUAAGUGCCUUUGUCCUUCACCCUUGAGGUCUGGCUCGAGUCGUGAAGGGGAGGCUUUGUGGGAGGUUCCAGGUUCAAGUCCCAAUGGAGACAAAGAUAUACCUAGCAAAAAAAAAAAAACACAAAGAGUGCUUUUAUCUUUCAUAAUUUUAUUUUAGUAAUUUAGUUUAGCAAAAUGAUGUUAGACACUAACAAUUAUCAUGGUUAAUUUUGAUUCUAGAAACCUUGAACACAUUUUUUUUCUUUUUGUAAUGUUUACAACUUUAUUUUUAUUUUUAUUUUUAUUUUUGAGUUAAUGGAUAGCAUAACAAUCUUUUUCUGUUCUUUAGUUUUCUUCUGACAUUUUACUGCAGUUUUUUAAGGGCCUUAACAUCACAGCAGAUCAUAAGAAAAUCUUCAGGAAGGCAUUUCAUACUUAUUAUGAUGCUGCUGCUGAGCUACUUCAGGCUGAGCAUACGGUGAGAGUUCUGCUACCAACUAUAGCUUGUUUGUUAUAUUGUAUGCUGAUUGUUGAACUAUAUUACCUGACUUCUUUUGAUAAUCUUUUUCCAUCAUACUAUUGUUUCCCCUCAUGCUAUAUCUUUCUUACUUUCUGUCUUAAUAUAAGUCACUUCGCCAAAUGGAGCAUGAAAACGCAAAAAUCCUAAAUGCCAAAGGGGAGCUUAGUGAUGAAAAUGUUUCUUCAUAUGAGAAGCUGCGGAAGUCUUAUGACCAUUUGUAUCGUGGUGUCUCAUCGUAAGUGUUUUUCUGAUUCUAUUUUCCAUUUUCUGGUAUCUAUUCAAGGCAUAUUGUUGAGUGGUGGUUUGAAACUGUGGGAGUGAGAUGUACCCCAGAGUGACUGCAAAAAUCUCUCAGGAUUAUUCUUGCAAUGAACCUAAAAUAAUUUGAAGAAAGGAAAUUAGUGUAUAACUUAGCGUGAAAAAUAAAGUUUGAGAAGGAUCCCCCUGAAAUAAUUGUCUUGAAUGCAUCCAUUUAAUGGACAAAUGGAAGUUGGGGCAACCCCAGACAAACCAAGCCCCAAAUGAACUGAUUCAGAUUUAGGCCUCCUGUACCUGAUGAGUGUGCAUCCAACUGGAUUUGUACCCCACUAAAUCUAACUCAACAAAGCGAACUCAUAAUCCAACUACAUGGGUUCAGCUAUUGGAAUUGUUUUACACCAUUCAGCUUUAUGUAUUUCCAUAUCUUCUGCUCAAUGUUUGCCAAUCAUGUCUUCUUCCACUGCUUCAGUCCCCAUGCUCUUUUUCAAUCCAUUGUUUCCUUUUGGUCUUUUCUUCUUUGAUAGGUAAUUUUUUUUCCUUUUGGUCUUAAGGUCUAUAAAAUUAUAAUUUUAAAUAUAAUUUGUUUGGCCCCAAAUAAAUGGGUAGGGAUUUUUUUAGAUAAUAAACAGAUAAGGUUUGAGUUGGGUGAUGUUGACAUGAAGUCACUUGAGCUCAAUCUGUUAUCUCUAAACUUACAAAUAUAGAGGGGUGAAUGGUCAUUGACACAGGGUUUGUGCAUGUUUUGAUGUCAGCUAUACAGGCUGCUGAUGUUAGCAUGGAAUGGUAGUAGUGUGAUUAGGGAGUUCUGUUCUUUUUCUUGCUAUAUAACUUUGCUACUGAGUGCAUUGCGGAUUCUUUGAUUUCUGGAUUUUAAUUGAAAAGAACAAAGUAUUUCAAUGAGAAGUAAGACAAGAAGUGGUUGGAUUUAUGUUGGGCUCAUUGGGGUUUUGAGGGUUGGUUACCUGUUGAACAGUUUGAUCUCUUAGCCUCAUUAUGUUUCACUUGAAGUGGACAUUAUCCUUGUACCUAAUUCUUUCCUAAUAAAACAGUUUCUCUUGUCUCCUAUUGAAAAAAGAAUGAUAAGUGGAAAAAUGGAGAAAGGAAUAGAAAUAACUUGAUUCCUUCAACUAUGGACUUUAGAUUCUCAUAGUUAGUGCAUCAACGUGCGGAGAAACUAAGUGGAGGUAUGAUGAUAAAUUUUGUAACUGUGUACAAGGGUAAAAGACACUUUCAUCGUCUUUUGUAUUUUAAGCUGGUGGCAAGAUCAAUUUAAAUUGGUAUCAGCUUUUACCACGAGCAAAAGCUAGUCUCAUUUGGUUGAAUUAUUGAAAAAAAUAAAGAUGUUAUUGGUUUUAAAUAACUCAGAAGGAUGUAACUUGGUUAUUAUUCAAGGGUUUCAGUAAAUCACUGCCUCAUCAUGACAAAGAUAGUUACAAUAUUUUGUGUGUUGGUAGUUAACAUGUGAAGAAGAAAAGGAAUUUGCUGGGUGAUGAACCAGAAGAUCUGAGCAAUCUUUUAAGAUAUAACAUGAGUGAUUGUGUCAGUUACAAUUUUUAAAAACAUGAAUCUAAUAUCACACAACAUCAAACUCUCAACCUAAAAAAGUUCAUAUUGGUUCUAGAAGACCAUAACAGCUGUGAGAAAAGUAUUGUACUGAUUCAUAGAGAUUUAAUGAGUACAUUCCCCUUUAAACAGUAUAGCUAAUAUCCAUCAGAUAAUAGCUCUGCUAGCUUAUUCCUGAAAAUUGAUGGAAAUCUUCUUUAUGGUCCAUGUUUCUGAAACCUUCAAAUGUUUUACAAUGUUAAUUCAAAAUGCCCUAGAAUACAUGUUUCUCAUAGUGUUUUAUCAGGUGUCAUUUUAGGGUUCCUUCCUGCUUCAAUAUCCUUUUCCAUAUCCUGCCCCCGCCCCUCUCCCUGUCUUCUUUUGGCUUUUCUCUAAUUUAUGUGUAAUUGAUUUUAUUAGUUUUCCACUUUUUUCUUAUAAGAAUUUCAUAUCACAGCCUAGCUGAAGCACUUGAUAUGCAACCUCCGGUGAUGCCAGAGGAUGGUCACACAACUAGAGUCACAUCUGGAGAAGAUGUCUCUUCUCCUGCUGCAAAAGAAUCUUCUGCUCUUGAAGCAGUGUGGGAUGAUGAAGAUACAAGGGCUUUCUAUGAAUGCUUACCAGAUCUCAGGUUUGUUUUGGGUGGAUUAUCUUUGUUCAAAUGAUGGUUAUACAUGUCAAUAAUUAUAAUCAUUUUUGUUGGCUGGGUUGCCUUUUAGAUGAUGGCUCUUGGCAAAAUACGCCUACUGAACUACACUAUCUGUGUGUUCUAUGCAGAGCAUUUGUUCCUGCUGUACUAUUGGGAGAAGCAGAGCCCAAAGUGAAUGAGCAAUCUGCAAAGACACAAGAGCAACCAACUGUAAGGAAUCAAUGUCCUGGAUUUUGUUAGAGGCUUUACGUUUCCUAGAGUUAUCCAUCACACAAAAAUUGUCUGUUUUUUUUUUUUUUUUUUUUUAAAUUAUAAAUAUUUGUGCUUUUUUAUUUUACUCAUAUAUAAACAUGAUUUUGCCCCAGAUCUGCUCUUUUUCUUUUAUUGACCAAAAAAAAAAAUAGUAGUUUCAUCAUUCUGGGUUAAGUUCACGUCAUGCCAUUCCCCUUUAUUCUAACCAUAUUUGCUGGGAAUUUCAAAAUGAUUUUGUAGUUGUCUUGAAAGAAUAGUUGGAUUUUGCAACAAGUGCGCAUGACUGAAUUUCAGCAUAUUUCCUAUCUGGUCCAGCUCCCAAUCAUUGAAAUCUCUAGCCAAUCUGAGAUUCCAACCUCCUUGACCCAGACUAGAGUCCCACACUUCACUUACUUUGGCAUUCCUAUGACCCGCCAAGGUAAACAGCUGUGGGAAAAUUUGAGAAAGCGCCUCAUUGCCACACCACUUAUCCGUCCAGAACAAAACUCUGGUCCCCUUCCCUACCUUAAAAUCAAUGCUCUCCCAGCACCAAUCAGCUUCCUUCAUGAUCUCCUUCCAUAAUCCCACUCCAUAAGGCCCACAAACUUCCUUAGUCCUCCACCCACACUCCUUUUGACCAUACUUCACCCCUAUCACCAUUUUCCAAAGGUUCUCUUUCUCAUAGGCAUAUCUCCACACCCAUUUGCCCAGCAAGGCUUUGUUCAAUAAAUCUAUCUUUCGGAUGCCUAAUCCUCCCUCCUCCUUAGGGCUACAGACCACCUUCCAUUUAAUUAAGUGAGCUUUCCUCUCCAAACUUCCUCCCCCCCAAAGGAAAUCUCUUUGGAUUUUCUCAAUCCUUUUUGUAACAGACUUAGGGAUGCGGAUAAGGGAUAGAAAGUAGAUGGGUAUGCUGGCCAAAGUACUCUUGAUAAGAGUAAUUCUACCCCCCUUCGAGAUGUAUUGUCUUUUCCACUGGGCUAGUCUUCUUCUCAUUCUCUCUUCCACCCCAUCCCAGGAAGAAGAGGUUUUAUGGUGGGCUCCAAGGGGCAGCCCCAAAUAAACAGUGGGUAAAACUCCCAAUCUGCAUCCUAGUUCAGCCGCCAGCUCCUCCAAUUCAUCCACUUGCCCAACAGGAAUUAGGGCACUCUUAGCAAGAUUAAUUCUGAGGCCCGAAGCCGCCUCAAACCACGCCAAGACCCAACUUAGAUUGGUUACUUGCUCUCUUUUUGCUUUGCAGAAAAUGAUUGUGUCGUCAGCAAAAAGGAGAUGAGAGACAAUCAGCUCCACACCCCCUCUCCCCCGAAGCCUACAGCCAGAAAGAAAGCCCCCCUCACCAGCCCGUCUAAGAAGGGUGCUAAGAACUUCCAUACCCAAGACGAAGAGAUACGGAGAGAGAGGGUCUCCUUGCCACAACCCCUUUGAGUUUGAAAAGAAACCGGCAGGCACCCCAUUGAUUAAAAUGGAGAAUUUAGCAGUGGAAAUACACCACCACAUCCAAUCCAUCCAACGAGACCCAAAUCCCAUCUUCCGAAGCACCUUCAUCAAAAACUUCCAAUUGAUGCUAUCAUAGGCUUUUUCAAUGUCCAACUUGCAUAUCAACCCUUUCUCUUUCCUUUUGUGCCAGUAAUCAAUCACCUCAUUAGCCACUAGAGACGCAUCUAAAAUCUGUCUCCCUCUCACAAAAGCAUUUUGAUCUACUGAGACGACCCUAUCAAGCACCUUCUUUAGCCUAUUCGCUAGGACUUUGGCCAAGAGUUUAUACAACCCCCCAAGCAAGCUAAUGGGCUUGAAAUCCCCUAAGUCUUCAACACCUCCUUUCUUGGGGAUAAGGACCAGAAAGGUAGUGUUGAGACAUUUGGAAAAGGACCCAUGCUCAAAGAAUUCCUUAAACAGAUCCACCACCUCCUCCUUCACAAAUUCCCAGCAUUCUUGCCAAAAAGCCAUUGUGAAUCCAUCCGGGCCUGGAGCUUUAUCUCCCCUCAUCUCCAUCAGGGCACCGUGAAUUUCCUCCUCAGAAAAAGGCCUCUCCAAGUCUUCAGCUUCCCGAAGGUUAAGUUGAUUUAGAUGCAGCCCCUCAAUAUCCGCUCUCCACUCCGGCUCUUCUGAGAGUAAAUUCUGGAAGGCGUUUACAAUCCCCUCCCUCACCUCUUGGUCCUUAGUCAGCCACUCCCCAUUAAUCAUUAUCCUGUCCAGGGAAUUAUUCCUACGGUGGGCAUUAGCCAUCCGAUGGAAGUAGCCAGUGUUCCUAUCCCCUUCCUUAAGCCACAACUCCCUUGACUUUUGCCUCCAAUGGACUUCUUCCAAAAGCACCCAUUUGUGGAAGGCAUCCUUGGCUUCCUUUUUCUGCUCAGUUUCAGCUAUAGACAGACUCCUCUCGCUCUCCACUCCAUCCCAAUAUUCCACUUGCUGUAGGGCAGAAUUUUUGUUAACUUCCAGCCUUCCAAACACCUCCCUAUUCCAGACUUCAAUUUUUUGCUUUAAAAACUUCAGCUUAGAGGCCAACCUGAAACUGGCCCUUCCUCUCACCUCAAUCCCCUGCCACCACCCCCGGAGAAGACCUUUAAAGCCAUCCACUUUCAGCCACAUGUUCUCAAAUCUAAACGGGGUGGGACCCCUCCUCAACCCACCACCCAUCAACAAAAUAGGAAAAUGGUCAGAAGUAGGUCUCUACAAUCUACAUUGGGCGAUCCCACUAAACAUCUCCAGCCAUUGCUGCGUCACCAGAAACCUAUCUAGUCUAGCCCAGGAUUGGUUAUUCCUACCCCCACUCCAAGUGAAAGCACCCCCUUGCAUGGGGAGAUCCAGAAGUUCUAAUUCAUCAACAGUUUGGGCAAAAAUUCUCAUAGCGCCAGUCAGCCUUCCCUGUCUACUCCUUUCCCUCUGGGACAGGAUGACAUUGAAAUCACCCCCUAAACACCACGGAUCUUCCCACAAGCCUCUGAUCGCCCCUAGCUCUUCCCACAAGCAUUCUCUGUCUUCUUUGGAAAAAGGCCCGUACACACCAGUAAAAAUCCAGGUUAGCCCAUUUUCCACAUUCCUAAUCCUACAGGAGACAGAAAACUUCCCCACCUCCGUCUCCAUCACCUCCAGAGACCUUUUAUCUCAACACACCACCAUCCCUCCUGCAGAGCCCACGACAUCCAAGGCCACCCAAUUAGACCACCUACCAGAGCCCAAACUUCUCACCAGACCCUCUAACAAUGACUGAAUUUUGGUCUCCUGAAGACAAAAAAGAUCCACCCUCUGACUUCUGAUCACUGCCUUGAUAACCCUUCUCUUGGAGCUGUCAUUAGCUCCACGAACAUUCCAACUGAGAAGUCGUAGCUUCAUUUAACUUCCGUAAUCUGGCACCCCCUUACUUGCUCGUCACCAUUUUGCUUCUUACCCCCUUCAUAGUUAAUGGAACACUCUAAUAUUUUCAGUUUUCUCUUGAAUUUAGAUUUCUCCAGCAGGGUUUUGCUAUGAACUCUUUCCCUUCUCUUACGAAUUUUAACCAAGAAGUCCAUAAUAUCCUUUUCAAGACCCUCUGUCGAAAAUCCCAAGAAUUACUGAACUUGGCUAGAUCACUUUUCUCCCAGCUAAGCUCCCCCUCUGCCUUAGUUGCUCGUGGCACUAUUUGGUUUAAGGCCAUCUCCUUUCCACUAUCUUCAGUUCUGCUUUUGUUGACCUUCACCAAAUCCCAGCAUUCGACAGUCUCACCCAUAGGAGACUUCGUGCCAAUGAGCAUUUGAAGCGGAUUUUCUCCCUCAUUGCGCUCCUUUUCAUCCCUAGAAUGGUUGCAAUACUCCCCCACUGGAGUCCGACCGAAAAAAGGAGAAGGAAAAGAAGGGGUCCCAAAGACCAGACAAUCGGAUUGAAAGAAAACCUUAUCGUACCUCAUUGCUUCCUCAGCCAAGGCGAGAUCAGUCAUCGAUCUCUCUUUUUGGAUGAACUCAGCCUCGCUUAGCCUGCGCAUGCCAUCCUUCUCCCAAAACAGGGGAUCUUCAGAGAAUGGUUUCCUCGAACGGCUUGGGCCACAAUUCUGGGCCACACUAGAUUGGGAACUGGUCUCCACCGAUGGGCUUUCUUCGGCUACCAAUCCAACACCCUCCAUGGGCUUCCAGAUUUUGGACCGUCUGAGAUCCACCCUCUCCUUUGGCCCAAAAUAAUCCACACAAGGGGGGGGGGGGGGGAGGGUUAAGACCCUCAGGCCCACGAGACUUCUCCAGAAGGCCCAUCGCUAAAGGCCCGCCCUGCAUUCUCGCCAUUCCCUGAAGCCCUAGGUGCGACCCACCCCUCCCGCGAAGACAAUCCAUGGGUUGCCCCGACCCAGCUGUCAGCCUCCACGUCCCAUCCGCCAACUGCGUCUGAUCCUCGAGCCUUGAGCCCCCUUCAGCCUCCAUCACGCGCUUGCCCUUGCGUGACUGAACCUCACCCUCUACCUCUCCAGCUGCUGCGAGGGUUUUUCCUUUUUCAUCGGCCGACAACAUUCUUAACGUCGGCCUGGUUUCCCACCACAAGGCUAAAGAAUAGCACAUGUUCUCAACCCAUAUGUCCACCAUAUUAGGGAUUCUCUCUUCUUUAAUCCUUACCCGAAUCCUAGCCCACUGUAGCUCCUCCAUCCUCUCCGUUUUGGCAUCGAUGUCCAAGAAUCCCCCACACCCCUCUCCUAUCUUACGGAGGAUGUCCCGAUCCCAUAAGGAGAUGGGCAGGCCAAGUAUUCUCACCCAGGCCUCUCUCUCCUUCUCUUCUUCCAUCAAACAUCCCGUCCUUUGGCUCCAUUUCUCUAGUUGUAUGUCGAAUCCAUUGACCGAUAUUACACCAUCUUUUAGGGCUUUCUCAGCUUCUAUUUUUAACUCAAAUUCCAAUAAGGCCUUGCCGUCUUCCAAUUUGGCCAGGCCUAAAUUGCCCUUCAAACCCCACAGCUUUGACAUUUGGGUCCCUCAGCUUCUCAGAUCUUCCCCUCUUCCUAGUGUUGGGUCCCAACUUCCAACAAGGCAAUGAGCCAGUUUUUCCAAUCACACUUGAUGGCCUAUUGUCAAUUUUCACCCGCACCACCUCUUCUCCGAUGCUGCGAUUCUGCUUCACCACCUCUGCGAAGGAUUUUCCCAACAUGGGACUCCAAAACUUCUCCUUAUCUUGCUGUCUCUUCUGCCUAUCUGAAACAGGCUCCAUCUCUCGCAACGCCUCCUCCAGAAGGGCCCAACCCCCUUUUGUUCCUUUGCCUUUGGGUACAAAAAUACUAAAUCUUUUCUUUUCCCGAUCCGUAACACCCAGGCGUAGGAAGCAUCCCCCCUUGUUUUCGCCGCGCGUUAAAGAGAAGGUCCUCCCAUUCUCUUGCCAAAAUUUCUCCCAAUGUCCGGUCCUCGUAUCCUUGGUGCAGAAAACCAGGCCUUCCAUGAGCGGCCCUAAACUCGCUGGUCCCAACUUUACCCAAGAGGAGACCCCUCUCUUUCUUUCCACUAUGAGGAUUUGCGUCCUACCCUUCUUUCUCUCUGUCUCGACCUCAAAGGUCUUCGAUUCUGCCCCAAAACUCCUCCUUUGAACUCCUGACUGGAUGAAACCCACUGCGUCCCCGCUCCCACCCUAGCCCCAGCUUUCUUCUCCAUCUCUCUCACACACUCUCUCUCUAGGUCUUUCUCUCUCCUCCAUCUGGCACAUGACUCAAUUUUGAAAUUCUUUCUUCACUUUAAUUUCAUUCUCUCAUCUACCUCCCUUAGUUUUUGUUAAAUGGACCUACUUCCUGAAACUUCAAAAUUUCAUUAGAUACCCCCAUAUUUUGAGAGGGUUGAAAGAUAAGUGAAAAAAAAAUAAAAAAUCAAUGAGUUUGUAAUAGUCUAAUAGAUAAUGAAUUAACCCACUUUCUUUGCCUGAACACGUGAAAAUGUUUUCCCAAACUUCCAUGCAUUGACUUUCAAGGAGGCGGCAGUAAAAUUCCUCAAAACUGCUCAAGACUUAAGGCCUACUUAAUAAUUUGUAAUUGCUUAUAGUUUCUGGAUUGAUAAUUCUAGGAUGAUGAUAUGUGUACACACACACACACACAUAGGUAUGUACGUACAUUUGCUCGAAGUUACUUGUGAUAUUGUUGUUAGUUUUCUUUUUCUUUUUUCCCUUUUGAACGAUGAACCAUUUCUAGGUUUGAUUGUGGUAACCAGGAACUUUCCCAAUCCUUUCCUAGAUAAUUCCUGAAUCCUAAGUGGCCAUUGGAGUUUGACAGUCAAUUUGUGUGGUGUUAGUCCUGGCUCCCAUGGUCUGCACUGAUAAUUUUUGGAACAGGACUAGAUAGAUGUCCAUAGCAAGCUAAGAAAAUUCAGUGCCAGUAACAUGCCCUUUGUUUUCACUUUUUAUGUCAUAUGCUCUAGUUGCCUAUCAGAAAAAAAAUAAAAAAAUACCCUUUGUUUUGUCAUAUUAUGUGUGUUGAAUAGCUCUAUUAGAACGUAUCACUUACAUAAUUAGGAAUGUGUUUGACCCGAAGGUUUGGGUCCCCAUGGGGAUUCCCAAGGGCUGCUAUGGAAGGUUCCUUGAUUAUAAAAAAUAAUAAUAAGAAUAAUUAAGAGUGUUUGUUUUGUGGGCAUCUAAUUGAAGAAUGAUAAUUAGUUUUAGAGAUAUAAGAUUACCAUGUUUGGAAAGACUAUAACUUGUGAUAUUUUAAUUUCUUGGUAUGAUAUCUUCUCAAAUUAGGUGAGUUUCAUAUUCUUCCCAACCUUAAUAUUUUCUUUUUGUAAUUCCCAUUGCUAGGGCACAAAAAAAAAAUUUGAAAGAGGACAAGUAUGUCCUUGACACUAUGAACAUGGUUGAAGGAGAACUAUAUAUACCUUUACUUAUUAUUAUUAUUAUUAUUUUGAUAGGUAAAAACACAAUAUUAUAUAUAAAGAGAAAAGGGCACCUAAAGGCUAACCCAAAGCAUACAUGGAGUAUACAACAAGCGCUUGAAGGAAAAAAAAAAUAGAGAAGAGGAGCUACAAAAAACCUCACCUGCCCUCAUCUAGAACUCAACCAAUCAAAAAAAGUUGAUUGAAGGUAAAGGUCCUUUCGUCAAUAAACAACUUAGUCCAAGACCAAAAACUACAAACAAAAGAUUUUUUCAACCUUUGAAUCGAAAGCUCCUUUUUUAUUGAAAGCAAUCUUGUUUCUUUCUUUCCAAACCAUCCAAAAUAGACAUAAAGGGGUUGCCUUCCAUGCAUUUUUGCACUUCUUGCCAACAAAGGAACCAUACCAACCAAGGAUGGUCUCUCUAAUUGACAAGGAAAGGACCCAAGUUACACCAAAGAGAGCAAAAAGUAAUUCUCACAAAACCCUAGCCUUAGUGUAGUGAAUUAGAAUGUGGUCUAUAAACUCUUCUUUGACAAGGCAAAGGAACAUUUGUUAGCUAAAGACUACCCCUUCCUCUUCAAUAGAGGGGAAGGAAACACAUAAAGCAACGUCUCUACACCAUUUAUCCUUCCAAAACCUCACCCUUCUAGCAUCACUCAUUGAGAACACAAUUCUAUUACUAAAUAGGUACCCUUCCUUCCUAAUCUUCUUCCAUAAACCCACACCAUACCCCUCCCUCACUACUCAAGUACUCCAUCCCCCUUCUUGUACCCCAUACUUCCUACUAAUAAUGUGCUUCUAAAGAGCUCCCACUUUCAUCCACUAAGCGCUAACUCCAUUUAUAUAAAAAGGCCCUAUUAAGUGAAGAAAGACAUCUAACACCCAAGCCACCUUUUCUCUCAUUUGAACAAACAAGCGCCUCCUUUACAAGGUAAGGCUUGCACAACAAGGACAUAAAGUAAAUAGGCAUGCUAGAUAAAGUGCUCUAAAUGAAAGUGAUUCUCCUUCCUUUAGAGAUAAAUUGCCUUUUCCACAUGGUUAGCCUUUUAUGAAACCUCUCCACCCCAUCUCAAACAAGUCACGGAUUUAUACAGAGCGUCCAAAGGAAGCCCCAAAUAGGAGGAGGGAAGUGCUCCCACCUUGCAACCAAGCUCAAAUGCCAAAACAUCUAAAUUCUCCACCUCACCCAAUCGGUAAAAUCUCACUUUUGUCCAAAUUGAUUCUCAGCCUUGAAAUGGCUUCAAACCACCUUAGCAACCAACUCAAGUAAGUCAUCUGAUUUUGAGAAGCCUCACAAACUACAAGCAUAUCAUCAGUAAACAUCAAAUGAGAGAUUUGAACUCCAUCACCACCCCUCCCCUUCACCCUACAACUUGACAAAAAGCCCCCACUUACAACUCUCUUAAUGAGGCUAUUGAGAGCCUCCAUCCCAAUCAAAAAUCAGUGGGGCGAGAGAGGGUACCUUUGCCUCAAUCCUUUAGUGUUAUGAAAAAAACUUGAUAGAGUGCCAUUGACCAAAACAGAGAGCCUCAUAGUAGGGAUGCACCACCUUAUCCAACCUGCCCACUUCUCCCCAAAACCCAUUUUUUGCAUCACAAGAAGCAAGAAGUUUCAAUUUACAUGAUCAUAUGCCUUUUCUAUGUUAAGCUUACAAAGUACUUUACUUUUAUUUCUUUUCAAUGGAGUCUAUAGCCUCAUUAGCAAUCAAAUGGGAUUUGGUUCAAAGUGGUUGGGUUGGAUGUGGAGUUGUUUAUUUUCAGCCAAGUUCUCAAUACUAGUUAAUGGGGUACCGGCUGGAUUUUUCCCGAGUUCUAAAGGGCUACGCCAAGGAGAUCCCUUAUCUCCUUAUCUGUUUGUUUUGGGAAUGGAAGUUCUAGAUGCUCUAAUUAGGAGGGUUGUUGCCGGGGGUUUCCUUUCAGGGUGUAGUAUUCGGGGUGGAAGAAGAACCAAUCUAAAAAUUUCUCAUCUUUUCUUUGCUGAUGACACAGUUAUGUUCUGUGAGGCUAAUAAAGAGCAUCUAACUCAUUUAAGCUGGAUUCUAUUUUGGUUUGAAGCUGCUUCAGGUCUAAGGAUUAAUUUGGACAAAAGUGAAAUCAUCCCAGUUGGUGUGGUGGAGGAGAUUGAUGAGAUGGCAGAGGAAUUAGGGUGUAGGGUGGGUUCGUUGCCUUCUCAAUAUUUGAGUUUGCCAUUAGGGGCUCCUAACAAGGCUCCUUCUGUGUGGGAUGGGGUGGAAGAGAAAAUGAGGAGGAGACUUGCGCGGUGGAAAUGGCAAUAUAUUUCCAAAGGUGGGAGAAUCACUCUCAUAAAAAGCACCUUGGCUAGCAUGCCAAUCUAUCAUAUGUCUCUAUUCCGGAUGCCUAAGACAGUUGUUAGAAGAUUAGAAAAAGUACAAAGAGAUUUCCUUUGGGGAGGGGGAAACGUGGAAAGGAAAGCUCAUCUAGUUAAGUGGGAGGUGGUUUGUGCGGACAAGAACAAGGGAGGGCCAGGCUUAAGGAAGCUAGCACUCUUGAACAAAGCUUUGCUUGGUAAAUGGAUUUGGAGGUUUGCUUGUGAUAAAGAUAAUCUUUGGAAGCAAGUGAUAAUGGCGAAAUACGAGCAAGAAGGUCAUGGUUGGAGAACAAAGAAGGCUUAUGAGGCGCUCGGAGUAGGGGUGUGGAAGGAAAUUUUGAAGGAAACUGAUUGGUGUUGGGAUAACAUGGUGUUCAUAGCUGGGAAGGGAAGCAAAAUCAGUUUUUGGAUUGAUGUUUGGUGCACUGGUAUAGUGCUGUCCCGAAAUUUCCCUCAUCUAUUUGAUAUGGCUUCCCAUAGGAAUGCUACGGUGGAGGAGAUGUGGGAUCAGAAUUUUGGUCAAGGGGGUUGGAAUCUAAGAUUCCUGAGGGAUUUUAAUGAUUGGGAGUUGGAUAUGAUAGAGGAUUUGCUCUAUGUUCUGAGGGGUUACAAGCCCUCUAUGGAGGAAGAUUCAAUUUGUUGGAAGGGAGGAAGAAAUGGAAAGUUUAGGGUCAAAGAAGCGUACAGCUUGUUGGGAAAUCCCAAUGACAUUGUAUUUCUGUCAAGUUGUAUUUGGGUGGCUAUAGUUCCAACCAAGGUUGCAUUCUUUGCUUGGGAGGCUACGUGGGGGAGGGUGCUCACUCUUGAUAGGCUCCAGAAAAAAGGAUGGCAGCUCCCUAAUUGUUGCUUUCUAUGUGGGUGUGAAGAAGAAACUGUAAAUCAUAUACUUAUACACUGUAUAGUGGUCAGAGUUCUGUGGAAUAUUGUCUUUGGGUUAUCAGGUGUGCAGUGGGUCUUUCCAGAAACUAUAAAGGAGGUCUUAACUAGCUGGAGGGGCCCUCUUGUGGGGAAGAAAAGGAAAAAGAUAUGGAAAUCUAUACCGUUGUGUAUUUUUUGGACGGUUUGGAAGGAGAGAAAUAGACUAACUUUUAGGGGGGGGGAGUGUUAGAUAUUCAAAAGCUUAAGAAUUCUUUUGUUUGUAAUUUAUGGAGCUGGGCUAGAUUGUAUAUUGGAGAGACACGUCUUUCCCUUAUAAGGUUCUUGGAGUGGUUAGCGUCCAAUUAAGGGGUGGUGAGGCUCCGUUGGUCUUCUUUUUGUUUUGAGAGAUGCUAGUUGCUUUGUAUACCCCCUGUAUGCUUUGUAGCUUUUCGCCUCUGUUUUAAUACAAUUUGCUUUACUUAUCAAAAAAAAAAAAAAAAAAAAGUCGCAUCAAGAAUUUGUGUUCCCUCGAUGAAAGGAUAGACAAAGGAGGCUUAACUUUAGCUUGAUUAUAUGGAGAGAGAUUUGCAUUUUGAUUUUUCUACUUCAUUUAUUUAUCUAAGUUUGAGUUUGUUAGAUCUAUAUGAUUUCUUCAAAGAAUUUAAUGCAUAUUUGAGUUUUUCUUCUAAUUUAUUUUUAUAGGUAAAUAUUUCUUUUCUUUUCUUUUCUUUUUUUUUUGCCCCCGCUCAAGCUCGAACCUAGCAUCUCCCACUUGAGCCAGACCUCAAGGGCAAGUUUUUCUCUAAAUUUUUGUUUGUUAGAUUUGAUUUAUUGGGGUAAAAUUAUUGGAGUUAUAUAGAUUUUUUUCCUAGGAGAUUGAGUUUUUUAUUUUUGUAAAAGAAUAUUAAUUUUUUUUAUAAGAAAAAUAGAACAUAUAUUGAAAACGUCUAUGAGGAUGCUUAGCACAUUACACAUGAAGUAUACACAAAAUGCCCAACAUAGGCGAAAAGGUUAAAAAACACAAACCCACUCUCCUUACUUUAAGUUCAACUAAUCUACAAAAUCUAUCAUAGACAUUGUAUGGUCCUCUAUAUACACCCUAGCCCAAUUCACAAAAGUAUACAUUAAAUCAGAUUUGAUUGUAUGGGUAGAGGGUGAAAUUUUGGAAAGAUAAGUGAUGUGGGAAUUUGUCCUAUGGAGAGGCUUUUUUUGCUUUGUUUUCUGUAGCUAACACAAAAGGUGUAUGCAUAACUGAGGUGUGGGAUCAAGAGGGGGAAAAGGGAUAUUGGAACCCUUGACUCUCAAGACAACUCCAUGACUAGGAGCUAGAGAGGGCAGAGGUUUUUUUCAAGCAAUUACAAUCUUAAUCUAUUGAUAGGGACAUUCAGGAUAAAAUGGUAUGGCAAAUCUUGAAGGUUGGCCUUUUUUCCAAUUAAAUCACUCUACCCUCUAUGUCUUCUGUAAGAACAGAAACCUUCCCAACAUUGUUUGGAAUUCUUGGGCUCCAGUGAGAGUAAGUUCUUUUUCCUAGGAAGUUGCCUGGUGUAGGAUAUUAACAUUGGACCUACUUAAAAACAAGGGGUGUACGAUACUGAAUAGAUGCUAUAUGUGCAAAGAAGAAGAACAAACUAUUGAUCAUCCUCCUGCACUGCUCAAAACCGACAAUCCUGUGGCAGCUAAUAUUUGCACUAUUUGGUAUAGAGUGGAUAAUUCACUCUUCAGUAAAGAAGGCACUCCUAAAUUGGCACGGAUCUUUUCUAGGGAGCUAGAGGAAAAGAACUUGGAGAAAUGCUCCCUUGUGCCUAUUUUGGACUCUAUGGAAUGAGAGAAAUAGGUGAGUGUUUGAGAAUACUGAAAGAGUAGAUCGAACACUCAAACAAUUGGGAGUUGAUUCCUUGUCCAUGUUAGACUUGAUUGACUGGCUGAGGUCAAUGUAGUGGAUGGGGGUUGAUUUUUGCGUACCCCUCUACUUGAUAUGGCUAUGUAGUGCCUUUGUAUACACCAUGUAUACUUUAGUGCGCUCCUUUGUUAGAUGUUAUUAAUAUAGUGAAUAUUUAUCAAUUAAAGAAAGUAUCUGUUGGGCUAGGUACACAUACAAAUAUUAAAUCAUGGGGUUAUGAAAUAUUCUUUGACCUCUACAUGGUCAUCUUGGCUGUCUCCAGAUCCUAUAGAGCUUUCAUUCUGUUUAUCAUUUAUUUCACUCAGCUGUGGUUCCAUGACAGGUUUUACUAGACCUUCAUUAAGUUUCUCAAACUUCCUAUCACAUAUCUGGACCAUAUCUAAGUCAUGCAUUCUCUAUUUGCUUCCAGUUUUCUCUUGUCUGGCCUUACAGUUGUCAUUCAUCAUUCUCCUUUUAAAGCUGUGCUGAAUCUAUGAAUAUGAUUCCUAAUGGCUCAACCAGUUGCUCCUUCAGUUACACUCAUCUUAUUUGUUUGUACUUCUAAUUUGAGUCCUUGGAAGCUAUUUUAUUAAGAAGCUACAUAUUCUCUACAUUAUGUGUGGUCAUAUGUAAUUGUGUUCCUUUUAUGCCAUCUCUUACUUCUUGUUAGGUGCUGAUUAAAAUAUUCCCAGUUUGCCUAUGAAAAACAAUGAAGGUUCAUAUGAUCAAUACCAGAAUGGAUGAAUGUCAAAUGCUUCUAUUGGGAAGCUUCCAUCACUAUUUUUCAUUUCACAUAGUUCAGUCACCCAUUUUAUCUCUGGACAACACGUCAUAGAAUCAUACUUCUCUACAAGGGUUGAUUCGCAUUUUUUUCUGUUGAUUGUAUUUUGCCUAAGGAUCUGGCACCUGAAGCAGACCAAAGUCAAUCAGUCAACCAAGAUGCUGCAGAGAUCUCUGUCGACUCCUGUUCUCCGCGGGAGGGGAGAAGCAAUGAGAAGGGGAAGGAUAAAGAAGAAAAAGAGAAAGAAAAGAGCAAAGAUCCAGACAAAGAAAAAGGGAAAGAAAGAGAUGCUGACAGAAAAGGAGAAAAUGAAAAGGAGAAACUGAAAGGUCUUGAAGGGACGAAUUUGGACGGUCUAUUGCAGAGGCUCCCGGGUUGCGUGAGCCGUGACCUUAUUGAUCAAUUGACUGUAAUCAUAUCUCUACUUGUUUUAGCUUUGUUGUAUCAUAUAUUGUUUUUCUUCUCAUCAUGUAUCUCUUCAAUAAGGAUCUUAUCCUUGUUUGUGGUUGGUUUUCCAGGUAGAUUUUUGUUAUUUAAAUUCAAAGUCAAAUCGAAAAAGGCUAGUUAGGGCAUUGUUUAAUGUCCCCAGAACUUCUCUAGAACUGCUACCAUACUACUCACGCAUGGUAGCCACACUGUCAACAUGUAUGAAGGAUGUCUCUUCAAUGCUCUUACAAUUGUUGGAGGAGGAGUUCAACUUCUUGAUAAAUAAGAAGGUCUGUGUAGUAGUUCAAUAUGCAUUUGCUUUGGUAAUAUAGUGUCUUGUUAUCUUAAUAGAUAUUUUGACAACAUGAUUGAGUUGAACUUGUUGCAGGAUCAAAUGAACAUUGAAACAAAGAUCAGGAAUAUUAGAUUCCUUGGAGAACUCUGCAAGUUUAGAAUUGCACCAGCUGGCCUUGUUUUUAGUUGUUUGAAGGUAUACUGAGAAUAGUCAUCCGUUAAAUAGAUUUCUAGUGUCUUUUGUAGAUAAAGUUCUAUUAUUUCUUUAGCUUGGGUCUCUAAGCACUGCCAAUGCUUAUAUAGGACCUUUUCUUUUAGCCUUUGGUGGAAUUGCUUAGAGAUAUUCCAGUGCGAGGGUGGAUGGUAGGGGUGUCUGUUAUGUGUUGGGUUGGGGUUAAUGUCUCUUUUACAUGGAUGCAAUGUAUACCUUUCUAUUGAAAGAGCAAUGAUGGAGACCUCUUAGCCUAUGCCAGCUUUAUUACUUUCAUUAGGCAUUACUUAAAUAUUUGCACUUGCCUUACCAUGUGGUGCAUUAAAUUUAACUGGAAGCUGAAUUUGAAAAUUUGUGCUACAUGUUGAGACUUGGGACAGAAGUUGCAUUUUGGUUGACUUUUAGCUUGUGUUGGAGUUCUUACUCAUAUGAGUGAUUCUUUCUGUUCUUUCCAGGCUUGUUUAGAUGAUUUUACUCAUCAUAACAUUGACGUUGCUUGCAAUCUUCUUGAGACAUGUGGCCGUUUUCUGUAUCGUUCUCCGGAAACUACUGUACGUAUGGCUAACAUGUUGGAGAUAUUGAUGCGCUUGAAGAAUGUAAAAAAUUUGGAUCCUCGUCACAGCACUCUUGUAGAAAAUGCUUAUUACUUGUGCAAACCUCCUGAAAGAUCUGCACGAGUUUCCAAAGUCCGUCCACCACUGCACCAGGUACAAGUUGCUUUUAGUUUCAAUGAUUUUCCAUCUGUUGUAAUAUGUGACGUUAGUAAUCAACCUUCCAUAUGAUGUACCCUGCAGUAUAUCAGAAAAUUGCUUUUCUCGGAUCUUGAUAAGUCUUCCAUUGAGCAUGUGCUGAGACAACUUCGUAAAUUACCAUGGAGUGAAUGUGAGCCCUACCUUUUGAAAUGCUUUAUGAAGGUUCAUAGGGGCAAGUAUGGCCAGAUUCACUUGAUUGCCUCUCUUACUUCUGGUCUGAGCCGCUAUCAUGAUGACUUUGCAGUUUCUGUUGUUGAUGAGGUUAGUACCUUUCAUCAUUCAUUGUAUUUAUUAUCUUAGAUUUUAAACAUGGUCUUGAUGACAGAAAAAGAAGAUUUCAUUCUUCUUCCUGUGCUUUCUCCUGGUUUUUCCCUCAUUACAUCAAAUAUUCCUUGUUAUGUUGCUACCACUUAGCAUUUGGUGUGUGUGUGUCUUUUUUUUUUUUUUUUUUUGUGAGUGAGGGAGUGGUUUGGUUUGUUGCGGAGGGCACUUUUAUGGAGUAUAUUAGUUCUGGGAAUUUAGAAAAUGUCGUGAAUGUGUUGACUGGCCCAAAUUUUUACAUCCUUGCUAACUUGAGAUCUGACUGAUGGAGUCAGAAAAGAUUUUAAAUUCCAGUAGGCAACCUGACACCACAGUUCCAGCGUGGCUUUUAUGCUCAUGCUUGAAAUCUUUUAGCCUUCCCUGAAUUGGAACAGCAAGUUAAAGGAAAAAGUGCAGGUUUUUAGAUUUUUCAUACUAAGGAGACUCUGAAUUCUGUCCUGACUAAGAUUUAGUCAUGGAUAUUGGAUUAUUUACUGGCUGAUUGACUCAUAUUGGGGGAAAUGUGACUUUGACAAAACCAGUCAAGUGUUCCAGUACAUGUUCUUUAUGUCCAAUUCAUCGGCUUAACUUGCAAACCAAACUGUUCAGCAUCAUCUUGUUCCAUCAAACUAGCUCUUUCUUAUCCUAAUAAUUUACCAUGUAGGUAGAAUUACUGCUGAUCAUUUGCUUAACAUGAACAAAGUCCAAUAUUGUUCUUCCUUUACUUUUUCUUCUUUAUAUAUACAUAUAACAGAACACUUCUUUGUUCUAUAUGUAGCAUCUAGCUUUUUUAUCACUUCCCCUCCAUUUUAGCAGCAAGUAAUAUCAUGUUAUCAUUUUUUUUCAAAGAUUCUGGCUCGGGGCAUUGCCAUUGUUCUCUUCUGUACAGGUGGCUCAUAGAAGCUUCAUUUCUGUCAGGCUUUAAUAUCCAUAUCUGAAAUAAUAUUCCCACCAAGCAUGUAAUUCUUCAUAAUCUUUGUUUGCAUACUUAUAAAGGGAAAGGCCCCUAAGGAGCAUAACCCUCAAGGGGGAAAUGGGAAUGAAAUCCCCCACUAAAGCCUCUAAUGUAGAGUCUCCCCACUUAGCUAAUUGCUCUAUUGCUUGAUUAGUAGAUUUGAGAGCGCAACUAAAAUCCUUUUGGGAGUUAAUUUGUUUGGGAAGCCACACAUCCAAUCUCCAAGAGACCCAAUGGAGAAUGCCAGUGGAGUCACUUUCAACUUGAAACUUGUUAAGGCCCAAGGUAUUUGCCUAAACCAAACUAUUGAACAUGGCUAAGAUCUCUGACUCUAUAGCUAACCCUUUAUCAGUUGGCCUGGAGAACACUCCAGUCACUGUGCUGUGUGAUCUUUGGAGACACCAUCAAUCCUCUGCCUAAAAUUUGCCAAUAAAUAGACAUCAAGUUGAGCUUAAGGCACCCACCCAUAUGAGGGUGGAUUCCACACUGCCAAGACCCCUGUCUAACUCCUGAAACCACAGUAUGCCUGUCUCUAUUCUAGCUUAACCAAAAUCAAUGGAGUGCUUUGGAACUCCUCCAGACCGACUGAUCUCUCAAAAAGAGGCAAGAAAGUUGACUGCUACCCUUGGGAUUGUAAAGAUCUAUGCUUAUCCUCAAAAAAAUUGGCAUUUGGGUCCUACCAGCUCAUCCAUAGGAUUGCUAGUGUUGCCAUCAUCCACGAUACUGGCCCCUAAGCCUUAUAGCAAGGCUGUCAAAAGAAGUAAUCUUCAUAUCUGCCUCAGUCCUUGGGGGAUCUAGCUCAUAUCAGCUAAGCCUGAACAAUCUGUACCAUAAUCCUAAAUCAACUGGGUAAUGAAGGGAUGUGUGAUCCACUGUUUGGCACUGCCUAUGAAGAGAACAUAGUUCUUUGAGCUAAGAGCUUUAAAACAUCUCCUUAUCUGAAUCAAGUUGUUGGUAUUGAUCUUUUUGUUAGCCAUCAGUCAAACAAAGGCUCUUACUUUGGGUGGAAUUGGGUUGCCAAAUAAAACUAGCCCGAAGGAACAUGACUAGACAUAAAGACUUGGAGAGGUUUAGCUAGGACUUCAAAAAAGGUGUCUAAGGGGGCCAACAUGCUUACAUGCAUGUAUGUGUGUAUGUGUGUAUGUAUGUAUUCUUUAUAUUGAAACUUGGGGAGUACCGUGAAGGAUGAUAAAUUCAAGGUUUACUAAAAACUGGUCAAAAAGGAAAAGUAUGCAUAUAAUUACAUGUGUAAGCAAAACAAACUGUACAUCUUAUGAAGGAAUCAAAACAAACCAUUCUAUUGGGAAUAAUGAGUGUUUCUCUGUACUAAAAGUUCUGCGAGUUUUCAAGUGACUGCUCAAGUUUAGCAAAAGCUGCUUUGUGGGGUUGUAUCAGUUGGUUGGAAGGCCUAAUAGAAAACGUCAUUCUGGUGGGGAUGAUACCUAUUGGUACUGGAUUCAAAGGAUUAGUGCACUGUUCAAGACAAUGCAACAUCCCCUUGGAAACCAAAAAGAAUAAUUUGAUUCAGGAGGGAAAGGAGAGAUAUCUUGUUCCACCACAGAGAAUGAUUUGAUUCUUGGAUUUCUAAGAAUUUCCAUGAUACAUAAACUGAACUGCAUAUCUCAGGGGGUAUAAAGUCCCCAACAAAAGGCACCAAUUUUUAAGCACCUCCUUUGGCUAAAUGAUUUGCAUGUUUUAGCAAAACAAAUUGCACAUCUUAUGGAGGAAUCAAAACAAAGUACAACCCCUUACAUAUCUCAAGGGGGUAUAAAGUCCCUAACAAAGGAUACAAAGUUUUUAGCCCCUCAUUUGCCUUAAUGAUUUGCAUUUUUGGUUAGCGACCUUGAGUUGCUUGCAAAAUCAAUAAUUUGAUGGACCCACCAUCAUACUUCCAUAGACUUUUUUCCCUCUUGGACACAUAGGAAAUGACAAUAGCAAAGUCUCUGUCACAACCCAUAACUUUGAAAAACCCCAAGCUUUAACUUGUUAUAAGCCCUCUAAAAGAACAUGAAUCUUUGUCUCAAUAGUGAUACUUUCUCCAGCUAGUAUAAAAAAAUGCUCUAUGUAAUGUACCAUAAUAAUCCCUAAACACUCCUCCCUAAAUCCUAAGUUGACCAAGGUUUACCCUAGGAACGACCAUCAAAAUUGAACUUUAUAGAGUUUGCUAAAGGGGGAAACCACUUAGUUCAAGUCUUCUUAGUUAACUUCUUGAAUCUACAAAUGUGAUUUUCCUCCUAACCUUUAGAGGCUUGAGGCAAUAGGACCUUUAUUCACCCUAUCUUUUUGUAUUAGUCAUGGAAGCCUUUAGUUGCCUAAUUGAGAAGGGCAAGCAAGGAGGUUUCAUUAGUGGCUUUAAGAUCAAGGGUAAAGGGGAAGAAGGGAUUCAAGUCUCACACCUAUUGUUUGUAGAUGAUACUCUUCUAUUUUGUGAGGAUAAUAUAGAUUAGUUGAAAUAUCGAAGUGGAUAGCCACUUGCUUUGAGACUAAAAAGUGAAAUUAUUCCAAUGAGGGAGGUAGAGGAUGUGGAUAGAGUGGCUUCUCUUUUUGGUUGCAAAGUAGGGAGACUUCCUACUUCUUGUCUUGGAGCUCCUCAUAAGUCUUGUGAUGUGUGGGAUUCAAUCAAGGAGAGGUUUAAAAGGAAAUUGGCUGCUUGGAAAAAGCAGUUCCUAUGGAGGAAGCUUAGUCCUUAUUAAGAGCAUUGUAUCAAGCCUCUCAAUCUAUUUUAUGUCCCUUUUUGCAAUUUCCUUGGAAAGUGAGGAUCAUAUUAGAGAAUUCCAAGGGACUUUUCAUGGGAAGAUACAGGGGAAAGAAGAAAGAUCCAUUCGGUAAAUUGGUUAGAUAUUUGCAAAGACAAGAAGUACAGAGGGUUGGGUCUAAGAAGAUUGGAUGGUCUUAAUCAAGCCUUGCUAGGCAAAUGAUUAUGGAGGUUUUCUUUUGAGCGAGAGAACUUGUGAAGGAAGAUUUUAAUGCCUUUUAACUCCUCGUAGAAUGUGUUUUUUUGCACAGGAAUCUGUUUGGGAGAAGAUUUGAACUGUAGAUAUGUUAAUGAAGAGGGGAUCCAUGGUUUAUAGAUGUAGCCUUUGUAAAGACAAUGAAAAAUCAGUUGAGCACAUCUUGCUUCAUCUUGAUAAGACGAGUGCUAUGGACUUUUCUGUUAGUAGGUAUUUGACUUGAAAUGGGAAUUUCCGAUUUUAAUGAGAAAUCUCCUCCUUGAAUGGAAAUUUAAGGGGCUAGAUAAGAAGAGAAGAAUUGUUUGGCUCAUGGCUUUGAUUUGCUUAUUUUGGUGUGUUUGGAAAUAGCAUAACCGAAGUACUUUCAAUGAUGAAAAGCUCUCAAAUCAAUGAUUGAAGGAGUACAUUAAAUAACUAUUAGAGUGGUCCCAUGCUUCAUUGAAAUGGAGAACCUCUCUAUUUUGGAUUUCUUAAAUGCUCUUCCUUGUGGAUAGCUUGGGUUGUUUUGUUGGCUAACCUUGUAUAUAUUUGGUGCUUGUAUCGUGAGGUUUUGUGUAUACUAUCUAUAUACAUAGAGUGCUUGCUUCUUAUUGUCUAUCAAAACAAAGCAAAUGUGAUUUUGGUCUAGCAUUAACAAACUCAAAAGGGUACCAAAAAAUGCAUCUAUAGUGUCUAAUUUAAAAAAUAAUAAUAAAAUGAAGUCAUAGAAAUAAACCAAGUCACAAAGAGGCUUCAUUGAUGUCUAUCCAUCCUCAAAAUUACUUUCUUUCCAAGUAGUCCACAUCACAAUGAGACUAGACCUCAUCUCUUGAAAGACCCAUACACUUCUAGGGGGUGCCCAAACAAUCCCAGCAAAUAAAAGAAGCUUAUGCUAGAGUCCCAAACUAGCAAGAAAUGUAAAAAAAGGAAAAAAGAAAAGGAUGAUGGUGAUUUCACUACCAGGCAAACACAUAAGAGAGCAUGAGAGAGCAAAGGACAUAAAUUUUUUGAUCAAUUAAAUUAAGAUGCAAAUCAAAGUUAUAGGAAUGGGAGGAAAGAGACUAUCCAAGAGCCAAAGAGAUAGAAGAAUUUGUAACCCUUGAAGGCUGGAGCUAGGGGCUGGCAGGGUGCAUGCCCGGUUCGCCGUUGUUCCAAAUUCUAUUUUGUUAUAUUCCAUUGCUUUGAAAUUCUUUUUAACUGUAUUUGAUAAAUAAAUAAAUAAAUAAUGAAUGAAUUGAGAAUGUUCUUCAAAUUGCUAUAUUUUUUUUCUACAAAAAUUUUAAUGAACUUAUUUAAUUUCUUGAUAAAAUUAAAAUUUUCUUAACAUCAAUUAUAUGGUUAAUCAAAAGAUCUAUGGAUAAAUGAUAAGAUCUUGUUGAGGAUAAAGAUAAACCAUUAAAUAUGAGGAUUAAUUCAUCAAUAUUUGAAGUUUUGUAUUUGGUUGCCUCCUCUAAACUGAAUUUCUGGCUCUGCCUUUGGGCUGGACUAUUUGAAAAUGCUGGGGUUUCUUUCCCCACCAUAGAUUUAAAGCAUCUGGCAUAGGAUGUGAGGCACAUGUAGUUUCAGCAAGCCUUAUAACUGAAAUGUGCACAUCAGAUGUCUGCUAUGAACAAUUCAUUUUUCUGUUCCUCUAUUUUGAAGUUAGUUUACUAAGACAUCAUAUAAAAUCCAUUUUGUGUUGGAAAAACAAUCUUCAAGGCUUUAUUUGCAUUAAGGAUUACCUUAAUGGAUAUUACCAGUUUUAGAGUUAAUUGCCCACAUCUAGUAAUAGUCCAAAUCUCUGAUGUUAAUAGACAACUGAAUCUUGUUUUUUUGAGCCAUGAGUCUCAAAAUUAUUAAAAUUCACUGUGCUUUGAAGUUUUUCAUUGUAGGGUCAUAAAAAUUGAAACCGAGGCAAGUUUAAAUAUUAAAAUUGCCCUAUGGCAUUAAGAGCAUUGGUUUAUUUCUUUUAUUUUUCUUCAAAUGUUUUUUCUCUUACCUUUUAAGCAUUUUGCCAUUGUCUUGACACUGUUUGUCAACCCAAAACUUCUCUCUAUUCAUCAGGCUUGGGACUAGCAGUGUGAAAAGACACCCCCAAAACCCUGUUCAAUAUUAAAACUAAAAUAUUAAAAAUAAUAAUAAUGACAACUUACUAAAUAACUCCCUGCAGACCCUCACCCACAAGGUUUUACUCCCUAACACAAAACAACGCAUGGACGCCUGCAUGCUUAUAGUUAUGUGUGUUGAAACUGUUGUAGUUAAUUAUUUUACUUUCAUGUUUUGGAAAAGAGUAGACUGGGGCUAGAGUUGAACGCCUGCAUGCUUUUAGCUAUGUGUUGAAACUGUGAUAUUUGUUUUACUUUCAGGUUCUGGAAGAGAUUAGACUGGGGCUAGAGUUGAAUGACUAUGGGAUGCAGCAGCGACGCAUUGCCCAUAUGAGAUUCUUGGGAGAGCUUUAUAAUUAUGAACACGUGGAUUCAUCUGUUAUCUUUGAUACUCUCUAUUUGAUUCUUGCUUUUGGCCAUGAGACAGCAGAGGUAUGGAGGUAUCUUGUUUUUUAAAGAAACAAUUGUUUUUUGUGUAGUCUAUUUCCAGUAGUUUAGACAGAAUGGCUAGGCAAUCCAAUUGUGCUAGGCAGUGUAUAACAUCAAUAGCAUACUUCAUUUUUUUUUUUAAUUCUUUUGGUUUAUUAUCAUUAUUAUUUUUAACUUUAAUAUGGUCACACAACUUACUAACAUAUACGAAAAAAUAUGAAGGUGAGAGAUUAGUGCAUUUUGAAAAUUGUUUCUCUAAUUUUGUCUUUGCUAAUGUUACAAUUGGAUUGAUCUAUUUGAUUUAAGGGAAAAACUGACAACAUAGUCCUGAGAUUCAGACAAGAGAGGACAAACAGAAAAUAUAGAAGAGCCAAUGUCUUAUUUCUUAAAUGUUAGAGAAAAGUACAAUUUUAAUGUCAUUUGUCUAUUUUUUUUUUGGGGGGGGUGGGAGGGUUUCUUUUCUUCCUUUGAUGGACUUAAUGUCACUUGUCAUUUUAUUAUGAUACGGUGAUUGGGGAACAAUAGUGAAAGUGUCUUGCAUAUCAAGUUGUGAGAAGUUAUGAUCUGAGAUGAUUUUUGGAUCAUUUGCUUUACUCUGCUCGACUAAACUAGUCAUAGUGUUUGGCUAUGCUGCAAACAUGAUAAUUUAAAAAUUGAAGCCAUUUGUUAGUUAAGUCUAUUCUUAGCUAGAUAGUAAAUUGGCCAUGUACUCAAUUGUUAGAAUUGACCAUGGAUGUUGGGUGUCUCAGAUUCCUCAAUUUGUAAAUGAGCAUUCAUGAACACUGUGGCACAUUUAAAUUGUGUGGUUGAUCCUGUAAAGGGGAUGGGCCAAAUUCAAAUGUGAUGGUUGGUCAUAACAACAUUAUUGUGAAUUUGGUUCCAUCCACAGCUGAUGCAGUAAGACCAUUCAGGUACCAUCUUGUCCAACACAUCUGUCAACUGCGAAGCCACUCAAUCUUACAUAGGUUCAGGUUGCAGAUGAUGCAAAACACAUUACCAUGGAGGCACCUUCCGUUGUCUGAGAAUUCCAUGGAUAUUUUAGGAAUAUCAUUCUGGAUUAUGAUAAUACCAUAGAACUCAUAACUUGAGGUUAUUAAUGUGUGUGCGUGCUGAUCAUUUGGCUGAUUAAUUGGCAGAUAUUGACCAUGUUCUCGAGUGUACUAAGUACCCCUGCAAUGGAGGGUGACUUCCUCACUUAUUUGUCUAUGAUUGUCUCUCUUAUUGGGAGGGUUGUGCUGCAGAUCCUGCCUGAUCUUGCUUGUCACCCUUAGAACCAAUAUCUGCAUGUGCAUACCUUAGGUUCUGAUCCCAUAUAUGCAUUCAAAUGCUUCACAUAACCAGAGAAGUGAAAGUGAGAAUAUUUAUAGGAGCGCCUCCAUCAGUGGAUACUUCUUUCCAUAUAAUUCUGAUCUGACCUGAUGUCUUAUAUCCUGUGUAUGAUGUCUAUGCACGUGAAAAUUGCUUAUGGGAACAUGAAUAAUGAAGCGCUUCCAUCAGUGGAUACCUCUUUCCAUAUAAUUCUGAUCUGACCUGAUGUCUUAUACCCUGUGUAUGAUGUCUAUGCACGUGAAAAUUGCUUAUGGGAACAUGAAUAAUGAAGUGACAUACAAAUCAGUGCAAGCCAUUCUUUUCUUUUCUUUUCUUUCUUUUUUCCCUGCUUGGUCAAAUCUAUAUUUCAUGCCAUUCUCCUAUCAGAUAAGGAUGCUCUAAUGUGAUGAAUUUAUUUGAAAAUAGCAUGCACUUGAAAUUGGCUUUUUUAAAUAAGGUUUAAAAGACCUUUUUGAGCUCCUUGGAUCUGUGCUGUUUAUGAUUCCCCUAGUUUAACCUUGUUUCUCUUUUCAUAUUAUUAGCAAGAUGUACUGGAUCCACCAGAAGAUUGUUUCCGCAUUAGGAUGGUUAUUACCCUUCUUGAGACCUGUGGGCACUACUUUGACCGGGGUUCUUCUAAGAGGAAACUUGAUAGAUUUUUAAUACAUUUCCAGAGAUAUAUUCUCAGCAAAGGUGCACUACCGCUAGAUAUUGAAUUUGACUUGCAGGUCAGUCUCUGAAACUCCUCUUCUCCUUAUGCACACAUCUGCCAGAUUGGGUUAUAUGAUCUCAUAUCCAUGCAAAACUUUGGUUUAAAAUAUUGUGCAGUUUGUUUGAGCAAGGAAAUUUUAAUAGCUGACCUUCCUUAGUUUGUGCAAUUGUAAGGUCUUGUUGGCCACUUGCUUGCCAUUUGAAAAUCAAAUUAAAAAAAAAAUGUAUCUUUUCAAUAAUCCCUUCACUUCUGAAAAGUGGUCCAAUAGAAAAUUUUCAUCUGUUCAUCUAAUCAAUGCUUUAAAAAAAAUUCUGUUAGGCAAAGAAGGUUAUGUAUAAUACAAAAAUAAACAAAGUACUUUGAAGUAUAUAGGAUGUAUACAUGAAGCACCCCCACUUUCAAGAAAACCUCACCCAAUCUGCAAAAUCAAAGGCAUCGAGCCUUCUCUUAUGUACAUGCUAAUCAAGCUGAAAGAUUGCAUAGGAAUGAAUGUUUUAACUUUUGCUUAGUCUUCAUUUUCAUUCUCAUCAAGUUGUCCAAAUAUGCAAAGAGGAGCGACUCUUCAAACCUUCUGUCUUUUCCUCCCUACAAAGUGUCAUGUCAACUUAACAGAGUUUCUUUUACCAAGUGCCUUGAUCUUGAUAUAAUGAAGUAGAGUAUGCUUAAUAGACUCCCCCUCAAGUUUGCAAAGAAAACAUCUAUUUGCUAGUGGUCACCCGCUUUUUUGGAGUUGAUUUGAUGUCAACUUGUCCCCAAUUGGCUUGCCAAGCAAAAAAACUCACUUUGGAUGGGACCAUAGAUUCCAAAUAAUGUCUGUUGGAAAGGGGAUUGACUUCUUGGGUUCCAAGACCUAAUAGAAAGAUUUAACUGAAAACACGCCCUUCUUAGAAUCCUUCUAGAUCACCUUGUUGUUUUCUUCUCUCCUAACUGACAACAUUAACAAUCUUGAGAAAAAAGUCUCAACAAUGUUUAGUCUCCAAUCGUUAAAGUGCUUGGAGAAGCACAGAUUCCAAUGACCCCUAGCUCUCCCAUAAAUGCCCAUCCAAGCCUCCUUGGACAAGGCAAUCGCAUGCAAGGAGAGGAAGGAAAAACACACCGGUUCCUUGUCACUCUAUUUGUUCUUCCAAAACUUAGCUCUCCUACAGUUACCUACUUAAAAGGAUGCUUUACUAAAGAAAAGAUCUAACCCCUUAUAGCUUAUUAAAAUGGGAAAACUGGUUGUGAUGAGGAUAUUCUUUCGAUUGAGUGUGUUUUAUGUUGAAGGUACUGGGGGGUAUACAUGUAUUGUAGUUAAGAUAGAGGGAAUGUCUUGUCGGAAUAGAUCUCACCCCUUAAUAGCCUAUUAAAAUGGGGAAAACUAGUUGUGAUAAGGAUCUUCUUUUAAUUGAGUGUGUUUUACGUCGGGGGUACUAGGGGGUAUACAUGUAUUGUAGCUAAGAUGGAGGGAAUGUCUUCUCAGCCUAAAACUUGGUGUUUAACUAAAACAGAGUACGUUGACAUGGAUGUUCUCUGCCUUGGAAAGAAAAAUUGUUUCUGAAACAAGGCAGGGUGACAAGAGAAUAUGGUUCUCAAAAUUUCAUAAAAGUAGCAUCAUUUUUCUAAAGGAUCAAAAUAGGCUAAAAAACCAGGGCAAUAGAUUUUGAAAGAUGGGUUAUAUAUUACCUUUGAAUUUAGACUUCGGUUUACUUGAACCUUUAGUACAGCCCACUGGAACCCCAAUUACUAAGGACCCAGAAAGAUUUUAGGUGCUUCAUAAUUAGGUUCUUGUUUCAAUAAUUUGGGAAUCGUGUCCUGAACAACACAUGCUAUGAAACACCAGCCAAAUUAUCUUCAUUGGGCCUGAUCUUUCAGCUUCCCAUACGGUAGUCAAGUGUGUGGUUGAAUUGGGAAUGGAAAUGCCCUCCUAUGAUUGGAAAAGGAAAUAAAAAUAUGUUCAGAAGCAUUGUUCUCUAAAGAAUUCACCAAGUUUUGUGGGAAACUGAGAGAGAAAAAACGAAUCUCUUUAGAUUGUGGACAAUUUUUUCUGUAGCUUUAUACUGGCUAACACUUUCAAGUUCCUGCAGUUUCCAAACUUAAGGGUUGGAUUAGAAGGAAACUUAAACUUGAGCUGUUAGAAGAGGCUUCAGUUUGAGCUUUUAGGAAUCUGAUUGAUCAUGGAAGUUCCUUGCCUUUUCAAAAUUACUUUGGCCACCAUUAUGGCUUGUUUUUCAUUUGUUUUUCAAAGAAUAAGGCCCAUUUUUAAGACAUUUAUGAAAUUAUCUCAUUCUCUACUCUAUAUAUUUGUCUAGACUCAUAAAUGAAGCAUUGCAGGACUUAUUCGCAGAUUUACGUCCCAACAUGACACGUUACUUAUCCAUUGAAGAAGUUAGUGCAGCUCUAAUAGAGCUUGAGGAGCAUGAACGUACAUACACAACUGACAAGGCCAACAGUGAGAAGUAUUCAGACACUGAAAAGCCUUCAAGCAGGACUACUUCCAAUACCAGCUCAGCGAAUGGACAAAGCCCUGCAAAUGGUGUUGAGGAGAAUGGUGGAGCACAUGAGGAUGUCAUAGGUGAGAGUGACAGCGACUCAGGGAGUGGCACCAUUGACCCAGAAGGACAUGACGAAGAAGAGGAGUUGGAUGAAGAGAAUCAUGAUGAUGGAUGCGACAGCGAAGAUGAUGAAGACGAUGGGGGUGGACCUGCAUCCGAUGAGGAUGAUGAAGUCCAUGUCAGACAGAAGGUGGCAGAGGUGGACCCUCAGGAAGAAGCCGAUUUUGAUCGGGAGCUCAAGGCUUUAUUGCAGGCAAGAUUUAGUUUGAUGCUCAGUGUGUGCCUUGGCCUUUAAAUUUUUUGUUAUUUUUCAUAUAUGAUGCUUUACAUUCCAUUUUAUUAGAAAAUAUUUGUUUGGAAGAAAUAAUUUAGGACUCAUGAUUCGUUUAGUUUUAGAUGCAUUGGCAAGAUUUUGUUGCAUCUCGUAAUGGAAGAAAAUGUUAAAACUUGAAUAUAUUCCAGUGAAGUAAGCUAAAAAUAGAAAUUGAGAAUAAACAAUUCAUGAUAAUUUUACAAAAGUAGUGUCUAAACAUAUUUUAAUGGAGUAGGAGUGUGGGCGCUGUAAUGUUAGUUACUAUCAGUGACCAUUGGUGACUUUGUUUUAAUAAAAUGGGAGGGGUUACGGUAGACAACUUUUUAACACUGCAUUUAAAACUUGGAUGCAGGAGAGCUUGGAUUCACGCAAGCUUGAGCUGCGGGCCCGGCCUACACUAAACAUGAUGAUACCAAUGAAUGUUUUUGAGGGGUCAACCAAGGAUCAUCAUGGACGGGGGGUUGAGGGGGAAAGCGGGGAUGAGAUAUUGGAUGAAGAGGCUGGGGGAAGCAAGGAGGUCAGGGUGAAAGUUCUUGUAAAGCGUGGGAACAAGCAACAGACAAAGCAGAUGUUCAUUCCUCGGGAUUGCUCGCUUGUGCAGAGCACAAAACAGAAAGAAGCAGCUGAGCUUGAAGAGAAACAAGACAUUAAGAGGUUGAUCUUGGAGUAUAAUGAUAGGGAAGAAGAGGAGCUUAAUGGGGUGGGAACCCAGACGAUGAGCUGGACGCCAAGUGGAGGUAGUAGAGUUUCCCGAGGUAGCUCAUGGGAAGGGGGGAGAACAUCUGGAGCACGUCAUCGGCAUCAUCAGAACUAUUCCGGUGGUGGAUUUUAUUAUGGCAGAAGAAAGUGAGCAUUUUGACUUAGGAAAAGGCUAGAACUACAGCAUCUUUUAUCCAGGGUACAUACCUCAGUUGCCAAAUUGGUAUCUUGUUCCUUGCGAUCCAUGCUAUGCAAAAAUCGCAAAUUUUAUGAGAUAUUUGCAUCUGCAGAGAGGAGGUCUCAUCAACGUCUUUUAGCACAGAGAUCACCUCUUAUCUUUUUCCCUGACAAAUUGAUUGGUGAGGUUUAUAUCAGAGAUUCCCGUCCAGGUCUUGUUGGAAACUAGUGUUUCGGGGAAGUGAAAUCAUAUCCAGGGUGUCAAUAUAUGAAAGACAGGAUGGUGAUUUUGAAGUAUACUCAAUAGGUCUGUACUGUCAUUUAACAUCUCAUCUGGACUAUAUCUUGGUGUUUGUCUUUGUAUAUUCAUCUGUGGAAGGUGGUUUGAUGCAAUACUUCCUCUGCUUCGCUUUUACCUGUAUAUUGAAGUUAAUGAGAAAGCAAAUUAAAGCAUGAGUAUAUUUCCCCUUUGUGUUUAUCUAGUGUGACGAUAACUAACAGUGAUGGAACUGAAUCCUAAUUCAUCUCUGAUUGAGAAGUGGGGUAGAGUCCUGAGUCCAGUAAUGUUCCUUCCCUCUACCUUUCAUUUUUAUCUGUUUAUUUAUUUGUUUGUUUGUUUGUUUUUGUUCCCCAUUUCCUAUUUCCGCAUACUAUGCCACCACUGAUAGAACCGUUAAUUCGAUUUAUUGGUCUCGGGUUUUUGGGCUGCCUUAAAAAGAAGAUUAACAGACAUUUUCUUUUAACAUUAUGAUUUUGUAAUGCAGCACUGGAUCCUAUACCAAAUCAGUUUUCUGAGCAUUGCAAUAUUUUGAGCCUUUUGAGUUACUAUAUUAUGGGUCUAGCUACAAGAUGGAAGACGUACCCAUAGAAAAGUUCAGUCAGUCAAAUUAUACAACUCGUGGAGCCACAGGAUUGAAGAAGCACCCAUCAAAAAAGUGCGGUCAUUUAGAUUGUACCGCGUAUAUCAUUCAUUUGUAGCUUAGUCAUAUUCUUCAUGCUUUAGUCUUAUUAUCAUAUCUUUUUUUUAUACAUUUUCAACAGGUGAAAAUUGUAAUAUCAAUGGUGGCUCUUAGCAUCUUUAGUUUUCUCCUUUAACCUACUCGGAGAUUUCUUUUCCCUGCUUUUUAAACAUCCCACUAGCAAGAAUUUUUUCCCUCUAGUUGUUAGAACCUUGGAAAACUUGAAUCUAGGUUUUGAAGCCUAUGAAUAAGAUGCAAGAAAACAAGCUGCUUUAUCGACCGUUUUUUUCUUCUUUUGCUGCGAUAAGUAUCAUUCCUUCCAUAUGUCUAAAUAAGAAUUAGUGUUUUCUUCUAAUAAAAGUAAAGAUGCCUUGAAAAAAUUCAAAUGUUUAAGAUUAAUAAAUAAAUAAAUAAAUAAAAAAUUCUAGAAUCUCUCGCUUUGAUUUUUAUUCUUGCCUUGCCUUGAAGGCAAUGUUAACCUCACCAGCCAUCAGAUACCUAAUACCCCACCUUCUGUCUUUCUCUUCUGUUCCUGAGAGUUCUUCUAAUCUCUCAUAAGAACAGGAAAAAAAAGGAGAAAAAGAGAGAGAGGUGAUGUGUUCAUAUGGAGAAGCAAGACUCAGUGGAGUCGUCACUGCUCCACGUGCUCUUUUCGGCAGGCUCCAUUUGGGCCGAGAAUUCAAUGGUUAGAAGGGCAGGACAAGACCCCCAAACAUGCAAAUCAUGUGAUUCACAAUUUUAUAUUAAUAACCAAACCAACUCCAGUGUCCUGACUUUCCCUUCUCCUUAUUGCAUGAACAACUGUACAUUUUUCUGCUACCUACUUGGAGAAAACUACUACCCCAGUCGAACCUAAUACUUCCGCCCCAAUUCUUCUCUUUCUUUUUGAAUUUGUUCCUUUUGUACUUUUUUUUUUAUAUAAGUAAAUUCCUCAUCAGUAUUUUUGUUUAGCACGCCAAUCUUUUCAAAAAAAAAAGCUUUUUUUCAUGCUCAAAGACCUUGUUAAAAAAACAAAGUACUUUGAAAUUAUAUAUAUACUUUGAAAUGAUAUAAGCAAAAUAUCGGUAUAUAACAAUAUAAAUUAUGAAUACGAUAAAUUAUUAAAUUGGGUUUAGGUUAAUGCUCAUAUUGGGUUGAGAUGAGUUCAAUCUCAUCCUCCGGAAAAUUUAAAUGCAAUGAUAGAGGUAUGAGUUAUGAGAAUUUUUUAUAUCCAUCCCACACACCUUACCUCAUUUUAUCUGGUUUAAUUUUUUCAAAAUUUUUAGUUAUAUUAAAAAUAAAUGUAUUUUAUAAAUAAAUAAAUAGUAUAAAUUACUUUAUGUGUAUUAGUAGGAUAAGAUAAUACAUGAACUCAUUGCAAACUAGUCCAAAUUUAAAAGAAAAAAAGUCAAGUCGACCUAUAAACUCUUCCUUUUUUUUUUUCAUCCCAUUAGGAAUGGAACAAAACAUGAUUCUUUAAAGAAUUCAUCUCAUUGUCAUCCCUACCCACAUCUCUCAACAGCUAACCUGAAUUGAGUUUUCUUAACCCAAAUUCAACCUUAAUAUUUAUCCAAACUCUUUAAUUAAACCAUUUUUUAAUUUAGUUAUAUAUAUAUAAUCAAAACAAGGUGAGAUAACACAAGACAAUAGAAAAAAAAAAUUAAGUCAAUCUUUUAAUCUAUUUAUUUUCAUUCCAAACUCAUCUCAUUAGAUACAAGAUGGAUCGAUACUUGAAAAAAACUCAACCUCAUCAUCAUUCCUACCCAUUCCCCUUACUCCUUGACCUUAAGUCAAUCUAAAUUAAGUUCGAAUUAAAUAAACUCUACUCAAAUCAACCAAAAUCUUAAAAGUUGGCCUCCAUAUAGGAUUAAGUCAUACUAAGCUUUAUUUAUAAAAAUUAUUAUUUUCUCUUCAAAAUUUAUACACAAUUGAAUCAUUAAGCUUGUGUGAUAGCUUACCUCCUUUCAAAAACAUCUGGUUGCAGAGUUGCAAUCACUACACAAAUUCACAUUUAAAAUAUUUAAAAUGUAAUUAGUAUUUAACAACCUAUAAUUACAUGCAUGAUUCAUUUUGACUUUACUUUGCCAAAGUAGGUUUGGUGCUCUUAGAUCUUGCCUUCGAAUAUGAAAACAUCCAAAAUGAAAAAUAAAAAAUAUUUAAUAUUUAAUUUAAAUUAAAUUUUAAAAAAAAAGGACAAAAUCAUGCAUUCUACAAUGCAACAAAAGAGUUUGUGAUGUGAAAUAUAAUGAACAUAAAGUCAAAAUUUUCAUUAUUGUAGGAAAAGAAAAAUCUGUUAAGAUUUGGAAGAUAAUCUCCUCAUCAUUUGCUGUCGGGACAAUAUCAUUUUCUAGCCCCUUAAAAUCAAUACCCAACCAACCAUGGUUGUCACCAUAUCAUCAUUUCAUAUUUUAACUUCUUUUUUUUUUUUAAAUUAUCAAAAAUUAAAAUAUUUUUAAAAAUAUCAACAAAAUGAUAGCUUCAAUUAUUAGAAUUUUUUUUAUAAUUUUUAAUAUUAAAAAAAAACUUUCUAUAAAAAGUCAUUUUAAAAUUAAUUGUAAAUUAAAAAAAGAUGAAGAGAAGGACAAAAGUGUCAUAUUAUUUUCUUAAUGAUAACCGGCGGAAAAACCGCGGUGGUAAGACAACCAACCUAACGCUUUUAAACGUGGAAGGUUAUGAUUUAAAAAGCACGUGUAAAAAAUGCAGACGAGCAAUGGCAAUCAUGUAAAUAAAGGCAAGAUCGAGACUUAAAAUGAGCAGUAGAAAUGAAAAUCAAAAUACGAAAGGAGGGGAGGCGACCACGUCACCAGUGGCACACAAACCUCGUACCCUUUGCCGACAAGUACUCCCACUUCAUUCAUUUCUCAUCAACCUUUUUAAGCCUUCUUUCUAUAAUAAUUCAAUCACUUCUAUUAUUAAUCAUAUCAAUUAUUAUUCUUCCUCUUUCACACUCUCACUUCACCCUCUUCCCUCCCCUCUUUUUAUUUAUUUAUUUAUUAUUAUUUUAUUUUCUUACCAACAUGGCAUUAUUAUUAUUAUAUUAUUAUAUGAUCUACUUGGGCUGAUGUCAGCAAUGACGUUAAAAAAUAAAAUAUGAUUAAAAUAAAAAUAUAAAAUAUUCUUUUUUUUAUAUGUUGAAUUUGUCAAGAUUUGACCUUGAAGACAUAAUUAAAACUGAGGUGGCAUUUUGUUCUUGUUCUAUUGAUUUUUUUAAAAUAAGGUUGAUUCUCUAUUAGCUGCCUCCAACGUUAAAAUUUUAUAUUUUACUCCCACGUGAUUUAUUUUAUAUUCGUUGCUAUCCUAUGUUAAAAUUUUUAAUCGUUACUCUCACGUGCUUUAUUUUAAAAAAUCAAAUGCUGUCAAUUCAUUUUGAAAAAUCAGGCUGAUUAUAUUAAUAUUUUAUUUUAUUUUAUUUUAUUUUAUUUUUUAUAAAAAAGAAAAAUCAAUUCCUUGGACCACGACAAGAUUCGCUCCAUUUUUCAAAGUGACAACAAAGGUUAGUGAUAACUUAGGACGCUUAUAAAUCCAUGGGGAAGGGGAAGAGACUUUUUAUUAUUAUAAACUAAUUACAUUUUUUAUAAUAUUUUUAAAGUGUUUUAUUUUUAUAAUUAAUUAAAGUUUUUCUUUUCUUUUCUAUGAUUCAUGCAUCAUUGCCUAGUCAGCAGGUCCAUCAUGGCAUCGUGAAAGAGACUUAAUGAGAUAUAGUUCAUAUUGACAAAGAAGAUGAACCUACUUUUUAUUAUUAAUUUUUUAUUUAAAAUAUAAAGAUAAUAUUCCAACAAUUUUAAAGGAGUCGGCAGUUUCGGUGAUUAGCUGUAAAAGAAAAAUAAUUGUGUUUGUUGAAUAACAAUCACGUUUUCUGCAUUCAAUAAACAUUUAUGGUAUAGACAGAUCAUAAAAAUUAUGUAUAAAUAAGAUCGUCGUUGUAAAAAUAAUUAUUUAAUAAAUAUUAUUUUUCGUUUUUAAUUUUAAUUCAAACAUAGUUAUAACCUCGUUAUUUAAGGUUAUGUUUGAUUUGUGAGAUAAAAUAUAAUAUGGUAUAGUUUUUAAUUUUAUAUGAAAUGUAUAUUUUAUGAUAUGAUAUUUAGUGAAAUAUGUUAUUGUUGAAAGAUAAAAUUCAAAUUAUCUUUUGAAAUAUUUAAAAUUCAAAUUAAUUAUUAUAUCCAUGAAUCUCUAUUCUAAAUCGUGAAUAGAAUUAUCAAAAUUUAAAAACUAUUUAUGUUUUACAAUAAAAAUGGCUUUAAAAAAAAUAAUAAAAUAGAUGAAAUUUAAGAGAUAAAGUCUUCUUGUAGAAGCAUGUUCUUUCGGUCCCUAAAAACUAUUCCUCCCAUCUGUCUUAGAUGGGCCAAGUUGACCGGCAUCCAAACCCAACUCUUGAUAUUUAAUUCCUAACAUGAAUUUAAUGUUUAAAAUAAAAAAUUAUAUUAUAUUAUAAUAUUUUUUAUUUAAAAAAAUAUGAAUUUUUUUAUACUUAACCAUAAUUAUGAUUAAAAAUAUUUAAAUUUUAUAAAUAAAUAAAAUUUAUAUUAUGUUAUUCAAAAUAAAAAAAUAAUUUUUACAUAUAUUAAAUAAUAAAAAUAAAAAUAUUAUUUUAUAAAUAUUUUUUUAUUCUACAAAAUAAGUAAUAUAAAAAAAAUGAAAAUGAUAAUAAAAGGAGUAAAUUUAUGAUAUAUAGAUAUUUGUUUAAACUUAAAUCUAAAUCAUGGUAUUUAUUGCUUUCUUGGAUGACUUUGGAUGGCAAUCUAGAAUAUUAAAUUUGACUCCAUGUACAAUCACAUCUGCCUAUCCUAGACCUUAUCCACACCCAAGAGAAUCGCACUUAUACGUGGCAGCUACUCAUUGGACAACGUAGGAUCGAUGUUGAUUUCUUGAUUUUGACCCUCAUAUCCAACCUCAUUAGCUCUUCAAUUAUUAGUGCGACCCGAAUAAAAUUGGGUUGAUUAAUAAUUCUUACAAAACCCAUGAAAAAAAUAAUUAAAAUAUGUAUAUAAAAAUAAAAACAUUGAGAGUUGAAAGCUGAGAUGACUUUUUGAGAAGAAGAGGAAGAAGAAGAAGAAGAAUGAUUGAAUUUUACCAAAAGGAGAAUAAUGGUGAAAGAUUCAAAUGUGGUGGGCAUGAUGGGGACUGAUUGGAGAUGAGGAUACCCUAACUGGAAAGGGAAUAUGACAAAGGUCUGGGUAUCCUUUGAUUUUUUGUGUACACAGAUUAGGGAUUUGCCCGAAAGAGGAAAGCUUCUAUGUGUGAGGGCGUCAUCAAUAUUCUCGUGUUUCCACCUUCACUUGUUAUUAUUCUCAGAAAUGGACGGCUCAGAUUUUUCCUGAUGUGCUCAUUUUAUUCAUUCAUUCAUUCAUUCAUUGCCCAGGCUGCUUGGUUUCCCUGAAAAAGACCUCUCCUCUGUCUUCAUUAAGGUUUCUCUCUCAUCGUCAUCAUCAUCUUCCUCCUUCUUCUCCUCUCCAUUGAUUCGGUGGUUGGGCUGCUUAUCUUCUUCCUCCCUUUCAUUUUUUCCGAUUAUUAUAAUAUAAUCGAUAAGCGACCAUGUUAAUAAAAUUUUGACCGAAAAUGCCCAUGAAAGACAGUUUUCUGCGUAGCCUCUGUGAGUGGUAGAUGAUGGGCCAAAGUGUAACUUCAGCCGCGGUUCGAGGAGCUUCUCCGUCUCGGUGGGCCCAUUUUAAAUGAUAAAAGAGGCGCUUUGCCUUUUAAUCAAACACAAGGGCCACUCCAAUACCCCCAUAUCAAACACGUGAUUCUCUAUUUUUCAACUCCGGAAAUGCUUCCCUCUAUUCACGCUCACACGGUCACAACCUAAUCAAUCUUCCCUGACCGUCGACCGUCCCUCGAGUAAUGGUAGGUUCAUCCAACGGUGAGAGGUUAGCUAUCUCUAAUCUCAAGACCCAUCCACGUGUCAACUGUGGGAUUCUUGAUUCAGGAAAGGACAAUUCCAUAUAGUAACCGAUCAUUGUGUUCAUUGUGUAUAGUCAGUUUUUAUAUUGUCUAUGUAUUUUUCUGACAAUACAAAUGGUAGAAAAUAAUAAUAAUAAUUGUCUUUUAGGUAGAGUUUUGAUUUUGGGUGGGGCCAGAGACGAGAGAGGGUGUGGACGGUUGGAUUUAUUGAAUUUGUAUGGGCCUAUGGGGACACCAUCACAUUUGAUGAACAUGGAGGUCCAGCUCACCCAAACAAGAAGAGAAGGAAAAGAAAAAGAAAAAGAAAAAGUCAAAGAACAGUGCGGUCAACGAUGUCCGGCAUAAUGUGAGAGAUGAGACACUCUGAUAUCUCCGUCCAUCUUCGGACGUUACAAACCUGUAACGGACUGCCACGUGGAAAGGCCCGGGCUAUAUUAAAUUAUGUGGUACACUGUACACAGUAUGAACAUUUCCCAUUGCUGAAUGCUGACGCUGACGGAUCGUCCAAUUUAUUUUCUUGAUUCCUUUUUAUUAAUUUUGAUAUUUAAAUGGGGUAGAAUGUUAAUUAAUAAGGUAGUUACAAAAAUAGAAUAUCGAAAUUUAAGGUGAAUUAGAAGUCACAUUUUGUAUGGCCACCUAAAUUCCUAAUUGUAAUACAAGGACAUUUGAAGUGGGCCCCGCUGCCCCAUCAGACGGGCAUUACUUACGAGAGUAGUAGUACCGAGUACGCGUGGUACAAGUACUAUUAAUAGUAAGGAAAAUGUUACUAUUAUUGAAAACAUGGUCACGGACCCCUUCAGAUUGUCUGUCUUUUUUUUUUUUUUUAUUAUAAAUAUUAUAAGGUAUAGUUCUAUACUCAUAUUAUAUAUAGAUUUACAGAGUGGCAUGUGUGGGAGUUAGGGAGAGUGAGAGAGGGUGAAGCAAGCAACUUGGGUGGCAGCUGAGCAACUGUUAUUUCUUUUUUUUUCUUUUUUCUUUUUCUAAGUCAUUUUCCCCUCAAACACCAACCACUCUCUCUCUCUCUACCUUUGCAGGCUUCUUUCUUUCUCCUUCCCCACAUCUGUCUCCCUCUCUUCACAAGCUGCCGUUACUUCACCAACCCCACCUCCCAUCAAAUGCAUCUCUUCUCAUACCUUCUUCGUCAAUCUUUUCGCUUUCUUCUUCUUCUUCUCUGAUCUUCAGCGGUUACGCCCGGAAACUGUUUGUGGGAGCUUGAAUUGGGGUAGCUUGUUCAUUGUUUGCUUUGUUUAGAUAUGUGGGAUCUUAAUGUUGAAUCUGGUUGUGAUGAGGAUGAGAGGAUGAUAGUGGUGGUGGUGGAAAAGGGGGAGGAGGAGGAGCUGGUUCCGGGGGGGUGUAGGAGCCUCAUGGAGGAUUCCGGGACUUCGAAUUCCUCGGUCGUCAAUGCCGACGAAGCUCCCAGCAAUGGCGGCGACGAGGACUCUUCUAACAACUCCUCUGCAUUCAAUUUCGGUAUCUUGAACAAGUUAGGACGUCAUGUGCCCACCUACGGCGCCGUGGAGGAGACCCCGGAGUUUGUGACCAGGCAGCUUUUUCCGGCCACCGGAGACCGAGGAGGCGGGGAGUCGGAGCUAUGCUCCGGAUCGUCUUCGACGUCGUUUCCGAAGCCUCAGUGGCUUAACCUCUCGUGCCCUGAACCAAUUGGGCAGCAGAAGCCAAAGCAGCAGCAGCAGCAGCAACAACAACAGGUGAGGAAGAGUCGGCGAGGACCGAGGUCCCGGAGCUCGCAGUACCGUGGCGUUACGUUUUACCGGCGAACUGGUCGGUGGGAAUCGCAUAUAUGGUGCGUUUCUUGAUGAUUCCGUUAACUCUUUGUUACGAGUUUGUGUUGUUGAAUCAUGAUCUUGAUUAGUUUUUCUUUGCUGUGUAGGGAUUGUGGGAAGCAAGUGUAUUUGGGUAAGCAAAUGAUGCCAUUUGGGGCGGUUUAAUUUCAUUGCAGAAAGAUGAAUUUGGUGAAUUAUUCCAACUUCUCGGAUUUUGUGAUGAAUUUGGGUGUUGAUCUUUUCUUUCUCUUCCUUCUUUAGGUGGAUUUGACACGGCUCAUGCUGCAGCAAGGUAAGAACAUCUUCUUUUUGGGGGAAUUAACAUUGAUUUGGACCACAUGAACAAUAACCUUAUUCUUUUUUCUUGAUUAAAAUUCUGGGUUGUUUCAUAUCUUUGUGAAUUUCCUCAAUUUGGGUUUUGUGAAUUCAGAGCAUAUGACCGGGCCGCAAUUAAGUUCCGGGGAGUGGAUGCUGAUAUCAAUUUCAGCAUAAGUGAUUAUGAAGAAGACAUGAAACAAGUGGGUUACUCUCAGUUUGAUCUUGUAAAGCAACUUCUUCUCUGAUUCCUGAUUGUAACUGAAUUGGUAUGCAGAUGAAGAACCUGAAUAAAGAGGAAUUCGUGCACAUACUUCGUCGUCAAAGCAAUGGAUUCUCACGAGGGAGCUCAAAAUAUAGAGGUGUGACCCUUCAUAAAUGUGGAAGAUGGGAAGCUCGAAUGGGGCAAUUCCUUGGGAAGAAGUAAGAACCCCUCAAACUGAAGCUAUAUUUUGGAUGAUUAUCUAGUUACAUGUAGUACAUAAAACUUGGUACAUGAGGGUGCAGACCCUAUUUGUGAUUUUUAGGUCCUUAACAAUGUGCUCUUUCCUUUUGUGGAAAAUAAACCUAAGAUGGAUAUUUCAAGUAAGAAAUGAUUAGGGACCCAUUUUUAUCCAUGAGAGUAUGAUGCUUGCUUGCAGGUAUAUUUAUCUUGGGUUAUUCGACAGCGAAAUAGAAGCCGCAAGGUCCUUGUGAUCAUGAAUUCAUUUCUCUUGAUUCUGAAUUUCUUGCACUUAAAUGUCAAUUUUGAUAGGUUCCAUCCAAACAUGGAUCUCCAAUUUCAUUUUUUGAAUUCAGGGCAUAUGACAAAGCUGCUAUCCGAUACAAUGGAAGGGAAGCGGUCACCAACUUUGUGCCAAGUACCUAUGGAGAAGGGGCAAUCUUAGAGGCCAAUGACAGAAGUACAAUUUUAUUUUGUUCUUUUUUUCCACUGAAUUUUCUCAUUUCAUGUGCUCAUCUCUAAGAAUUCAUUUGUAUUGUUCUGUACAAUAAAUUUUGUUAUGCUUUGAUGCAGGCAGUGGGCACAAUCUUGAUUUGAACCUUGGGCUUUCUUUCCCUCCCGAUGGUCCUAGGGGAAAUGACACAGUUGGGAGGAGAUCCAUGGUAACAUUCCAAUUAAAAUGCUUGAGUUUGAUUGCAUUUCCUCGACUUCCUUUUCAUCCUUCAAAUUUCCAUGGCGUUUUCAUUAUUCAACUAUUUUUGUCCCUUUUAUCUUUUGGAAAGCAUUGCAAUUCAUGAAGAUUUUGAUACGGUUUUGUGGGUUAUUCUCACCUUAAGAUGUCUGUCCCUGCAUGCUCUUUCUCCAGUUCAUUGAUACUUACAGCCCCCUUGGUGGCGGUUUACUGCAGGUUGAGGGCUCCACUUACACACUAGUUGGUGGACAACCCCGCCAUAGUCUAACCACAGUAUCCAAGCACCUUCCCAUGAUAUCCGGCAUAUGCACUAGUUUCUUACCAAUUCACGAGGUGAUCUCUCAAACUCAAAUCACUAGUACUUUGUAAAAGGUUUAGACAUUGAAUAUUGCAAAUAUCUGAAAGCCCUUAUACUAGUUUUUGUUGCAUUAACUGUGGAUCCCAAAGCAUAUAUCAGGUUCUUUCCUUGUUUUCAUUGCUCUAGGAUUCUUGCUUUUGCAUUAUGGAUUCAUAUUCACAGUAAUCAGGAUCUUAUAACUUGCCCAAUUAGCCUCCUACUAGUAGAAUGAAGUAAUCAUACUUAAAACUUAAAUCACUCUCCCAUCUCUUACUAGAUUGAAUCUCUUUAUUGGACUUGGUGGAAUAUAAUUCAGGCAUGAGGUAGGGACUAAAUUAUCAGGGGCUUAUGGCCUUAUUUCAGUGUUUUCUACAUGGGAAUUUCAUCAUUUAGCAGAGCAAUGUUUACUGAUUGAUCGUCUUUUACGAGCUCUACCUUUUUAGUAAACACUGACUUCAUCUCCCAACAUAUUCCUGUGUAUUUUUGUUUGUCUUUUGGAUGACAUUCCACAUCUAAUGCGGAGAAGGCUGCUUCUUGAAUAUUUUUCACUCCUGUUCUGUAUUUUUCAUUUGUUCAUUUACUCAUUUGCCUGUGAGUAGACUGGGCAAAGUCCAAUUUGUCUAUUGUGGCCACUUGAGGCUUCAUUGAAAUAGAUAAAUGGAAAAAAAAAAAAAAUUAGAACCCAAAUGUAUUACAAAAGGAAAGGGAAACAAAGAGGGAAAGCAGAAAGAGCUAAAAUACAAAAAAUGAUGCUUACUUUUUCUUCUUUUACCAGGAAACAGCCCUGGAGAAAAGGUUGGACGGGGUUUCUUCACCAAGAUUCUCAAACUGGGCAAGGCAAGUGUAUGGCCAUGGUGUCAAUAUCCCAAUCCCACUGUUGUCUACUGCAGCAUCAUCAGGAUUCCCUUCUUGCUCCACCAUUGGUCCCUCUGCAACUCUUCCACUAUUAAAUCCCAGGAACAUUAAUCCUGCCCUGCAGCCUCCUCCACAAAUCUCCCCACCAACUACAUCCACCACCAACAGUACAAGUUGCUUCUACAAUUUUGGGAGCUCAAAUCAACAGAUGCAGUUUUGAUAAUUUUUUCCCCUCUUUCUGCUUAGGAAGUGACCCUGCUGGAAAGCAAAACCAAUUAGAGAGUCGUUUCUGUGCUUGUUUUCUGUUUAAUAUGAAGCCAUGUAAACUGAUCAUAACAGUGUACCUGGUACUUCUACUUGAAGCACUCCAUUUCGUUUCAUUUCAUCACUGCUGUAUUACCACUCUCCUAAUGGCCUUAUCAUCAACAUGUAGAACAAGAGGCCAUUGACAAUUGUAAUGCAUUGAAGCAACAAUGGUGAAGCCGAGAGAGAGUGGGAGGGAGAGAGAGAGAUGGGGUUGUGUUGUAUUGUGAAGCUGAGUUGGGGACAGCAGGGAGUCAGUAUCAUUGAAGUGAUGGGGUGUGAAUUAACAACAUGGGCUGAAUUGGGAAUAAUAACAAGCUCAUAAAGUGCUCAGACCAUUCAAUUCAUGUGCCAUGCAAGGUAGAUAGAAAGGAACAGCCCCAUUCACAAUGUCACUUCAUAUCCCAUUUUGCCUCUCUUAUGUUUUGUUUGCUUCCCAUAAUUCUAUAGGAAGCUACUAAGGGGACAAAAAAAGUUGUUAAAAAAAAUGAUUUUCUAUUAUUUAGUUUUGUAAUAAAGCAUAAGAAAAAAAUAAAACAUAAUUAAAAAUAUAUUUUUAAAUUAUAUAAUUUUUAUAUCAAAGUUAAAAUACGGGAAAUUAUUUGAAGCAACAUAUAAAAAUCGUUUAUUUCGUUAAAUCUAUUUUUUUGUUUUUUGUUUUUUUUUCUUUCUAUAUUUUUCUUCAAGUUUUUUAGGACCAACAAGAAAAUAGAGAGGAAAAAAAAGAGAGGAAAAUUUAUUUAUUUAUUUUUGGGUUGCAUUUGGUCUAAAAAAAGGUAUUAAGAAAAAAAAAGGUUAUAAUGAAAAUUAUUUUAUCUAUGAAAAAUAUAAAAGAAAAUUAAAUAUAAUUAAAAUAAGUUAAAAUUUUAUGCAUUUUUAAAUAAUUUAAUCUUUAUAUAAAAGAGAAAAAAAAACAAGUCAAAUGAAUUUAAAGCAACAUACAAAAAUAAUUUAUUAAAUUUAAAUUUAUUUUUUAUUUUCCUUUUUUCUUUCUAUUAUUUUUUUCUUAUAUUUUCAAAAUUAAACAUAAUCUACAUUUAUUUAUUUAUUUUUUUCCUUUCAAUGAAAUCCAAAUUCCGGAACCACUAUCGGUUUUUUGUUUCUAAAAAUAGAAAACAUUAACAACUUUUGUAUUAAAAAUAGAAAUUCUUAUACAAAAAAAUAUAUGUUUACCUUAUAUUCUUAAACAAUACAUUUUAAAAAUCAUCACUUUUUUAAUAUAUUGUCAUAUGCUAUGCCCAAAUGUUAAAUAUGUCAUUUUUUUAAUAAAAAUAUGGAUGAAGAAACUUAUGUGAUCAACAUGUAGAUAAAUUAGACAUAUUCAAGCAUAUUAUAUAAAAACCCAUACAAUAGAAUGAUUUAUUGACAUUUAGGCAUAGUACAAAGGUGAGAUUACUUAAAAGAACUUUAGAAAUUAAAUUGGUCACAUUAUUUUGUACCCUCUUAUAGUCUUAUUUGUCAUCAUUGUUUUAUAUCCCUAUCUCACUUUUUAUUUUAUUUUAUGCAUCUUUCUUUAUUUAUUUAUAUCUUGAUGCAUAUAUUUGUACAUUCAUUCAACUAUACAGAUUUUAUCAUAUACUUUAAAUUGAUGAUAUCUAAACUUCAAUUGGUACAAAUACUUAGAUUCUUCCCAUCUAAUAACAAGUAUUCUUCAUUCAUAAUCGGAAAAUUUUAAGAUGUAUCAUAGAACAACCCAGAGAUUAAAUGAAUUAGUAGUCAUUUUAAAUUUAACAAAAAAAAAUCAAAUUUUUAGUUUUUAUUGAUAAACAAAACUUCAUGCAAAAUAAUUAAUUAUUUUGAAAAUCAUAAUAGAUUCAAAAACUAAGAAACUAUGAAAUAAUAAUCUAUGAUGUUAAUAACACUUUCGAUAAAAGUUUUUGUUAACAAUAAUCACUUUGGGAAUUCUUUGUUAAGAUUUUGAAUUCACCGGUCUUGAAAAAUAGGUGAGUAAUAUGAGUUUGUGUACGUUGUUUCAAAUAGUGAUGAAAAUAUCAUGAAAUAUUGUUGAUUUUUCAUGAAAUAUUGAUUAUUUUGUGGAUAAUUUGUUUGCCCUAUUAGUGUUUCUAUUCCUUUACAAAUUGAAGGGUUUUUAAAUUUAAUAAAAAUACAUAAAUUUUUAGUUUUUUUUUUUAUCGAUAAACAAACUUUAUGCCAAAUAAUUAAUUACUUUGAAAGCCAAUAUAAUAAAUUCAAGAACUAAUAAAUGAGAAAACGAUAAUCUAUGACAUCAAUAUCACUUUUAAUGUGAGUUUUUGUUAAAUCUUUUUGUUAACAAUAAUGACAUUGUUGAUUUUUUAUUAUGAUUUCGAAUUGAGUACUAUCGUAUAAUAGAUAAGUCACAUGGACUGAGGUAUAUUGUUUUAAAAAUGAGUUGAUGAUGUGGUUUCAAAUUUAUUAAAAAUAUCAUGAAAUAUCGGUUUUUUUGUAGAUAUUUCACUCGUCAUGUUAGCAUUUCUUCUGUCUUUUCAUUUAAAAAAUUUAUGGAUUUUUAAAACCAAAAAAAUAAAUUAUUUGUUUUUAUUAAUAAACAAAACUUUAUGCAAAAUGAUUAAUUAUUUUGUAAAUCAACAUAAUAUAUUUAAGAAUUAAGAAAUGACAAUACAAUAAUGCAUGAUGCUAAUAAUACUUUUGAUGUGAGCUUUUGUUAAAAUUUCCUUGUGAAUUUUUCUCUUUACGAUUUUGAACACGUUUUUUUUCUCCUUUCCUUCAAAAAUUUGAAGGCUUAGUGUAAUGGGCCUGAGAGAGAAAGUAACAAAGUAGUCCAAACUAAGCCCAUUUCAAUACAGUACUUAUGUGUGAUGAAAGAAACCAAGCCCAAGCAUACUUCCCGAUGAUGAAGGAAUGCAGUGUUCCUAUUAAAAUUUUGUUUGACAGUAAUUUUAGGAAAUACUUUUAGCUUAAAAAGCAUUUUUGAAAAGACAUUAGGAAUUUGAGAAAAUUUAGAAAACAUUUUUAAAAUUUUAAAAAAUCAUUUUUUUAGAUUAACACAUAAUAGUUGAUUCUCUUAAAAAUAAUUGGGUAAAGACACUACUAAACACAUUUAAAAGCAUGUUUGACACUAUUUCUUGUGGAAGUGUUUUUAUUGAAAACGUUUUCUUUUACAACACUUUUGUGAAACUUUGAUGAGAAUUUGGAAAAGUAAUUAUAGUGUUUUUGAUGAUAUAUUUCAUACAUAAAAAAACACUUUUAAUAAUAAUAAAUUACUAAAAAAUAUAUUUAUUAAUAUAUAUAUAUAUAUAUAUAUAUAUAUAUAUAUAUAUUUAUUAUAGUGUUAAAAAAACUAAAAAACAUAAUAUUUUUAUGAAAAGGAAAUGAAAGAUGAAGAGGAGAGUGAGAAAGAAGUUAAGAGUGUAAAGGAAAUGGAAGAUAACAAAAAAAGGGUAUUUUAGGAAUACAUAAAAAAAAAAAAAUUGAAGUGGUUCUUUUCACAAAAAAACACCUCCAAGUGUUUCUCUAAACAACACUAGUGUUUUUCUAAAAUUUGAAAAGUAUUUUUUAAAAUACUAUCAAACACCUAUUUUUUUACCUUCAAAACAUUUUUAAGUAUUUUUAAGGCUAAAAAAGCUUUUAAAAAAUGUUGUGGCUCGAAAUCUAUUAGUUUUUCCUUUUUUGGUAAGGAAGGAGUGAGGUGAUCCUUAUUAAAUCCAUUAGUUUUUUCUUUUCCAACUCAGUAUUGCUCUUUAAAUUUGGUGAUUCUGAUUUCUAACCAUGCAGUUGUAUAUAUUAAUCACCUUUUAUAUAUAUAUACAUACAUAUAUAUAUAUAUAUAUUAUAAUAAUUAAAUAUGAGACAAACAAAAAUUUAUAAUUAAAAAUUAUGAAUAUUUUUAAAUAAAUUUUUUUAUAUAUAUAUAAUCAAUUAUUUUAUAUUCUUUAAAAUAUUUAAAUUAACUAUAUCAUAAUUUUAACAUUGAUGUGCUUUCAAAUUUUAUAUAUUAUUACAUAUUGUCGUAGAAUAUAUCAUAUAACUUGAAAUUCUUAUGUUAUCAUUUAAAAUUAUUUUUAUGAAUUUUUAUCAAUUUUCGUCUUAUUGAUAUUUUGUAAUAUAUCCAUAAUAUUCAAAAGUUAUACUUACUAUUUACCAACUUAAAUGAAUUCACAUAAUAAUAUGGAUUAUAUUUUUCCAUAUUUCUCUAUUAUACAAAAUAAAUUUCAUCACGGAUUAUAAAAAUUGUAACACCACUUCAAUAAAUAAAUAAAAUAUUUAAUUCCUAGAUUAUAAUUUUAUUUUUUCAUAUAUAAGACUAUUAAAUGUCUUAUCAAUUAGUUCACCUACCAGCCAAUCAAUUGAUAUACUUUUUCACAAAAUAUAAUUCAAUAUUCAUUAUUAGGAAGAAAUUGGUAAUUGUUGUUGUCAAACCAAUGUUUGGUUAAUCUUGAUUUUGAUGAUAAUAAAACAAGAUUUAGAACUAAUGAUCAUAUUUCAAGUGUGAUUAGGCAAGACGAUUUCCAAAGUGGCAAUCACAAAGAUAAAUCAUGUCAAUGAGAAAUCAUGAAGAAGAAGACCACCUCAAAAGAGAAGAGUUUUUCAAGACCCAAGCUUCAUAAGAUUUCUUUGUAAGGUUGUUGAUGCAAUAGAACUUUCAUGCAUUUCAUUCUUUAUUUGUGCACCAAAAUCAUCAAAGAGUAAUAUUGUUUUAAAUAUCUUUAAAAUUGGAUGAUUUUAUGUUUUCAACUAAAACCUUAUGUUAAAUGAUUUUUAAACUUGUGUUAAAAGGUUUUAAGUUGAAAAAGGUUGGGUGUUGAGCCAAAAAAUGGCUCAGCCGGUUCAACCGGUUAAGGAACUAGUUGUACUCGUCUAGUCAAGUACCGGUCGAGGGAGGUAAAAAAGUUUCUCUCUUUUCUAGUGACCUUCUCUUCCCGGUGGAGGUGAUUCUCUUACCGGUCGAGGACCGAUCGAGGUCCGAUUGAGGCUAACGGUCACCUGCCAAACAUUUAAUGCCAACGGCUAGUCAACCGGUUGAACCCCCAAACGGCUAGUUUGACUUUUCUCUUCUAUAAAAAGGCUCCAAAUUUCAUUGUUUAGUAAGCUUAACCUUUCAAAAUAUUUCUUGAUUAUAUUUGAGCCUUGGAAGAGUAUUUUUGAGUGCACCAUUAUUUCAAAACUUGUAUAUCUUUAGUGCACCAUUCAAUCUUAGUUUUUCUUGUAUUAUUUGAGCUUAAAGUUCUUGUACUAUGAUUUUUGAGAGAUCAUUUUAUUUGUAAACCUUUGAAAUGAAGUUUCUCAAGUGUGAGGUAUCAUUUGAGGGGUUGUUCAAGAGUGAGAUAUCUCUUGAGAAGUGUAAAGGGUGCUUGGAGCCAAAAGUCUAAGAGGGUGAAUUAGAAUCAUAAUCCAAUUGUUUUGCUUGAAGGCAUGGUUUGGAAGCCUUGAAUUAGUGGAACCUCAAGCUCGGGAUUGAAGCUAAAGGAGAGUGGAUGUAGGGCGGGUUGCGCCGAACUACUAUAAACUCUUGUGUUUGCAUUCUCUCUUCCCUACUCUUUAAUUUAUAUGUAAUUGUCUUUAUAUUAUUUAUUAUAUACUUGCAUAUAAUUGUCUCCUCAUUCACAUAGUUUAAAUUUACGAAAAAAGACUAUCACCCUAUUCACCCCCCCUCUAAGGUGAUUACCAUAGUUUAGAUUAGCUUAAAAUUCCUAACAGUUGUCUUAUGUUAUAAAAAAAAAUAUAGGGGAUUUGAUCUUAAUUUAAAAAUCAUAUCUUAUCAAAGAAAAAUAAAAGAAACAUAAAUAAUUUUGAAAAAAAAAAAACCCUUUUAAAUUCUCGAUUUAAAUUGUUUCUAACUUUCUUUUAUUUGUUAUUUCUAUAUAAAUUCAUUCUAUACCUUUUACACCAUUUUUUAAAAAGUAAUAAGUAUUUGGCAAAAUUUUAAAAUAUAUAUUUUUAAAAAUUAAAAAAUCACUAUAAGGCAUUUUUUUAAUUUAUAUACAACCACAAGCGACCUGAGGGUGUGGGGAGGAAGUGAAUACAGAGGCGCAGGGGCAAUAUGCAGAGAUGAAGAUGAUGUGGCGGAGUCAGUUGAGGGCCAUGCUUCUCAGCCCAUCUCCACGCCCGCUUACAACACUCCUCACUCGCUCCUCCAAUUCCUCGCGCCCUCGCCUUUUCGCUCUCCACAAAACCCUAUCUUUCCAUUCACAUCCCUCAUUUCGCUCUCCAACAGCCCUCAAUUUCCCUGCCAGUUCCGCCUUCGUAGUUCCCGUUCGAUGCCUUUCUUCGAUUUUUCCGGCGAACACACUGGAGUGGAACGAGCCGGUGUCGUGCUCGGAGGUGGGUGAUGCGGAUGGCGAGGGUAGAAGCCUUGGGGAGGAAGAUUCCAGGACUUCGAUUCCUGUUAGGGCGUACUUUUUUUCGACUAGGUUUGUUUUGGGUUGAUUUAGUUUUCUUUGUUUUUGUUCUGCUUCUGGAAUGGGCUGUUUGGUUGCUGAGAAAAUGUGGGAAAGGAAAGGAAAGGAAUUAGGGGCAUGGUCUGCUUCCAUGGUUUGGUUUGCAAUAAAAUGAAUAAAGUGGUAGUAGAUGCAGAAAAUUGUUUUCCGUUUUUAGUCUUCUGUUUGUGUUGAAAGAAAAACAGAGCAAUAUAACAGAAGAAACACGGCGAGAAAAAAAAUGUAUAUAUAUUUGCCUGCUUUAUUUUGGGAGUCAUUAGGGCAAGUUUGGAAAACAUUUCUCUGAAACUGGAGCCGAACACUUAGGGCAAGUUUGAAAGACACUUCUGUGAAAUUGGAGUAUCGCACUAAUACAAUUUCGAUUGUGAUAUAUAUAUUUUUUUCAUUAUUUCAUUAUUUGGGUCUCUGUAGAACGAAGGCAUGGAAUGAACAUAGCUUACUAGAAAAAUUAAAUCAUAACCAUAGUGUACCGUAUUCGUUAGAUAUUACAGAAGUUCCUGAACUAAUCAGGCUUUUUUAGACUGAAUAAACAAAAUCCGAAAAGGCACCCAACAAAUAUCAGUUGUUCCCUAAUUACUCCUGUGUAUUCUGAGUUUUUAUCAAUAUAGGCAACUCCCAAACUAUUUGGGCUGAUUUAAUUCCAGCCCAAAUCCUGGAUUUGUGGCUAUGGCUAUGGCUAUGACCCUGUUUUUGGUUGCUGAGAAAAAUAGAGGAAAGAAAAAGGGAACUUGAAUAUCAAGUUUUUUGGUGGGGUUAGUGCCAGUUUUGUCUUUGUUGCCUCCAUGCUCACAUUACACAAUCAGAGGAAGCAAAAAAAGAAUAUCCGGUUAUAAUAUUUCCAUUUUAUAAUCUUGAUGUUGUUGAUUCUUUGAAAGGUUUAUCUUGAGCCAAAUAGUUUCAUUGGGACCAGUCGAGUAGAUUUAUUUGUUUCCUUAUUGUUUUUAUAUUAUGUGGUCUGAAAUGAUGAUUGAGGGAGUGUUGUUGUCUUCAGAAAUUGAAUGGCUCCAUUGUAUUUUACAUUGCAUUUGAAGUUACAAUUUCAUUACCUAGAAUGGGGCCGUUAAACUCUUGGGUUUCAUAAAAUAUGCUGUUUCAACUUUUUAUUGAAGUCAUAUUGAUGACUGUUACUUUCCAUUAGUAUCUGAUUUAUCAUAAAGCAUAUAUGAAAAAUAAUGAAACAAUUCAAUUUCCAUGGGACAGCCAAACAUGUCAUGAGUAUUGCUUUACUUUGUUUGCCUACAUUUUUUUCAGCAAUGCAACAGUGGAUAAUCCAAAAGUAUAUGAUUUUUUGUGCUUCUGAAUCUUGUGAUUGUUUUUGUUGUAGUGUGGAUUUGAGAAGUUUAGUGGAGCAGAACAGACCCCAUUUCAUCCCUCCAACAUCCCGAAUGACUAACUAUGUUGUUUUUCGGUUUGGAAACCUUGAGUCAGACUACAAUGUAAGUAUGUCACCUUGUUCCUUUUAUUUGGAAUAGUUUUAGCUUUUAAGGUAGUAUGUCUUUGCUGAUUUUGAAGGGGUGGAUUUGGAUGUGGGUUAUCAAAAUUCAAAUCCAUUUGAUAUCAGUGGAUUUAAGCUGCAUCUGGUUGACCAUGAUUGAGUUUGUUUUGCAAUUCCAUUUCACUGCAAUUCAAAUAUCUUGUUUUUAUUAUGGAAUUGCUUUUGUGGGUUUGGGUUCUUUAUACUUUAAAUUCAACACCAAAGCCAUUGGAUGCAACAAAUAAAACACUCAAAUUGUUGAUUAUGGGUGGGGGCUCAAAUUCAAAUUCAGUCCCCAGUUUCAUGCAAGCAGGAACAGAAUAUUUGUUGUCACCAUUUUGUUUUUGUAAUUGUUUUGACCUAGGAAAAUUUUGGCAUUAGGAAACUUAUUUUAAGCCUGGGUGCCAGGCUAUUUUUCAAGCACUUGACAACUUUGGAUGUCAAAUUGGUCUAUCUGAUUUCAUCACCGAAUCAUUUCUUGAAUCAAUGAUAUUCACGUUGGAGGAAUGCAAUAGAUAUUACAACAUGCCUUUAAAGACCAAAUUCUUCUGUAAUUGCCAACGUGUACAUCAAAAUGAAAGCAGUAACAAGACCUUUGUUUCAGGUUUCAAAUGCUAGCUUGAGUGGGAGUGACUGCUGUUACAUGGUAGUUUUUCAGUAUGGCUCCAUUGUGUUGUUUAAUGUACCAGAUCAUGAGGUUGAUAGGUGUCUGAAAAUUGUAGAGAAGCAUGCUUCAGGAUUGCUUCCAGAAAUGAGGAAAGAUGGUGAGCUCCCAAAGUUCAUUUCAAUUAUGAAGUUAUUUCUUUCUUUUUCUUUUAAUCUUUAAGCCCAUUUACCUUCAAGAACACACACAUACACACAAUUUGAAAUGUAAGGUGUAAGGUUAAGAGGUGGGAAUUGGAAACCCUUCAGUAUGCAAGAAUAGGACACGGUAAAUGUCAGCCUUCAUUAUUGAUCUAAGAGAAAUUAAACUUUCAGAACCUAACAAUGGUUGGAACUGGCUAUAGAAGCAAAGGCGCACACAUUUUAUAAAACUCAUUCAAAUUUCAAUAUUAGCCAUGCAGUGUUAUUUGAAAUGUAAGGUGUAAGGUUAAGAGGUGGGAAUUGGAAUACCUUCAGCAUGCAAGAAUAGGACACAGUAGUGUCAGCCUUCAUUAUAGAUCUAAGAGAAAUUAAAGUUUCAUAACCUAACUUUAGUUGGAACUGGCUAUAGAGGCAAAGGUGCUAGCACCGGUGGAAGGCUUAAACAAGGCAAGUUCUUCGGGCUUUCAGUAACUUGCUGAUGGAGGAUGACUCAACCAUAGUUAUAUCCUGGCCCCUUGGAAACUUGUUUUUUUUCUUUUUUCUUUUUUUUGGGCUGCAAAAUCUCUUACUUGUCUACAGAGUUGGCAUGCCUUUUUUUAUGGAUCCCAUGUUUAGCUAAGUGAAGUGCUUCUAGGCUAGAGGUUUAUGUAGGGGAGUUCAUGGCUGCUUUGGAGGUUUCUUGAUCUAUAUAUUUGGAUAUUUUUGUUUGCUUAAGGCAUUUCUUUUCUCUAUCUUGACUUGUUCACUUUUGAAGGUGCUAUCCCUUGUGUAGUUUUGGUUCUUGAUGCAAUGCAUUUCUGACCAAAAAAAGAAACGUGAACUUAUUCUAUUAGUAUUUUUUUUUUUCCGUUUUUAUCUUUAUUGGAGCCCUUUGGUUGAAGAUCUCAUCGAUGCAUUAGAAAUCAAGGUCUCAAUUCCCCUUAUACCUCAUACUCAUGCUUUUGUACAAGUGUAUUAUUGAAAUUUCCAGUUUAAGUGUGAGACUUGACUGGUUCACAAUUGGAUGAGUCUCUGGUUUGGCAGUGACACUGAUUUAUCUCUCUCUUUCAGUGUAGUUGUUGUCUAUUCUUUUGUUUGAGGUUUGUUAGACCUUUGCUUCCUCAAUAGAUUAGAAUUGCAUAAGAUGCUAAACAUAUUGUAGGAAUUUUUGACUUAAAUGACUUUGAUUUCCGUGGGUCUGAAACUGUAGAGUAUGAGGUCAGAGAGAUGCCAACUUUAAACACUUGGAUGCAAGGUGGGUUAGAUUACAUAAUGUUGCAGUACUUGAAUAUUGAUGGAAUCCGAACUAUUGGUAGUGUUCUCGGUCAAAGUAUUGCUCUUGAUUACUAUGUGCGCCAGGUAUGUUGCCAAUCACCAUAAGAAGUUGUAAAUUUUGAAGUUUUUGCUUGAUCAAGGAUGCUUAGCAAUUUCUUUCUUUUCUUAGGUUGAUGGUAUGGUUGCGGAAUUUACAGACAUUAACCGUGGGAUGGAAAAAACUGGAACUUUCACCAUGGAAAGGAAAAAACUUUUUCAGUUAGUGGGAAAGGCAAAUUCUAAUCUCGCAGAUGUGAUUCUUAAGCUUGGACUUUUUGAGAGGUGAUAAUUUUGUGACUGGUGUUGAAAAGAAAAUUGUUCAUACUGCUUUGCAAUUCUGAAUUUGAUAGGCUCACUAUUGUUUUUUUUUACUUAAACGGCUUUUGAUAGAGGAUUUUAUUGAUCAUUAAUGAAUUUCAGUUUUGCUUACAUUGACAUUGCUUGCAUUGUCUUGGUUGAUUUGUUUCUCUGAAAAUGCAUUAGGGGGUGCAUCUGUUGGGCGUAAAAUAUUUAGUAAAUUGCUUUUAACCAAACAUAAAUAGGUCUUAAAUUCCAAGUUUUUGGCAAAAAGAUUAGUGCCGAAGUUAAGUAAUAGAUAGCUUUAGAAAUUUGACAAUUGAGGAAUGAAUAGAAGAUGAAUUCUAAAAACAAACACUAAUGAAAUGGUAAUAGAAGUUCAUAUGCAAUAAGUUGAAAAGCAUAAUGUUAGCAAUCUAUUCAGAGAUUCUAGACUAUCAAUAACAUCCCUGUGCUUUUGGAAUUUGUUCAUCAUCGUUGGCAGCAUUGUUUACCUUCCUAUUUUAGUGCCAGCAAUGGAGUGGGAUGGUGACAGGUUGAGACCUACUCAACUUGGAAGAAAAUUAUUUGAAAACUCCUAGUGUGUGACACUAUGACCAUGUGUUUGAAAAAUGCAUUUCUGGCACUGUGACUACGUGUUUAAAAAUUCAUUUCUGGAAAUGAACUUUCAAAUUACUUUACUACUUUUUUGUUUUUAAUGAAGAACAACAGUUUUUGGAAACAAAACCAAACACACCGAAAUCCCUUGUUUUUGUUGGGUUUCUCCUCCAGUUUUACAAGGGAUUUCAAUUGAAAUUGGUUAAUGAAGAGUUUUAUCUUUUAUUUUGGUUUUGAUCUCGUCAUGUCUUCCUUCUUGGUUUCAGAAGCUUCUUGCCUCCAGCUCCACACCUAGAGCUUUAUUCUCUAAUAUUUUUUAUCACUUCUCUUUUCAACGACUGAAAAGUAAAUUUUUUUUUUUCUUUUUUUUUUUUGGGGGGGGGGGGGGGAGGGGAUUUGAGAGUUUUGCAGGAUACUCUUUGAGGAAUGUUGAGAUGUUAGAUGGGUUUCAAGAGGAUGAUUGAUUGUUGGAAUCCAGUUUUUGGAAAGCAGAGUGGGUUUGAAGGGUGUGCUUGAGGUGUAAAUUUUUUCCAGUGGGUUUGGGAAGUGCCAUCCACACAUCAUGUCUAUGGGAACUGAGAAAAAGUGUGCUUGAGAAGUUGUAAAACUUGUCCACUGGGUUUUGGAGAAACUGUCCCUGCUUGUCUAUGGAACUGGGAAAACCUGUAGUUACCUUUUAUCUACAAUUGUUUCUACUACUACAACUACUUCUACUACUAAUAGCAACAACAACAUUAGAAAAUUGUUUACGGUUUCCAAAAUUCAUUUCAAUGUAUAUGUAAAUCUUUCCCUGAUUAAUAUCUAAGUUAGAUAAGAAGAAUUGUAUAUUCCAAUCUCCAAUCCUUAUAGUUCCUCAAUUAACAUGAUCAUCUUUUUAUUUUUUCUUUUUAUUUGUUACCUUUUGUUUUUAAAUAUGAUUUUACUUUGCUUGAUAUGCAUUAUAUAUAACCUCUAGAAACUUUUUGGGAUUUUCCAGAUCAGAUAUUGCCUGGAAGAAUGCCAAAUAUGCUCAGAUAUGGGAGUAUCUCAGAGAUGAAUUUGAAUUAACUCAGAGAUUUGCAAGUCUUGAUUUUAAAUUGAAGUUUGUGGAGGUACAGUAUUUCCAAUCUUUCUUCUCUUAGAAAGCAUUUUUGGUUCAACACUUGAAAAUCGGUCUUCAGGCUUUCCUUUUCAACUGACCCAGAUAUUUUUGUGACGUCUUGGUUUUUCCUUGCAGCAUAAUAUUCGCUUUCUUCAGGAAAUUCUUCAAAAUAGAAAAUCAGAUUUCCUGGAAUGGCUUAUCAUCAUAUUGAUAGGUGCUGAAAUUCUCAUAUCUGUUUAUGAUAUUGCCCAUAAAUCAUCAAUUACUUCUCUGUAGCACCAGUUUCUGGUGAUCCAUGAAGUCAAGUUUUGAUUGAAGGUCAGAGUUGCUGCAUAUUUAUUCUCCAAAUAGCUUCUUUUCUAGUCUACUACCCAUCAUAUUGGCCCUUAAUGUAUCUUGUAAAUUCUAAUUUAGAAUUUACUUCUUUUUUUGGCCUUUUGGGAUCAUUUUUAUAUCAUAUCUAGGAUGUAUUCUGAAUUUGUAAUUAUUUUUGUAAUAGUAAGAAAUAUGAGUCACAAUUCACAGCAAUAUCUUAUGCUCACUUUUUUUCAAUCAUCUUGAAAUCAAGUUGAAUAAAAUUUUAGUGCACAUGGAUUGUGCCAGAUACAAUUUUGUUUGAGCAGCUAUGUUUGACCAAAAAUAGGUUGGAGAAAAUCAAUGGUAGAGGAAAGGGCCAAGGGUAUGGGGAUGCUUGCUCUUUAUAGUCCCAGUGAUAUGAACGAUUUGGUAAGUUCCUUAGGGACAAGUGACAAAAUAUAUUCUCUCUGUAUCGUGUUAUUCGAUAUGAAUCACUUCCACAAGCCUAUGGCAAAGUUUGUUUAAUAUGUGCAUAGUUGUCAAAUUAUAUAUUUCAUUUAUUAUUAACUUCUGUAAAAUUUGGAAAAGAUUUAUUGCUUCAUUUCUUGAAAGGUCAGCUUCAGCAGACACUUGAACGACCAUGAAACUGAAGGGUUUAACUUGUGGCUUAUCAUUCUGGAUGAGGUUGGAUUAAUUUGGAAAGCAAAGUUCUUGCUUUAUUUGUUGCCAGUCAAUUCUAGGCAUCUUUCAAGUCAGGUCUUAGAAAGCCUCAAGGCUAGACUGAUGUUUGAUAUGUAGGCUAGUGGGGAGAUAGCUUAGGCUAAAGGAUCAAGGAUCAUUCAUAAAAGUUCUUAUGUUCCUUUCCAUCCAAGCCACUCAAAUGAUAGCAAGCAAAGGCAUGUCAUAGAACUCUCUCUGCUCCAUAGCAUAUAUCGUUUUCUUUGGCAAGGAUCUAGUAUGUCAUUUGGGAGGAUUUAGAGUUAUGUGAGUCAUCUCUUUUUGUGGGAUUUCAGGAGAGAGAGAGAGUUCUAUGACAUGCCUUUGCUUGCUAUCAUUUGAGUGGCUUGGAUGGAAAGGAACACAAGAACUUUUAUGAAUGAUCCUUGAUCCUUUAGCCUAAGCUGUAUGGCAUAUAUUGUUUUCUUUGCCAGGAGUUCAGUGGGCAUUUGGGAGGAUUUAGAGCUAACCUAUGUGGGUCAUCACCUUUUUAAGGGUUUCAGGCAGAGAGUGAGUUUAGGGUGCUAUUACAUUCUGAUUAUUUGCUAUCAUUUGAGUGACUUUGAUGUAAAGUAACAGGAGAUUUUUUUAUGGAAGAUGCUAGUUCUUCAGGGGAUGUGUGCAUAAUUUGCAGUCUUGCCUUGCUAUGCGUCCAGAUGCAAUUUUCCCCUACAAGAAAUCAAAGAGUGGCCAUUUUGUGCUGAGAGAAUCCUCCUUUGGAAUGGAUUCUAUAGUGUUUUAAUGUGUGAUAUUUUGGCAAUCUAGUCUAGAUGGUCAUUUUAGGUGUUUCUACCUCUCUUGCAUUCUUGUUUUACUAGAUUUCUAAGUGAUUUCAAACUGCUAGUUUUGUUAAGUUUUUCAUUCAUUAGUAUUACGGGCCUUGAUGUCUUGUAGAGAUCCAGACUCUUUAAGAUUUCAGCUAGUUGUCUGGGGAAGUUUAGAGGAAGGAAAGGGAGAAUUUGAGUUAGUAACUUCUCCAUACAGUUAGUGGAUUUUUUCUCCUUCCCCUGGAGUGAAGGAAAUCUUGACGAACCAUGUAAUAUGUGGUCUAUUCUUUAGUGUGAACGAAACUGAUCAACCAUGGUUCCGCAAUUUGAUCCUAGCAUUAUCUUUUAUUUUUUUAAUAGUGUUGUUUUCUCUAGCUUUCAUCUGCCACAUGAAAUUGAAAUUUGAACCUCCCUUAUCCCCAUCCAAAUGCUUGCCACUUAAGCCAGGUCUCUAGGACUGCAAAGAGUCACUUAGAGAGGCUAAUUCAUUCGUAGCUGUAUCAUCAUCAUGGGAGAUUUAGCUCAGGCCUUCUUGGGGGUAAGGAUUCUUGUAUAAUCACCUAUAAUGGAGAUAUUUGAGAAAGUUCAGCUCCCAGGGAUGGAUCCUUUGGAUAUGGUCCUACCUAGGUAACCAAAUUGGGAAGUUGAUAGAUUAGUCAGAAGGGGCUGUAAAAUAAUCUAGUAAUCUAUCAGCUUCCACUACAAAGAUGAGAGAUUCUUAAUGCGAUUCCCAACACCAUUAGUGAUAUCCAAGAAAUAAAGGUCAAUAUUUGUACCUCUAAUGGCCAAUCUUUGGAACCUCUCAGAACCCUCGGGUUCCCAUAUGGCAGCUCCACAUAAUCAGAGGGAACUUAAUUGAGCAGGAGCUCAACCUGCCAAAAAUCAUGCUGAAACUUCACUCUUUGCCCAUUUCACAGGGAAAAGGAAACAUGAGAAAGGCAUAUAUAUAUAUAUAUGCUUAUGGAAUUCAUCCAAAUCCCACCUAAUGCCUUCCAUAACCUUUAUCCAUGAGAAUCCCUUACCACUGCAGUGUCCAAGCUUCACUUUCAACCCUAAAUUUGUAUUCUGACAGUGUCUCCGAAGACUAUCUCAAUGUAGAACCCUGAAAUCUGUUUUCCAAGGAGGGCUUUGUUUAGAACAUCAAGCUUUUUCACCCUCAAGGCUUCCUCCUUGGGAGGACGCACACCCCCUUUUCAGUAAAAAGGUGAAAUCAGUGAUACAUCGAGUUUUUUAUACUAGCAUUGCAAAAUUUAUUCUUUGCAACUGGCAUGAGUUGAGAUCUGGUCUAGCAUUGCUUUUACCAUUUCAAAGCGCAAAUGGGCAUGUGCCGGAAAAUGCUAAUCAGGUUGUUUUUAGUUAUUUAUGAGUUCUGGAUUUACUGGUGUAUAAAUUCUUCGUUUAAAGUUGUCAAUUACAGUGCCAUUACAUUUUUCCACCCCAAUUUUUCAAGCUUAGUCCUUCCGCCUGAUUGAUUAAGAUCAACUCCAUCUUUUGAUGUGUGAGUUUCUGUUGCAUGGAGCCGUGUGGUGAAACUCAAUUUGCAGAAGGUGAUGAAGAGGAGCUUCUCCAAUAAUUUUCUUUUCAAUAUCAGCUUGAAGUUCUCUGAGAGGAAGAGCUGCUAGAAACCCCUUAAUAAAUUCUUUGCAGGUAGACUUUCCUUGACAGACUAAUUCCCUGUGACUGGUCUCAUCUUCUUCUCCUGCAUUGGUUGAAUGAUUUUCUGUGAUUGCUUCUGAGUUCACUUCCCUUUUCCUUCUCUCUCUCGGUGCUUUGAAAAUCUUACUUUCUAUGUUGAACUUUAAAAUGAAGGCUUUAUUGCAGCCUUCAAACAGCCUCUCACCUAGUGUGUCAAUUAUAUAAAUCACAUUCACUUCUACCUUGAGAACAAAAAAGUGAUCAUUCCAGCUCACGAUGUAGAUUUCCUCCUCUAUUGUUCGUUCACGCCUUCCCAGCUCCUCCCAUAUACUGUCAAAGGACAUGGCACCCUUCAGGAAUUCCAACCGAUUUGGCAUGUUUUCCAGCUCAAAGAAGCCCACAUACGACUUCUCUGGGAUCACUGUUAAUGGUCGAACUUGUUCUUGUAAGACUGUGUCAAGGUCGAAGUGUUGGUCCAGAAAUUCUUUCAUGUGGACCACACUUUCACAUAAGUUUCUCCAUUCUGAAGAUCCUUCUCUUACCAAUUUAUCAAGUUGGCAUCUCAGAGGUAGGAUUUCUGGGUUCUGAUGGAGCCAAUCAGCAAUAGUCACAGCUAGCACUGUGCAGGCACCUUCACCUGAUGCUCUCUCACUCCGCUGAUCAAUGGAAGCCAGAAAUAUCUCUGUCUCUAGCUCCAGUUUCCCAUCUCUGCUUACCAGUUUUCGUUUUUCCCAGGUGCCUAUCUCAAACCGAUCACUGCCUGUAAAUGCACAAGACCCAGAAUCACUUUCGCCCUGACUGCAUCUUGCUUGUGAGGAAGCUAAUUGGCAGCGUCGAUCAUUGUCAAUAUCAUCUCCCCCAUCUUCACCAUUUGCUUUGUUCAGGAGAGGUGUACCUCUAGGAAAAUUAGGCACUCUGAAACUAUGGUUGCAUUUGUUCCAUGAGAGAAGUCUGAUCAGUGAAGGUUUCUGCUUGACCUGGUAAUUUAGCGGAUCGCCUGCAUCCCAGUUCUCAUCCUUCUUGUUAUUGAAAUUUUCACACGCAGUAUCACUGCUUAGUAGAUUUGUCAUUGCCAGGUUCCUGUAGGUUAGUUCAGAUUCCUCAUCUGAUUCUGAAUUGGAUGAACCAUUUGAUUUCACUGGAGAACAGUUCCAGUCUCUGGAGAAUUCUAUUCCAGCUUGCUCUUCGAUAUUUAUGAAUCCCUUGUCAUCAGUUUGAUUCUGAAAUCUUAUGCAUGAUGACAGAGAGGGUAACAACAGUUUUGGAGAAAUUGGAUGUACAGUGCUGUUGGUGUGUUCACUUUGGAUCUCAAAGAAGCUGAGUUUCAUCUGCAAUGUAAAAUUUGCAAAAUUAGCUAAAAUUAUCAUAGUAGGAUUUUGUAUAGCUAGCAAAAAGGAUCAUGUUCAACUUACUGUUAGCGUGGCCACAUGGGUGGAAGUGGAACCAUUGAUGCAAUACUUGACUGGAAAUUUGACAAUUUGUUCUGAAUUUGCAGUUGGACAAGCAAAUGCAGCAAUAUCUACUUUGGAUUUAGAUACAAUAAUUGAUGCUGGCCUGUUUGAUGCUGAACCAAAUUCCUGGUAAAUUUGGUAUCUGAAAGUUAGCUACUAAGUUUCAAAUCACACUGUUUAUCAAGAUGUGUAGUACUUACAAGAAUUUGGAGGUUGAUCAUCCAUCUUCUGAAACCCUUGGAGUCCCUGGGUUUCAACUUGCAGUGGUGAUCAAAACAUUCAUUCCAAGUGACACUCCCAUCUGGGUGUGCGCUUUGUUUGGAGGUGCAAUUCCUUUGAAUUGCUCCUCGUAAUAGGUAAGCUUUUCUGGGACCUACCCAUUCUAUCUGUACAAUCAUAUUGGCAGAUUCCUUAUUCAGCAACUCUGAUGAUGAUAAACCUUGGAGAUCACAGAUGGUAAGAUGUAGCUUGAAACUUCUGCUCUCUGGUGUAUGAACGCCUGCACAAAACAUCUUGCAGAUGAGAAUUUCUUCUGGGUUAUGCCAUGUGACCAGGAAUAUCAAUCAUAUAUCACUGCAGAAACUUGAAUUGUUGCUGGUGUUGACAUUAAGUACAGGAAGAAGGACGGGUGUAAGUCAACUUGUAGCCAAUGCGCAACAAAUUCCAAUUCGAAAUGAGUAUACAAUAGAGAAGGGUAAUAUCAUAUGUGAGAUAAUUUUUGACUGGUUCAGCACCUGACCCAGUUUCCUUCGGAUAUUUCCUACUUUGAUGGAUUACUCCAUCCCUUUCCAGAAACCAGAAAUGGAGGGGCACUUCAUGCUUGGAUCACUAAUAUUCUUUUUCUGUUUAAUCAAUCAUUUCUCUAUAGAAAAAUGAAGGACGAAAGAGAUUGUUUCUUCUCUUGUAGGAUUUUGAUAAGGUUUCAUAUGGGUGAGUCACUUUCUAGACUUCUGAUUUAAUAUGUGGGUUGUUGAAGUGAGACAUUUUAUUUUAUUUCUGUCCGAGUGUCACGGCAGCACCUCUUAAUUUCUUUAUCCAAUUGGCGGUGCAGUUGGGCAAAAGGAUAUUGAUUUGGACCGAGGAUUUGAAUUCAGCUAUAGAAUUGGGUUGAUAAAUUAUUCGAUUGCGGAGUCACCAUCUCCAUCUCUCUUCUUCAAGCUCGCCCUCGCCCUCUAUUCAUUCAAUUGGUUAAUGUAAAAUGAAAUAUUGUGGCAUUGGUUCCACUCCUAGGUUGUUUAGUUGUUUGACAGGAUUAGACGAUUACUACCAUUUGUGGGGGGCUCCCGACUCUGAGAGGCACAAAGAAGGGAGAAAGGUUGUCUGACUUUCAUACAACUAGACGGAUCUGACUUCAAUUAGCUCAGAAUCAACACUAUUAGGGUUUUUGAGUCCUAUUUCAAUAUCAAAUCAAUACUUACAAAAAAUAUUAGAACCAAUCUCGAUCAUUGAUGUGUAUAAUUUGGUUUUACAUUUUUUAAUAUUUUGAUUUUAUUUGUUUGAGUUAUAAUUUCAUAGAUUUAUAUUUGCAUCUAAUAAUUUACAUUUCAUUGUAUAUAACCUAAAAUUUCCAAGCUAGCUAUGUGCUUUUCAUCUCUCUCUAUCCAUCCGUCCUCAUUUUUUUUCUUUCAAGCAAGUUGCUUAAAGGAGGAUAAUAUAUAUAUAUAUAUAUAUAUAUAUAUUAUAAAAUUUCAUAUUUUAUGUUAUUCUAAUUGACAUGAACAUAUAAAUUUCUUAUUUAAUUGUCAAACCAAAAUCAAGGAAAAUAAUUUUAUUUAUUCAAUUAUAUGGAAUUUAUUAAAUUUGUUAGAUUCUUAUUUUGUAUUAGUUUUAGCAAUUUUUAUUUAAUUCCAAAAAAGCAAAGGAAAGGAAUUUAAUUUCUUUGUUCAACGAAUUGAUGCUGGCCUUUAACACCCCUUCAACGAAUUGGAAUCGGCAAAGUCAUCAUUGUCCUUGCUCUGGUGGGGUACGCACUCGUUGAGGCCCGUAGGCUCCACAGGGUCCGAGCUCACCAUGGGUCCAUGUCGGCCCUAUGGUUCGUUGGGCCUUUAGCCACUCUGGGUAUCGGCGAAGCGUUUCAUUUUCCAGGAUAGGUGGAGUUCUACUAUCGAGAAUUUCCUGAAUCGCUACGUGGCACGUCGACUGUGAUGAUCUCGCUGUUGAUUGGCAUCGGGUUUUAUCUAAGUACGGCGGUGACCAACUUGGUGAGGCGAAUAACCAAGUGGCUGCCGGAUAAUAUCAAUGAUGGGAUGCUGGAUAACGUGUUCUGGAUGUUGGCUGUUGUAAGAGUGAUGAAUUUUGGCUGUUAUCGGAAUGUGGAGAAGCUAAGCAUAAGACUAUAAAAUCAUUGUUUUCCUUUAUUAAUGUUUAACUGAACAACCAAAACUAAGCUUCAUUUAAAUACAUAACUCAUAGAUGAGAAUGUCUAUGUGGAUGAUAAUUCCCGGGUCAAAACUAUAACUAAUCUUGGGUGGCCGGCGGCGAAGUUGGUUGGGAUGAUGGUGGUGACGAAGAUUUUCGGGGAGAUCCGGAGCUCUUUCGAAAAAAUUUUCUGGCCCAGACAUGCUUUCCGUUGAUGGAAAAUUUGGCCUUUCUCUUGCCUUCCAGGACGACUUCAAUACUGGAGGGAGAUCGAGUAACAAGGCGUGCAUACAGGGGUUGCUCAGUUACUUCAUUCACUUCUUGCAUGUGAAUUGCUUCAAUGAAGUCUCCAUAUUUUCUGUAACAAUUAAAAAAAUGGGAAAUUUUGAUACCAGUUAAGUUGUAGGGUUCUAGUAAAACUAUCUUAGUACAUAGGGCUUUACAGGUUACCUACAUCGUGAAGAAAUCUUUGACUUCAUUUUCGGAGAUUGGGUAGCCCUUGGAGAAGGUCAAGAAAAUGGUUCUUUCAUCCGGUGGAACAGGUCUCUCCUCAGCAGCAGAGAGAUCUAUGGGGCUGGGGCUAUGCCUCUGGCUCACUCCAGUACUAUUCAGGGUGUGUGGAGCAACACGAGCUGUUCCAGUUCGCAAGUCAGUGACACCUCCAACUCCAGAAUAAUACAAGGGCGAAGGUGGAGGCCGCACGGGAUCCAUCAUCAUCAGAGAAAACAAAUUCCCCACAUGGGCGGGAGUACCAUAUAUUCCUUCCCUAGCAACCCCAUUGCCCGCAUUGUUUUGGAAUGUUUGUUGCAGUAUGUCCUGAAAUGCCCGUGAACAAACUUCAUCCACCAGUUUUGCAACUCCUUUAAUUACAGCAAUCCUGUUCUCCUGAAAGAACUGAAGAGAAAUGGCGCCUUUUGUCAAGCACUGAAGCAAAGGAAUGAGGUUAGCAUCAGAGGAGGGAAGAGGCACGGGCUUAGGAUCGUCAAUGCAGUUCAAGCAGGUCACUGUCUCAUCUACGAUAGCAUUGAGCAUGAAACCCGGCAAUGCCAACACGUUGGUCACCAAGUUAUCACUGUAGCCCGUCUGCUCCAGCCAUAGCCACAGUGCAAUCACCUGCAUGGACUGGCCGGGGUUUCUGCCGAGAUUUUGGACUAGCCUUGCGUAAAGUUCACGGUCUACGGAGUGAAACAUGUUGAACUCUUCUCUGGUGACUAACGCAGAAGAAGACCCCAUUGCAGCGGAGUUGGGCAAGUGGGUUAAAAGAGGUUGGUGAUUUAUAGAGAUGAUGAGAUGCCAUUUGUGGGCUUUGGAAGACGACCAUUGGGAACGAAGCACCACCUCCAAAAGGCGCUCUUCUUUUCCGUAUUAAGAUCUUUUUCUCCGGCUGAUUCAACACAACGGUUGAUAGAGGAGUGAAGUGAGGGAGGACAGAGGAGCCCUCAUUCAUUUGCCUAACCUUUUUCUCUUUUUCCUUCGUGCCUUCUACCUUCUUCCUUUUCAGCUUCCUGUUUCCUUGUAUGACAUUCCGGAUUUUGAUUCGGGUCGGAAUCGCUCCGGUUCAAAUAGCAUCCGAAACCAUGCAAGAACAAAAAUCACUCGAAAUAUCGGCGAAUAAUCGCAUAUUCACGACCGGCCACAUGAAAAAACACGGAAGAAAUCUCGGUAGGCAUAAUUUUUUUUGAAAAAACAGCGAAAAAAUCCACCGAUUUAUUGGCUAAUAUCGAAAAUUUCGGGAAGUCGAUUGGAGCAGGCUUUCCUACAUAAAUUUGCCGAUAUAUCGGCGAUCCAUCCGCGGUUUUCUGAUAUUUCUGAGAAAAAUCGUUGUAAUUACCUUUUAUUUUAAUUUUUUCAUUUAUAUUAUCCUAUUAUUUUAUUUUUAAAAAUUAUCGAAAAAUUUGUGUGUCACUUGACUUUUAAAUUUUAAUAUAUUUAUCAUAUUAAAAAUUUAAUCUUUAAUAUUUUAUUUUAAAAUAUUAAAAAUAUAAAAUUAUUGAACAAUAAUAACUAAAAUAAGAACAAUUGAUAAAGUUCUAAUAUUUUAUAAAAUCGGAUAUUGAACAAAAAUUAAUUGGAUAAGAUAAAUCAUAAAUAUAAAUUUUUCUUGAUUAUUUUAUAUACAAAAUAAAAUAAAAUGAAUGUGUAACCUAUUUAUAAGAUUUGUAAUUAAAGUGUAAUUAUAAAAAAAAAUUAUAAAGAGUGUAAUUACAUUAUAAUUAAUUAUUUAUUUACUGAACAUUUACUAUAACAAUAAAUUAUCUAGUGAUUGUCCAACAAUUUAUGUGCUUGAUAGGAAAAAUUAAUACCAACCAACUAUAUUCAAAGUUCAAACUAACUUUUCAAUAAUUAGUAAUUUAUAUAAAAAAAAAUUAGAAAAACUACAAAUAGUAGACAAUAAAGAAUAACACAAAUAAAUUACCCAUUACGAAAAUAUCAAAUUAUAAUUUUCUUUUGUCAAUUUAUUUUAUAUGAUUAAAAGCAUAAUUGAAAAUCUAAUUUCGAAAAUUUAACCCUCAAUCAUUUUUUCUCGUGGAUAAAAAUAUCCAAAAUAUUUUAUUAUAAAUAUAAUCAUUUCUCUUUAAAACUUAUGUGUAAAUAGUUAAAAUAGUAAAAAAUAAAAAUAUCUAAAAAAUUCAAUUAACAAAUUUAAAAAUUAUUUCAUCCAUUUUAAUCGAUUAAUUCAAUUUUCUACCCAUAAUCUCAUGAUAUAAUUACACCAACCACGAAUCACCUGCUUUAAUUUUCAUUUUAAUGUGUAAAGUCUUCUAUUUGAAAAUAUUUUAGGGGCACUCAUAUAUAUAUUUAAUUAAAAAAAAUUCAAUUCUUUCUCUUAUUUUUAGAAUAGUCUAUGGGAUUACCUUUUACAUCAUUUUCCAAAAAGGAAAAAAUAAUCUCCUCAAAAAAACUAAAUAUGGUUUUUUUUUUAAUAAAAAUAUCCCACAUCGAAAUUUUUUGGUACCAAAAUGAAUUAAAAAAUGAUUAAAAUAGAGGAAAAAAAAACCAAAAAGAUUUAUUUCCAAUUAAGAUUUUAGGUUUAAAUUAAAAUUUUGUAUUUGUAGCCAAACAUUCCGAAAAUAAUUAUUUUCAACUCUUCCCAAAACAAAAAAGAAAAGGGCGGUUGGAAUUUGGAAAUGGCUACCAGUUCCAGAUUCCUCUUCACAAACGGCGUCAUUUCGCGAACUUCCGACACGCCGCCGGUAUCAACCUUGCUCGAAGCCCAUUCAGGUACCUCCCCAAACGACAAUAUUCUACCCCUAAUUGCUUUCAAAAACAUGUUUUUCAAAACAAUAUUUUGUUUUUCACAACAACAACCGAAACAAAUGACAUAGCGAUUGCUUCGUCUACCUCUUUCAUUCACUACAAACCCUCGGGCUCAAGAAAAAGCAGAAGUCUACAGAUGCUGAUUUUGAAAAAAUGCUUUUGUAAAACGAAUUCAGUUCAUUCGUGAUUAACAUUUCACAGGACCAGGUGAUUUGCAUUCAUCGCACUCCAUUGCGGGUGUUGCUUUGAGAACAAUCGAAAUGGAAUUUUCAGUUGCUUAAAAAAAUCACGAUCUCAAAAAAACUACAGUUUUUUGCUUUUGGAAUAUGGUUUUUGGAAACAGUUUCAGUUUCUCAUUUUCGGAAUCCAAUGUGCCAGGAGCUUACACAACCUCUCGCACUCACAACAACACUUCAUGCCUCCUCUUUUGGGAAAGACAUCUACAGAGACUGGCCGAGUCCACGAGAAUUCUAUACAACUCGAAACCGGGAUUUUUGUUCAAGUCCAACAAGCCUAUGCCUUCUUUGUUGCCUUUGUCAGUGUGGGACUCGGUGAUUCAGUCUCUAGUUCAUGAUUCCAUGAAUAAAGCCAUUCCAAUUGUCUUGAAUGAGAGGAGGAGUGGCGGUGAAUUGGCUAUUACUACUCUUGUUAGUGGGAAUUUCGAAAAAUUGAGCGAAAAUGAGAAUGUGGAUGAAGAAAGAAUUUCUCAGAUUCUUGAUGUGUAUUUACAUGUGGGAAGUUAUGUUCCUCCUGUGUUUGGUGUCCGAGAAAAUUGUGCAAAGCUGGCUGUGGUAGGUCCGGGGAGGGAUGUUGCUAUGGCAAAGUAUUCAGAUUGGCUGAGGUUGGUGUGGAUUUGGAAUUUUGGAGAAUUAGGGCAUAUUGGGUGCUGAGAGAUAUGAGAAAGAGAAAAAAUAUAACCUUUUUUCUGUGUUUUAGUUUUUCAGAAGCCCAUAGAACAUACAGCAAAAGAUUACCAAUUUUAUCCUGUUUUCUUUUCUAAUUUUCCUUGGCAACCAAAUAGAAGCCCAUUGUUUCUUAAUCCUCCCUUUUUUAUUGUUGUGAUAUGUGAUAUGCAAAUAUUGUCUUUCUAGACAGGCUUAGGAAGCCGUUGGAGAAGUUAAGGCCUGAUUUAGUUACAGAGCUCUUGUUAUCAAAUGAUGGUGAUCAGAUCCUUGAAGGCUGUAUAACAAAUUUUUUUGUCGUUUGCCGCGAGGUGAGUAGUUAAGAUUUGUCAAUAUCAAUACCCCUUUUCAUAAAUAACCCCCUUUGAAAAAGCCAUGUUGACAUUAAACUUAUCAUUUUUGGACAAAAUUGUAGUAUGGUUCCUUUAUUGGCUUGUUAAUAACUAGAACUUGACUGAAUUUUUUUGCAAGGUGUUGUUCAGCCUAGAUAUAUUUAUUUGAGAACCCAAUUGUAUUCACCUUCAUUGAGCUCUACUUAAACUUUAACUGUCAUCUACCUUGUAUGAGAAAAGUAUCCUGGUUCUAGAAUUUAGUUCUAGUUUGUUGCAUGAUUGGAAAUUUGUUGAUAUUUACAUAUCACUGAUGAUCAUACCAACUCGAGACACAUUUCUUACAGACUUAAAAUUAAUAGAAGGAUGCAAUGAAGGCUAAAGGAAGUGCCCUAAUUUGGCAGAGGUUACAGGGAGUUUUUAUUUAGUGUCAUUGAACCUACAGGAUGGUCAAAUAGUUCAGAUGGAAGUAUCAAGUGCUGUCCAUUAUUAUUUUAAUAUAUAUAUAUAUAUAUAUAAAUAUAUAUGAAAAAGAAUGAGAAGGAACUACUAGGGAUUUUUUUUUUUUUUCUGUCUAAUUUCGGUCAUCAAGUCACCUUGUUGACCUGCUUAAAUGUUUAUAAUGGAAAGAAGUGAUGCCAAUUCACAACUUAUUCUAUCACAUGCAUGGUGGUCACUGAUCUGAAAUGCCCCUAUUGUUGCCAAGGAGGAAACUGUCUUGAUUGAGGCUGUGAAAUGUCAAAACUGUCCUUUGUUGUUUGGAAGAAAAUAACGAUUAGAAAAUACUAAAUCUCCUGGGGAAAAUGCCUUUCAAAACCAGAUUAUGCUUUCUAAUUUUAAGUGCUUUUGAAGGUUUUUAAUGUGCUUCAAUACUUCCUUUCACGGAUAAAACUUGUAUGCAUUUAACAAACUAUGUUAGUUUCAAGUUUCUAUUGCCAGCUCUUGAAAGCUUGUCUAAGCAAUUUUCAAUUAGCAAAAGUGGCUCCAUCUGUCUUUGUAAAUGCAGUUGCCCUCCCCUGUGAGUUCUAAAUUGAUGCAUGACUUCAAACUUAUAAGAUCCAUAUGAUGAUUGGGAAGAGAGAAAGAGUUCGAAUGUUAAUUUUAUGAUUAUGUUGUAGUUUAUGAAAUUCAUUUUCAGGAUAGCAGUGAAGUAAAGGCAAAAAACCUACAUGAUUAUGGAAGUACAUCUUCUUUCGAAGUACAAACUGCACCUUUAAGUGAUGGUGUUCUUCCAGGAAUCAUUCGGCAAAUAGUCAUUGAGUAAGUCCUUUCCUCUUAUGGAACUCUAGAUUUUGUUGUUUUCAGUAUAUAUAUAUAUAUAUUUACAUUUUUGAAUUGAAUGAUAUCAGUUAUGUUAAUCUAAUGUGGAAUGUGCACAAGUUUUCUCUUUUAAUGGAUAUCAUGCACUGUUAUAGAAAUUUCAAGAUUUGAAAUGAAAAUGACAAAGAUAGGUCUGUCUAAGAAGAAGAUGACCUCAUUUUUACAAGCUGCAAAUAAUGAUAAGGGUUUAGAUGAGUAAUCAAGAGAGAAAAAAAAAAACAGACAUUUUGGUGCGGAAGAAUGAUUGCAUUGCCACUGCUGAGGUUAAAAACUUCCCAGGUCAUAUGGAAGCCUUAGGUUUACAUGAUCCUUAGUUCCUUCAGAAAAAGCCAUUAUAAUAUGGGAAAUCUUUAGCACCUAGAAAAAAAUGCAGUUUGGGUGAUGGCAUAAACUAAUUGGGGAUUUGAGAGGUUGAAAGACCUGAUAGAUGAACAAAAAUAAGGUUCAUCAGCUAUUCCCAUGCAUAUAACCUUUGACCUUUACUAAAGGUAUAGCAUUGGUGCUUCAAUUUCAUGAAAAUCCAUAUGGACAUGUUCCUUGUGCUUUGUAGUCCAAAGAAUCAAAGAAUGAUUGGCAUAAUCUUCCACUCUCUUUACAUUCAUAUACUAAUUAUUUCCAGAUCUGAGGCAGUUGGACUCUUGGAACUUGCUUGAAUCUUGGAUUUGCAGGGGCUUAAAAACAAUCCAUUUGUCUCUCUUGCACACACAGGGCACAAACACAUCAAAUUGAUUUAUGAACAAAUUUAAAGCAAGAAUAACUUAUAUUGUCCACUAGACUGAUCUCAAAUCGGGGUUAUUAUCUUUGGCAAUUACUGUUCUAUCAAUUCUUGUAAUGACCAAUCACAGAAUGCCACUUCACUUUGGGCUGUUUUGAUGAAAAUACUGUUUAGAUUGGUGAUUGCUAGAGUCGGAAUCAAUGUCUUUGCAGAUUGCACUGUAUAGUGUAUACCAGUUCCAUCUUUGCUGAUAACAUUGCAUUACAGAUUCUGGUCACCCCUAGUAAUUAUUCUUCCAUGAAUAUUUUAUAAAUGCAUCAUUGUCAGAUUAACAGUGGGCUACAAUCAUUUUCUCGAGCAACCAAGUCCUGCAAAAAGUCAAAAUUAUGUGAUGACCUAGAAAUUCAGUAUCUGGAAUCUGCAUAUCUAGUGAAUGUUUAAAGUUAGCUUUGGGAACUGUCAUGAGCGAGCACUUUCAUCCUUCAACCAGUUUUUCAGAGCCAUAGUUCAGUUGUGGCAUUCCUUCAACUCCCACUAUUUGCAAUCAACCAUGAAGUCUAGAACACCUUUGUCUGUAUCACCUUCACCAAGUCUGAAAACCUUAUUUUCUGAUGCUACUGCUCCUGCAUCACCCUCACCAGCUAUGAAUCGAACUUAAAACCAAAUAGGAGUUGACUCUGACCUUAUACAGCCAGUUCGAUUAACCAAUAUGGUUUGAGAAAAUCUAGCUCAAACUUUGUAUGUGUAACAACUUUCCUUACUGCAGAGUAUGCUUGAGCAUGGGAAUUCCACUUCGAGAAGUUGCGCCUUCAUGGUCAAAGUGUGAACUCUGGGAAGAGGCAUUCAUUACAAGUAAAUCUUCUAGUUCUUUCUAUCUUUUUCUAGAGGUAGGAAAUAAUUUUUCUUUUCUAGAUAUGUAAAAUUUGGGCCUUCUGUGGGCAGUUAUCUUGUGGCAGGCACAGAUUCUAGUCUUCUAUGACCUUUCUAACUGCAAUCUGCAGUAAAUGCUUAAUUUGGGCGUAUCAGGAAUUAUGAACUGACCACCUUUGAAAAUUUUAAACUUCAUCUCUAGGGUUUAGCCUGAAACUUGUUUUGGUUCUUGGCUAAGCUUCUGUUACUAAAUGUUAGUAUUUAACUGUGAAACCUUUUCAAAUAUCUUUGUGUUUAAUUUCUUAAAAUCGCAUGGUUUAAAAAAUCUAGCAACUUCUGUUGUGUUAGUAAUGAAAGGGCCAGGAUCAUCAUUUGUAUGGCAUUUCUAACUUGGACAUUGCCAUCAGUCUAUGACUUUGGAAUAGGCGACUUAUGUUAUAGAAUAAGCAUACAAGUUGGAAAUGCCAUUUCUAAGUCUAUCCAAUGAAAAAUAAUACCAUUUCCACUGGCUAGACAAGAAAUGCCAUUGAAACUAGGUAGAAGUUCAGGUACUACUUUAAUAUAAUACUACUGAGUUCGAGUCCACUAGAUCAGGGGCAAUGACAUUUGCCAUUUUGAUAUUCCCCUUACCAAUGCUAUGCAAUUGUGGCUAGUCUUUCAUGCAAUUUGAUGUUUCGUCUCACACUCUAUCCUGCCAUUGUAGAUUCUAAAAAGCUGUUGCAACAUGGACUUCAGUACUUGUAACAUUUAAGUAGAGCUUUGUUUCAGAUAGCUUGAGAGUGAUGCAGCAUGUGGAGACAAUUCAAGCUCCAAGUUCAUGGGAACAGCUGGAGUCAAAUAAUUGGAAGGAGGUAUCAUGGGAGGAAAAGAGAUUUAAGGUGUGUGAAAUUCUGGAAAUUUAAAAGAUUUAGUGCUUGCACUGCUGCUAUACAUUGUAUUCAUAUUGUCGUUCCUUUUGAAUGUAAACAGGAGGGUCCUGGGAUGAUCACAGCAGUAAUCCAGGUAAUUCUUGACUGGCAUUAGAAUCCCAUCAUUGAUGUUGACUAAUUCAUUCUUAAUCGUGGAGGUCCUAUUUCCUAGUUUUAAAUUUGAAGAACAUCAGAAUGUUACAAAUUGAAAUUUAAAAAAGAAAUUAAAAAAAAAAGAAAGAAAAAAAAAAGAGGGAAAAGAGAAAGGAAAUGAAAGGAGGAAGCUCUACACCAACUGGAUUGAAUAAUUGUAAUAUCACAACUACAAGUUUAAUUCGUAGUACUCCGUAACCCUCUUUUCUUUUUUUAUUUUACACCAAAGGAUGGGAUGUUUUAUUUCUUUAUUUAAACUCCAUUUUGCACCCAAACAACGGAAACUGAAUAUUGUUUAUAUCAAGCAUUCAACAACAUGCCUUAAUUACCGGAUAGGGAACCAACCUGAAUCCAUUAUACACUUGAUGAAGAGGUAUGGAUCUUCUUAAGCUGUAGAGGGGUAUCCACCUUUCUUAGUCUCUCUAACGAUGGGAGCGGGUUCUGUUCUUAUUCAAAAGAUGUGAUCUCAAGAACAGACACUUAGCCUUAUAUUUAUACCCUCUAUGCCUUAGGGACCAUACACUUUGGACUAUCGCGCCUUGCGAGUCUUAGGCCCAUCAUCUAAGACCCGUUAUGGCUCUGGACUCUACACAUGAGGUGACUCAUACUCUAGAUUAAAUAGAAAUUAUAUAUAUAUAUAUAUGGAUAGCUAAAUCCUGAACAAUGAUUAAUAUGAUGUGGGUCUACAUUUAUUCUAAGAUGGGAGACAUCAUGAAAAUAACAGCUCUCUUCAUGUUCUUGAACAGAAAGAGAUCAUGGAGAAAGCAAGCCUUGAAGGGUUCCCAAUGAGCAACUUUAUUUAAGAGAUGAAAUGCUUACAUCGUCUAUUAUUUUCCUGGGGAAGCUGAAGAGAAAAUGCGGAUUUGCCGACAAUCUGGGGGGCCUAGCGUCUUGCCUGCAAGCACAACUUCAAAAUUUUCCAAGCAUACCGUGUUUCUUUCAUGUAUUGGAAGCUUUUUUGACAUGUAGCCUGUGUUUGCCGGAAAUAAAUUGUGAUGAAGACCUUGUAUAAAAAGAUCUUUCAUUCUUCCCCGUGUUCAUUGCAUCUCAGAAUUCCAUUUUCCUUUUGACUUUGCUUGACCCAGCUCCAUUUUAUUGCCAUGUAGACAGGAAAAAGAAGCGAGAAAUUCGGGUCUCAUCACAACUAUUUUGAAAUAUUUUUAAUUAAAAUUCUUUUUUAGAUAUGUUUUUAAGUAGAAUCAUCUCAAUUAUUUUUCUAAUAAAAUAUUUUAUUACAUCGCAUGCGUUUUUUACUUUUUAUAUCAUUUUGUAUUAUUUUUAAAAGUAUUUUCUAAAAACAAAAUUAAAGGAUAAUAAUAAUGUGUUUUAUUAUUUCAAUAAUUUAAAAAUAAUUAUUAUUAUAAUUUAGGAAGCAAAAUUAAAUUAUAAUUUUAUUGCCAAAGAAUUCAGUACAACCGUAUCCUAAAGACCUGAUUCUAUGUACAGAGACGGCAUUCAGCGAGGCAAAGAAUAAAAAAGGGACGGUGGUGAUGAACUAAAAGCCAACCAGUCAUCAUACUUCUCUCCCUCUCUUCUUCCUCUCUCUCUCUCUCUCUCUCUCUCUCUUAUCCAGCGUCUGAUCUCUGUCCAAAAAAACAAAAUCAAAAACAAUUCCAUCAAAACUCUCUCUCUCUUCUACGCGCGCCAAAUACAAACAUUCUUCAAACACUCUCUCUCUCCACAGGUACGCUCUCUUUCUCAAGCUCUCUUUCUCUCUCUAUCUGUACGGACGUGAUGGAUAUAGGGUUUCAGUGUUCGUUUCUCAACCUAGGGUUCCGGCGACCAUGGCAGAUGGUCCGGCGAGUCCCCCCGGAGGCAGCCACGAAAGCGGCGGGGACCAGAGCCCCCGCCACAACGUUCGUGAGCAGGACCGGUACCUUCCGAUCGCCAACAUCAGCCGCAUCAUGAAGAAGGCGUUGCCGGCUAAUGGUAAGAUCGCCAAGGAUGCGAAGGACACUGUCCAAGAGUGCGUCUCCGAGUUCAUCAGUUUCAUCACCAGCGAGUACGCGGAUCUCUCUCUCUUUUCUUUUCCUUCUAUUUCUCCGAUGAUUGUGUUUUGGGUUAUUUGAUUAAAAGGAUGAAAUCUUUUCCUUCUAUUUCUCCGAUGAUUGUGUUUUGGGUUAUUUGAUUAAAAGGAUGAAAUAAUCCCAAUUGGUAAAGCUAACCAUAACCGUUCACUCAUUUUCAACCUAAACAAUAUCCAUUGUUGACCAAAAUAUCCUUCACCUAACAUGGCAGAGUUUGAUUUACAAGGAAAUUAGGGUUUUGGUUUUGCAAUUGCAAAAUAUUUUUUGAAAAUGUUUCUUGUUUAGGGCUAGUGAUAAGUGUCAGAAAGAGAAGCGAAAGACGAUUAAUGGUGAUGAUCUGCUUUGGGCGAUGGCGACCCUAGGAUUUGAAGAUUAUAUUGAACCACUAAAGGUGUACCUGCAGAGAUAUAGAGAGGUAAUAAUUCUUCUGGUUUUAGUUAUCAUUGAUUGGUUAUGAAAAUGAAAGAAAUCGAAGUUUUGAAUCUUCACGGUUUUUCUUCUAGUACUAAAUAUUAUUUUUUUGUUUUUGUUUCAAUUUAAUUUAUUGAUAUGAGAAGAUGGAGAUUUCUUUUAAUUUGCCAAGUAAUAGAGGAAAAGAAAAGACAAUGAAGCUUGGCUUCCAAAAUCAACAAAUUUAACUCAGCUAAUCCAAUUAGUUGUGUUAAAUUCAUUGAGUGGAGCCUUUUUUUUCUUGAGUUCCCAAGUCAUGAAAAAUCCGAGCUUCAAAAUCCUUUUUAUAGGUCUAUUGCUCUCCAAAUGAUCCAGCUUCUUCACGUUAGCAUAUAUCAAUAUUUUAUCUCCAAAAAUAUGCUUAUUUGUUUAAAGGUUGACCUGACAAAUUUUUAAUAUGUUUUUUUUUUUUUUUUUUUGUGUGUCUUAUCUUCACCAAAUGGUCUUGGCAUCACAGCUGGAGGUACAACCCUUUUCCUCUACCUAGUAUAAUUGUUGUUUUUUUUUUUUUUAUCUAUUUAUUUCCUUGAUUAUUUGCUUGUUUGUGUUGUGUAUUCUUGUAAGCUUAUGUUUUAAUGAUGUUAGCCAAUUGUAAACUUGGACAGGGUGAUACCAGGGGAUCUGCUAGAGGUGGAGAUGGAUCUGCUAGAAGGGAUGCAAUAGGAAGUCAACCUGGUCCAAAUGCACAGGUGCUAUAUUGUCAUCUUCAUUAGAACAUAGAUUUGGGCUUCACAUGUUUUAAAUAAUAGCAUUCAUUUGUUAUUGUGGAAUGGGCUCUCAUCCACAUUCUUUUCCUUAAUUCUGAUUUAUUUGGGAAUGAAUAUGGCAGUUUGCUCAUCAGGGGUCCUUUACGCAAGCAAUGAACUAUAUGAAUUCCCAGGUACAUCUGCGCGUGUGUGCAUAUGUGCUGUCUAUAACAAAGAAAAGAUAUGAUCGCUAACUGACAGUUAGGAUAUAAUUUUGCUUGUGAUAUCGAAUUAAGUAUUACCUCUUCACCUUUGCUUCUUUUGAAAGAACAAUCACAACUGGAAAUUUUUAAUAUUCAAGGAGUUCCAUUUGCACUUCUCUUCUCUCAUGCCAUGUACUUUUAAAGUUGUUAAAUGGUGUUGACAGUAAUAGAGCUAAUCCAAAACUUGGUGUUAGAUUGUGUAGUUAGCUUGACCAUAGCACCAAGGAAAUAGUGGAUGACCUCUUCUUAUUGUGUCUUUUUGAAGAUUUUUUUAGUCAAAAAACAACUGUUGCGUCUUUCCAUUUUUUAAUGUAAGUCCAGAUUGAAGUUUUAGCCAAGGACACACACCCAGUUGGACCUGCCUACACCCUAUGGCUUAAAACCAAGGUUGGGAGGGUUUAGAUUCUUGAAAAGUUAGGUCAGUCUACUUUUUUUGGGCGGAUUCAUUUUGGUGCAUUUGGGGCUCAUAAUAGUGGAUUAGACUUGUUGCAUGAUAGGCCUGCUCAGAUAGGCCACCCACUUUUGUCGUGUGUGAAAUCUUGAACCAAUAAGCAAUGGUUUAAAUUCUACUCUCUAGGUUAAACUUAAGCUCAGAGCAAACAUUUGCUACCCCUAAGUUGAGUCCUGGUCUAAUUACCAUAAUUGGUUAACCAUUAGAUUUUGAUCCAGCCUUUUCCUUUAGUUUUUUUAUGCUUAAACACACACAACAACAACAACAACUUUGUUUCUUUCCGAUAGAUGCUGAGCUUUUCUGUUUUGAUAGCCUCUUUGUGUCUUGUACUUAUGUCCAGUUCCUACCUAUGAAAUGCUUGCAUAAUUAUAUUUGAAUGCCAUUGAAAAGGAUUUUCUUCAGUUAAUACUAACUGUAGGUUUAUUGUGGACUGUUAGUUCAUGUAAUAUUACAUGAAUAGGAGUAUUUUUUUUUUUUCAUAUGCAGUAUUUGUGGUCACACUUAAAACAGAAGCUAAACAGUAUGUAGGUGGAAAAGUAUUCGAUGAUUAAAGAAAAAUUAUGACCUUAAUAGGAUGAAUAAAAUCAUCUAAACAAUUAGAAUUUGGAAUAGGCAAUUUGUUUACAUGGUUAUUUUUUUUUAAAAAAAUGACAAGCAUUACCCAUAAUAGAGGUUUGAGUUGGAAAAAGAAUAAAUCAAGAAAGAAGUUGAAUCCUAAUCCAAAAUGUGGAAAAAAAACAUAGCUCUAAAAGGCAUAAAGUUCUCGUGGGUCUUGCCACAACCCAUUACCCAAGGAAACGCUUGAGGAAGGUGAAUCGCAAUUUAGGUUGUGCAUGUCAAUUUUAUAACAUACUGAAAAUCUGAAGAGGCAAGCAUUUAGCAUAGGCUUGUAUAUCACCAAAUAUUAUUCAAAGUAACAAACCUUGAGAUUUCAAGCAUUAUUUACUAGAAGCACUCAACAGAAAACUAAUGCAAUUAUAUAAAUUUUCAAUAUGCACUCAAAAACUUCAAGAAUAAAAAUCUAGAAGGAAAAAUGAAAAUAGAUGAGGUGCACUUCUUCAACAAGGUGUGUCCCUUAGCAGGCAAAGCACUGCAUUUUGGGCCUAGGCACUACAGCUAGGGAGUAAGUGCACUUUGUGUCUAGGUGUGCCUAAUGACCAUGGAAAAGAAAAAUGAUAGAGAAAGCUAAAUUAAAUACUUAAGGAAUUAUUUAAGAAUGUGGAGAAAAACCUGUUAUUUUGUGAUAUUCACAAUCGAAUAUGAAAAAAUGUGAUUGAAAGUAAUGAAUACAAUUUUCUUCUGAAAGAUACUGAGGAAGGCAGAGAAAGAGAAAUAGAGUGGCAAACACGAUAUAUUUUACAUGAUCUUCUCAAACUUGAGGCACUUAAUGGAUCACACUAAUUCCACCAUAUCUCAGGAAGAAAGAAAAAAAAUAUGAAACAGUCGAUCCCAAACCUGGGUAUCCCAUCUACUGAUUGGUACCCACCUAUGCAUAACAAAUCUAAGAUGGGAUGUGGAUGCUUGAUCUGUGGAGCUGUGACAAUGCUAGACUUGGUCACAACACAGCUACAGCUGGACAUGUGUUGAGCGUACCCCGCAGUUGUCCAAGUGUCUAUAAAUUAAUUUGUUAAUAUUGGAAGUAAGUCUGACACUCGGAUGAUACACUACAAACAUGUAGUGAACACAAAAUGGAAAUGGUUGACAGGCUCCAACAUGUGAUGGACAUACCUGUCUAAGAUCCAAAAUAUGUGGUAAUUGGUGAAUUUAACCCAAAAAAAGCACCAGUACCACAAAUCUAGUGGUUUUUUUCUUUCUUUUUUUCCUUUUUUAUUCUGAUAAAGAAUCUUGUGGCUAUUAAGGCUCGAUUAUUUUUUAGCUUCCAACAUGGAUUUGCUACACUGCUAAUUUCUUUGUUUCGUCUUGCUAAUUUGUUUCGCCCUUGUUUACAUUAUUUACAUUACAUGAGAUGAAUGUGAUAAUACGAUGAAAAUGGUUAUAUCAUUGCAUUUGUGUAUUUAUUUAAUUGUCAUCCCAAUGUCUAUUUUUUUAUUCUAAGUGGAAUAUUGGUAAUUGUUUCAAUUUUUUAUCAUUAUUCUCUCCAUUCAAGAGGUUUGGAGAUGUGCUUUCAAAUGAUAUACAAAAUAAAAAUGUCCCUUUUCUCUGUGCAUUGUGGGGUGGAGUAGGAUUACUGGCUUGGAUUCUAAUGCAAUGGAAUUCUUUGCAUUCUGCAGGCACAGGGGCAGCAUCUAAUUGUAUCUCCCGUGCAAAGUAGCGAGUAGGAGACUCUAGCUUCUCUUUUACCAAUUCAAUGAUUCAGAAUUUUGACUGGUAGAUACUAUUUAACACCCCUACCGUCCUUUAUACAUAUUUUCAAAUACCGCAUAUUUUUGUUUGGUUUUUCUUUUCUUUCUUUCUUCUCUUUUUUGGUUUGGGGGUGGGGUUUCUGAUCGUGUUGGUGCUCUCAUCAGCAGAACAGCUGGGAUAGCCCGAUAUUGUAGAACUGGAUCUUUGCCGUUUAAUUAUCUAGGCAUAUUUGAGGGCAGACUGCAAUAUCUGGAGAAGGGUUUGCAUAUGAUACCUUAGACUUUCAUCUUCUGCCGUGUAAGGUGGGUGACGCCUGGAAUUAUAUUUUGCUCGUUUUGGAUGAUUAAGCAACAGCUAAUAUUAUACCUCAGAUUGUCAUCUGGUGCCAUGUAUGUCAGAAGAGGACUUGUUAUUAUGUUUUUUUUUGGAGGAUUAAUAUUUUGUUGAUGGGUUGAGACAUGGUCGAGUUUUGGGUUGGUGUAUCUUGCAUUUUUGAGGACCCUUUAUUUCAUAAUCUCUCUUUUUUUUUUGGAUUGGGUUAGAGUGUACUUAGGUGACUAUUCCAUGACCAUGAUAGACUUUAUAAAUUGGCUGUGCUCAAAGUAGGUUGAGGGAGAGGUUGUUUUUAUUCCCCUGCCCCUCUUUUUGCUUGUCUGAUGGUGUUUUUUGUAUACAUCAUAUAUACUCUGAUGCGCCCUUUUUCAGGCCCUGCUAAUGUAUCCUCAAUUUUGCCUAUAAAAAAAUGCAUGCUCCCUGUGUACAUUGAUUAUAGCCCCUUUUGGGCUAUACCUUCUUGAGUUUUUAUUUGUAAAGGAAAGGGGAAAAAAACAGCAGUUCUUAUCUGGCAAAGGAUGAUUGCAUGCUUGUCGAUUGAAAACCAUGUUCCUGUCCAUGUCCAUGCAUUUUGGCAAUUAAUCGUGUGCCUGGUGCUUGGACUCUUUCUAGUCAAUUGCAAGAACCUCAUGUCAACUUUUCCUUACAAGAAAUACCGCAUUUUGCUUGCCCUCCAACGUGAUCUGGCCCCAGGGACUCAAGUUGCAUGCCCUGUCUAGUUUGAUUUGCAGGACCCAAGCUACAUGCAUUAGUAUUUUGGGUAGUCAUAAAACUCUAUUCAAUUGGCAUCCAGCAAAGCAGAUAUAUGCCUUUAUUAUUUUUUGACUAUUCAAAGUUUCCUAGGGUUCAAUUAUUUGUCUUGGUCGUGGGGAUUGUUAAUUUUAGGUUAGUCCAGGGACAUGAAACUGUCUCCACCUGCCAGUUUUGACUUGGAUGGUAAACACACCAGGUCCCCAGACCUGCAGAAGAAGCAUGUUUUGCGUUUUUAAUUCUACUGAUAACAAUUCUUAUCAUUUGGGUUGCUAUUAAUCACCAAUAACAAUAAGGAGCGUGGUCUUCAAAAAAUUUGUUAUCGUUUCUGGUCUUGAGGGUAACAAUUUUUUUGAGAAUAAAACGAUAAGAUGUUGGAAAUUAGAUGCUAAAAAACUGGUACAUGUAGUGAUUGGGAAUUGGUUGACUUAGUUAUGUAGCUAAAACAGUUAGGCCCAUGCCGAUCAAAGAGGGAAUUGGUGGGACUCCAAAUUGCAAAUCGUAAUAAUGAUAGGAGUCAUUCAAUGGAGGGUGCAUUAGAAAGCCAAGUUGGGGAUGUGUGUGUAGGCAAAUGGCUUAAUGUGAAAGGGUGUGGGUGUGAGUGGGAGUUAAAUUCACUUACUAUGGGGAGUCCAAACUGAACUGUACUGUGAGCCACAAGCAUAAGACAGGGGUGAGUUUGGAGCACGUGACGCUCACUUGUGAGUUAGGUGGACGCGUAACGUACACGUGAGCUGGGGAUAGGAGGGAGGAGGGUCACAGUGUCGCAUCAUUUUGUAUGCUCACCCCAAUCUAUCAAACAUGGGGGCCAAAAUAAAGAAUGAAAUCCCCCAUUGGAAGAGAAAAGGGCACCAAAUAUGUAGUAAUAUAUCUUAAUGGUCUCCCACGACGUGUCCAUCAUUUCAUGCCCUGCACAAGCAGGCCAGCUCACACCCCCCACCCCCACCCCCUCAAAGAGCACCACCACCAUUUCCAGAGUGGUAAAAACUCUACAUAUAUGAGUGUGUCUCACAAUCACGUUCGUCAGGGAGAGAAAAGGGGAAGUGUACGUGGUUAGGCCAACUCACACCCUCAAAGGCUCCAGCUCACACAACCUCCCACCCCCCACCCCCUUCUUAGUAGUCCUCUUACCACCUCCCCCAGAUUAUUAUUUAUUAUUAUAAUCUCGCAAGAACGUGAAGACUGAAGACUGAAGAGGGAGGGAGGAGCAGGGUCUUGUUUCUUUCUCGGUCAAAACGAAGCUUAAGCUUUACAAGUUUUAUCCACUAUACAAAAAAAAAAACCAAAAAAAUGGGGUACAGCUGGCCACGUUAAGCGUCCAGAGAGGGGAGCUGGCCACUCUCACGUGGUCGUCUAGGGGGUCGUUGAAACCAAGAUGGACAGAUACAGACUGAGUGAAAGAGCAUCCCUACCAUGCUCUCUCUUUUAUUCCAUUGUCUCCCUCACGUGCCUUCUCUCUCUCUCUCUCCUCAAAUUGAAGGUUAAUUAAAAUUUCCCUAAUAUACAUUGGUUGGGGUUGGUAAAAACCCUAUUCACUUCUCCUACCCUCUGCCUUCAUUUUUACCUAUUUCCCCCCUUGAUGAAGACUGGUGUCUGCAGAUUUCAAUAAAUGGUUUACUGCUGGAAAGGGUGGUAAAUUCUUACCAUUUCUAUUCCAUAUAGAAAAGCUUCUUCUCCUCUCCGGAUACAAUUCUUUAUCAUUAUUCAUGCACGUCUCCCUCUCAUUGGUUGAGACCACGACACAUGGUAAGUACCCUAUGACUCAUCAUGCAACCAUGUGCCAUACCAAAAUACCGAAAAUUAUUUUUUUUUAAAAUUAAAAAUUAUAAAACCCUAAAUAAAAUUAAUAAUAAUAUUUACUUCUCACAAAAGCCUCUUUUUUACAGCUUCUAAAUCACAUUUUCAGCAUGUGACACAAUUUUUUUUUUAAAAAAAAAAAUCAAUAAUUUUGAAAAAUUCAAUCAAAAUUAGUUAUUUGGAUGCUUUAAUGUUUUAACUCCCAAACUCAUGAUUACAACCACCAGGUUUGGUUGUUUAUUUUUGGCCUUCCGUACAAUCUCCAUUAACCUUAAUCACCAUCAAUCACGGCUACUUUGCCUUUUCGUCAUAGUCUACAAAAUAUCAUUAAAAUAAUUUUGUACAUUUACAUUACAUUUUGCUAAUCAAUUGUAUGUAAAAUUACUAUAAAAAAACGUUUAUUUUAAAAAAAAAAUUAUAUAGGUUUUUUUGGGAUAUAUUUUUAUUUUUAUUUUAUAUUUUAUAUAAAAAAUAUUAUUUUUAUUUUAUUUUUAAAAAUAAAAAACAUGUCACGUUUAUUUUUCGAUUAUAUUCGGGUUUUGGAGAACAAAUGACUUGCGGCCAACGAGGCAAGCAUCUGUGACGAAAAUCCAAUGGGCGGUUGAUAGGUUGCACUGCCCAAAUCCAGUACUGCACUAGGUCAUAGGGGUGUAGGGGACGCGCUGUCCAUGGAGUGGGACCCAGAAACAGAGUGAUUGGGUCCACGUGAUCAAGUGGUGGUAGGUAUCAUUGAUAGUGAUGCUGACGCAGAUCAGAUGUCUUGACUUUGACUGCUUCGUUGCAUACAAAAUAACCAAAACAACAGCAUCCGACAUCACUAUCUCAAUUAAAUUAUUUCUAAUUUCUACUUCUUUUUUGUAAUAUUUUUAUGAGCUAGGAUUCAGCUCAAAUUAUUCAAAUGAAAUUUGAAUACUUUUCUAUUUUAUAUUUCAAAAAUAAAUAUUUUAAAUAAAAAACAGAAAACAAUUGUGUUAUUUUAUUUUUAUUUUUUUGAAAAGCAAAAAAUCGUUUUGAAAAAUAUUACCAAACAGAUAUUUAAUUCAUGUUCCUAAAUUUUUUUUUCAAAAUUUGAAAUUUUUGUAGAAGUAAAAAACUUUACUUUAAUUUUAAAAUUUUUUUAACUUUUAUAUUAAUUUUUUUAUUUUUAAAACAAAAAAAAUCAAAAUAUAUCCAAAUAUACACUUGGAUUACCUUUAAACCAAUGUAAUUUUGUACUAAAAGCGAAUGGUUAUCAAAUUCUAAAAAUUUUAAAAAUAGUAUUUAAAAAAGCAAGAAAAUUUAAGGGGGAAAAUGUAAAAAUUUUAUAAAUAUAAAGGGCAUAUGUUUAUUCGCCGACUAACCUUCUAGGACAGCACGUCACGUACGUUAAAUUCGUUAACCGUGGGAGACCCAUAUUUUUCAAUUAACGUACGACGUGCCGUUUCGGUGUUCCUCCUUUUAGACGUUGCACUCGGGGAGAGUGUCAACACGCGCCACUCUUACAAUGACAACGUUGGAUCCAAGUGUAGUGGCUUACGCAUUGUUGGCACAAACUUUUACUGGUUAAAAUUCUUUUAAUUAAUAUUUCUUUUUUAAUAAAUAUAGGAAUUUUAAAAAUAAUUUAAAAUUUUGAGUGUUAAUUUUAAUUUUGUUUUAAUUAAGAAAAUAACAGAUCAUGGAUGACACGUUUACAGAUGGGUUAUGACAGAUAUAACCCGGAGUGGACAUGUCUAAUUAAUUGAUAGGAAAAAGAUUGAAUUAUCUCCUAAAUAAAUGCUCUUACUUGUGUCCUACUAAAUUAUUUUCUUAAAUAUGUUCUCCAUUAAAACCAUUGAUUUCCCUAUUGGCCAGAGAAGCAUUGUAAAGAGACGAUUCUGUUCCUCUAAAACAACUGUUGCCGCCCUUGAGAAAGGGUAAUUUCGACUUUCCAUGUUGAAAUCAACUGGAGAGGCGCCCACGUAAGACACCGCAAUUAUAGGAGCAUUUCUGUAGAAAGCUUAAUGAACCCCGUUAAGCUGUCGUCCCGGAGCGUGGGAAACACAUCACCAGAUAAAACUGGGAAAGGAAGUAGUGGUGGCGCGUGGGAAGAGAGGAGAGAAGGUUGAAAAGGAGGUAGACAUCACGUUGAUGUCCUAAGCAGAGUCUAUCUGGCUGCCCCUCUGUCUAUCUGGUUUUUUCUUCCCCACAUUAUUUUAUUCGUAACCCCCCGACCUCAACCUUAUAUACUCCAAAACACCCUCUUCCUCUCCCUCCACAAACCCUUUUCUCCCUCUCCAACUCAUGCCAUAGUGUCAUCCUCCCAUCAUACGCCGUCGUUUCAGGAGAAAAAGAGAUACAUUGGACAUGACGAUGAGCAACGCCAUCGGACAGUUCGGCGACACCACGCUUACCAAAGUGUUUGUUGGCGGCUUGGCAUGGGAGACUCCCAAAGAGGCCAUGAGAGACCAUUUCGAGAAGUAUGGUGAGAUCUUGGAGGCCGUCAUCAUCUCCGAUAAGCUCACCGGCAGAUCCAAGGGCUACGGUUUCGUAAGUGCUCGCUCUUUGCAGGGGAUUGAUAGGUUUGCUUUGUUCGGUUCGGUUGCUAAUGCGCUUCCGGUUUUUGGGUAUAGGUGACGUUUAAGGAGCCGGAGGCGGCGAAGAAGGCCUGCGAGGACGCCACGCCGAUGAUCAACGGCCGCCGAGCCAACUGCAAUCUGGCUUCUCUUGGAGCGCGACGCCCGAGGUCGGCUGCCUCCAGUACACCACCUCACCAAGGUAUCUUUAAUCCCUACAAUCAAAAGUACAAAACGCGAGAAAUGUUAUUUUCGUAAAUUUCAACUUCAUGGAGGUCUUAAAUUAUGAUGUUUUCUGUCGUUUAGGAUCUAACGGUGGAUCGAGGCCCACGUCAGCUGCACCUGCUAGUCACGUGCAGUGGUACUAUCCGGCCGGAACGCCGGCUCCCCCCUUCCAUCACCAGCAUCAUCAGGCUGUUCCUUUUUAUGGGUAUGCUUCUUUUUCUUGAUUUUCCGUUACGUUUUCAUAUUAUAGAGAUUCGCCGCGUCUCAUUGUAUCAGUUCCGGUUUCAGGUACUCCCCCGCCUACAUUGCGGCCGACAUCAGUUACAAUCAUGUAAGUGCAACUGUGAAAUUAGGUACAAGUGAUUUAUGAACCGUCCGAUUCUUUCAGUCAUGAUCCAACGGCUGACAUAGGGAUUGUGUGUUGUGGCGGUGCACAGAAGCUAAGCUACACAGGUGGUUCGUACAUGAACGGGCAUUUCUCGCAGGUGUAUCCAGGGCAGGCUAUGGUGGGUGCGAACGCAUUGAUGCCAAUGUACCCUUUCUAUCAUUUUCAUCAAUCACAGACGAUGGGGCAUCCAGCUCACAUGUUUCCACCAACGACGGUGGGCCCAAUGCCCACCGUCCCAGCGAUCAUCUCAAAGCCCACAUCAAUGGCUCCCAACACAGGUACCCACAUUCGCUUUGGUGUAUACUUGAUACACAUUAAUUUAUGCUCCCAAACAAGGAACAGGAAUCAUACAUUCACGUGUGAUGGAGUUGGUCCAACUGUCAAUUGGGCUUUUGCAGACACAGUUGUACAACUGUAAAAUUACUAUAUUGGCCUCCGUUCUUUUGAAAACUGAAACACUUUUCCAACCAGGGCCAGGCUUUAUAAUCUUUUUCAAGCAAACGGGUACCCUCAAAUCUGAUAAUGGAAGCUGCAAAUAAGUCUUUGAAAAAUCCAAAAUUUUGAACAAGUAAGAUGUGAACUGAUAUUACAGAGAACAGUUUGUUUGGCUGUGGAAUAGGUGCGAUGGGAGGAGGAGAAAGCUUUAAAAAGGUUGGAUAAAGGAAGAAAGAAAGAAAGAAAGAAAGAAAGACUCAAGGCUUAAAAGAGCAAUAACGAAAGUGCCUGCCGGUGCUCUGGAGUUGGCAGCUGCUCAGAACAACAUUAUUAUCUGAUCUGGGAUGGCUCUUUUCCAAUUUUUUUUGUUCUUUUAAUUUCUUAAUUUCUUAUUCUUAGGUGUUUGAUAAUAUUCAUUCAUUCUCGUUCUCUCUAACAUGCAUCUCAUCAUGAGCUGUAAACCAUUUAAGGAAAAAAAAAAGAACAAGAAAAAGAAAAAGAAAAAGAGAGGAGACAUAUGUAACAGAGGUCAUGUAUGUUCACCCAUGCCCUAUGGAAUCUUUUCAAUGGCUUCAUUGGACUUUGAUGCAUAAAGCCUCUCUCUCUCUCUCUCUCUCUCUCUCUCUCUCUCUCUCUCUCCUUCCUCACUGCAAAACAAUUGCUGCGCACAAGAAGAAAGAAUAGGAUGGUUGCGUACCCAAUUUUGGUGGAUAUUAAUAAUUUGGAGUGGCAUAUCAAUUAUCAAGUGGGCAUCAUGCAAAUAGAGUAAAAAGGGUGGUAAGGUAUCCAUUCUUUGUUAUUGUGAAAUGGGCUUUUGAUGAUGUACCUGUCUAUAACAAAAAUAAUAAGAAUUGUCAUGUUGGGCAAAUUGAAAAUAAGAAGAGUAAAAGAGAGUGUAGCCAUAAGAAAUGAAAUGGUUAGAACUUCAAGGAGCAUCCGUAGAAGGGAUGAAUAUGCUCAAAUGGAUCAAGCUCAAUGUUGGGGUGGAUGAUUGUGAUACCCACAUCUUGCUAAUAACCUAACUUCUUCUAUGGUCUCUGACAAAAAUACCUUAUGAAGAGUAAAAGAGAGUAGAGUCUUAAAGUAUGAAAUGGUUAAGACUUCAAGGAAAAUAUAUAGAUUGGAUGAAUAUGCCCAAAUUGGAUAGAACUUAGUUUUGAGGUGGGUGAUUGUGAUAUUCCACGUCCGAUAAUAGCCUAUUAAACAGGCUUAUUUGGUCUAUGACAAAAUAUGCUAUGUUAAUAUAGAAAUAUGUAAUAUCUUAUUUUAUCUUAUUAAUCUCUACAAAAACUUAUAAAUCACGAGAGUCAAUGAACUUAUAAUGGGUAAUAUUUACAAUCACGAUGAGAAAUAAAACCCUUUCAUGACAAGUAAAAUCGCUUUAUAUCUAUGCAAGUCCAUGUAAUUUAAUAUAAGGAUGGGUUAUAUUUUCACUUCCAAAGUAGAAGCAAAUAAAGCUAGUAUUUGUUUCAUUUCUCCUUUAUGUAAUUUGUCAAAAUAUUGUACACAAUAUGGGAGGUACAUCAAUUCACCUUCCAUAAAUCAAGGCAUAAUAUCAUAUUAAGUAAGUUUUUGGAUUAAUUGAAAGCUUCACAUGAUAAAAGAAACAAAAAGGGGAUUUAUAUACUCUCCCUUUAAAAAUAAGCUUACUAAAGAAAUUCCAUAUUGGUAUAAGGCUUCACCACAUAUACUCAACAAGUCCCAAGAUGGGUCGGGAGUGGGUUGUCCUCAUUUCUCAACCAAUUAGUUUUAUGUGGCCCACGUGGUUUAUUUUGUUCUUGAUUAUCUUUUAUUUAAUUUAGAGAUAAUCGUGAUGGUUUUAUUAAUUAUCUUUUAUUUAAUUUAAAGGAUAAUUAUGGUUAAUAAUAUUAAGUACUAAAAUCCUAUUGGUCAAUUGAAGAUAUGUUUUAACCGUUCACGUUGAUGGAGCGUGAUAAGAAACUAUUUAGGUCCUCUCUCUACCCAUUAUAAAUAUAGUUUUCUCUCCUUCAAGUGAAGCACAACAAACUAAAGGGGUCGCGGGACAGAAACCAAGUCUUAACUAAUUUGUUUUCUUUACAAGGAAUUUCUUUUUCUACACCAACCUUUAAGAUCAAUCUCAUGGAUCAAGGUAUGUUUUUUUUAUUACUUUAUUUACUUUGAAAAAUCAUAAAGUUCUAAGGCUAAGGUUAUGAUUGUUCUCCAAGAAUUAGGCUUACAAUUAUUCUGCAUAAUUAAAGGAAUUUCUAACAUGUGGUAUCAUAGCAUAUGGUUUAGGAACUUGUGAUUUUCCUUUAAAGAGAUUAUUAUAUGUUUCUCUCUUAUGAUAUCGAUUUUUUGACAAGAGAAUUAAACUUAUUGAUUAUAUUGUCUAUUGCAAUGAAAAGAUUUUGUCGAUUUUUUUUUUAUAUAGUCGGUUUCUUUCUAAAUUCAUCGCAAUGCCUUCAAGUUCUUGUUUGUAAUCUUUAUUAAAUGGGCUUCUUAUCGGAUUUUUGAAAAUUCUGGAUUUGUUUGCAAAAUUCUUGAUGGACCAUAUAAUAAAAAUUGCCAUGAAUAUAUAAUGGAGAAUAUAAAGAUAUGACAUUCAAUAUUGGGUCUAUCAAUCUCUUUUCAUGCAUAUAUUGAUGAUUGAUAUAUUUUAGUGAAUGGGUUCAUCAAGUUUAUUGAACCAACUUUUGCAUCAAUCAAUUUUUAUUGAUAUGUCAUUCUUUAUAUAUAUAUAUAUAUAUAUAUAUCAUGAAUUUUUAUUUAUGAUGGUAUGUUUUUUAACUUUGCCUUUUAUUAACAAUAAAUAUUAAUUUAUAGAUGAUUGUAUGUGAGAAUUAUGGAAUGAUAAGCACCUUAUGGAAUAAAGUUUCAUCUUAUAAAAGAUAAUGUUGAAGUGUUCUACUAUUAUGUAAUUUGAUUACGGCAUAUUGUAAUGGUUUGUUAGUCACCAAAGUGGCCAAACCUUAAAGUAUGAUGUCAAUCAAAUUGUGUAAUAUUUUUAUCUAAUUUGAUAUCUAUAGUAUGAAUUAAUUUGUUAUUCUACAAAGUGACCAAAUUAGAAAGUCUUUCAUAAAUAUCAAAGUAAAUAAAGUUCAAUUGCUCAUGGUUAUGUGAUACUAUAUGUGAAAUGACAUAAUGAUAUGUAUAUAUUUUGUCAUGAGUAUAUUGAAGUUCAUUGAUAUAAAAUAUUUAAGGAUAACUCAAAGGUUGAUCAAUUAAUUUUAUAUCAAUGAACAUGAUUGUGGUAAGUUGAUAUACCUUAUUUUGAUAUGUUUAGUAUAUCCAAAAAUAGCAAACACGUCAAGUUAGACUAGUAUAUCUAUAAUUACGAAUUAUGCAAAAUUAAGCAUUAAUUAUGGUUAUUGUUGUACAUUGUUGGAUCACCCAAAGGAGAACUUCAAUGUACAUUUAUUGUUUAUUAAUAUUUGAAUCUAUGUUAUGUGUUUGAGUUUAUGACUCCGAGCAUUAAUGUAUGAGCUUUCUACAUGUUUACAGUAUUUGCUCAUGUUUCUUUUCAUUCUCAAGCUUCAUCUCUUUUAAAAUAUAGUGGGCUUAAUUUCUUUGAGUGGUGUGAACAAAUCCAGUUUCAGCUAGGGGUUCUAGAUUUUGAUUUGGCACUCUUAACCGAUAAGCUUACUGCUAUUACUGAUUCAAGCAACACAAAAUAGAGGUCUUUCUAUAAGGCUUGGGAAAAAUCAAACAGACUAAGCUUGAUGUUUAUGCGAAUGAUAGUAGAAAACAACAUCAAGUCCACAAUUCCCAAGACUAAAAGUGCAAAGGAACAUAUGAAAUUUGUAGAAGAACGGUCCCAGUCCGACUUUGUUGAUAAGUCAUCAAUUGGGACAUUAACCACAAUGAAGUUUGAUGAUUCAUGUACCAUGCAUGAGCAUGUCACUGAAAUGAUAAAUAUAGUAGCAAAAUUGAAAUCCAUGGGAAUGGAAGUGAAUGAAAACUUCCUUGUGCAGUUCAUUAUAAAUUCUUUACCUUCUCAGUAUGCCCCAUUCCAAAUGGGUUAUAAUACUAUUAAGGAUAAAUGGAAUGUGCAUGAAUUGCAUAAUAUGCUCAUUCAAGAGGAAGCUAGUCUAAAGAAACAAGGAGAUCAAUCAAUUAAUCUCAUGGAUUAGCAAAGAGCUGGAAAAAAGCCCGCAAAGAAUAAUGGAAAGGGCAAGCUAGUAAGGACUACAUAAAUUUAAUGUAUCAUCUACCCAAGUCCAUAAGAAGGAACACAAAAAUGAUAAGUGUCAUUUCUAUAAAAAGCCUGGACACUAUCAGAAAGAUUGCCUAAAAGGUAAUGCAUGGUUCAAAAAGAAAGGUAAGCCUAGUGCCUUUGUAUGUUUCGAAACAAAUUUGGCAGAAGUUCCUUAUAAUACUUGGUGGAUUACUCUAGUUGUACCACUCAUAUUUCUAAUACGAUGCAGGGAUUCCUUCCGAUCCAAACCAUAAAUCCAAAUGAAAAAUAUGUCUUCAUGGGGAAUCAAGUCAAAGCUCUAGUUGAAGCCAUUGGAAGCUAUUGUUUGAUUUUAGAUACUGGACAUCAUUUAGAUCUUUUUCACAUGGUUUUAAAAACCAGACCGGACCGGCCGGUACGACCGGUUGGACCGCCCGGUCCGACCGGUUGGACCGCCGGCCGGUCACGAUUCCGGUUCGGUCCAGUCAUUAGACCGGAUGGAGACCAAACCGGGAUUGGACCGCUUGAAUCGGCGGUCCAACCGGUGAACCGGACGAAUCGGCCGGUUCAAUGAAUUUAAUUUUUUUUUUUUUAAAGCAUCAAACGACGUCGUUUUUUGGUGCUUAUAUAAGCAAAAUUAAACCCAGCAGCUUCCAACAUUUCUUCCUCGGGCCGCCGUCAGCUGCGAGUCUACAACACCCACAAGAUAGGUUCCCCGGCAGCUGCGACGCCCACGGCAGCCACGACCCCCACAGCAGCCCCGUUGUAGCUCACGACACCGACAGGGCCACAGCAGCAUCGCCAGAGCCUCGCGACGCCCACGGCAACCGCGACGGCAGCCGCGACCCCCACAGCAGCCCCGCUGCAGCUCACGACGCCGACAGGGCCACAGCAACAUCGCCGGAGCCUCGCGACGGCCACAGCAGCCCGCCUGCUCCUCGUCAUUCUCGGUUUGUUUCCGAGUUCCAACUUCCAACAGUCCACUUUCCAUUAUACGAUUUUAACUUUGUUAGGAACAUGUCUUUUGGAUGUUGAGAUUAGGUAGAGAGAAAGAAAGGAGUUUAUUGGGUUACUGUAAUACUUCAAAUUAAUAGGUUUAGCAAUUAUCUCCUCGGAUCAAUUUGGAUUAUAAAUUUCUGAAUCUAGUGUAAUGGCUAUGAUUUUUCUUUGCCUAUCUGUCUGGUUGUGAAUAAGUAAAAAAGGGAUCUUCUUAAACUUUGUCAGUAACAUGUUCGGAUGUUGACAAAAGUUGGGAAGACCCAGAAAUUUGCUGAGCUUUUGUUGGAAGGAUAGUGGAGUUUGUGGAAGGGAUUUUAAUAUUUUAAUAUUUUAUAAUGGUUUGGAAUUUGAGGGAUUUUAAUAUUUUAUAAUGGUUUGGAAUUGAUUUCUAUUUUCUGAUAAUCAGAGGACUUUGAGGAAUUUUUUAUUAUUUAGUUAGAGAACUUUGAGAAAUUCAAAUUAUUAAUUGUAUUGAUGGAAUGAUGGAUAUUAAAAUUAAACAAUUUAUGGACCACCUUAUGAAUUUUGACAUGCUGUUAAUGAAUUUUGACAAUUUCUUCUAAAAGAAUUUUUUAUUAUUUAGUAUUAUCAAAAAUAUUUUUCUAAUUUAUAUCUAAAUAUUCAUUUUUUAUUUAUCAAAAUGUUAUUUUUCUUUUACAAAAAAUGAUACUAAUAAAAACACACAAGUUAAAAAAUGCAUCUAUCAAGAUUCAAAAUCACCACAAGCCCACCAGCUUUGAAUUCUUUCCCCAAUUAAUAAAAAAAUAAAAAAUACACACAUGCACAUGUAGUUCAAGAAUUCUCGGUUUGUUUCCAUUAUACAACAAUUUGUGCAUUAUGAUAUUAGAUUGCAACUCAACCAUAGAUUCAUGUGCCUAAAAUAUGAUAAUGAUUUGAUGUUUGAUUAUCUAAGGAAUCAUAGGUGAAAAAGUGUAUUUUUUACUAUCAUUAAUAUGUGAUAUGUGAUUGUAAAUUGUUGAUGACUUGAUUAUAAAUCAUUAAAUUGUUGAUGACCUUCAUUCUCUAGAUUGAUGUGGGAUUUUUGUUUUUAAUUUGAUAGGGAAAUAAAAAAUGGCAUCAAACUUGACUCCAUCCUCUGGUCAAGAUUCAACUACCCAUUCUCAAUCAAGUAGAAGUAAGACCGAUCCUGCAUGGGAGCAUGUUUCUGAAGAAAGAUAUGGAAAUGGAAGGAGAGUUCUUAUUUGUUUGUAUUGUAAAAAGAUUACAAAAGGUGGAGGUAUUCAUAGAAUGAAACUACAUCUUGCUGGAGUGAAAGGAGAUAUUGGUCCAUGUAAAUCGGUUCCACCUGAUGUCAGAUUUCGCAUGGAAAAUUCUUUGCAAAAGUUUGUAAAUGCUAAGAAAGCAACCAAAGAAGCAGAUGAAUAUAGAAAUCCUUAUGGUCCUAAUGUGUCACAAUUUGAAGGGGAUAUGGCAGAAGGUGAAGAAGAGGUUCAAGAAAUGCAAAGUCCUAUGGCAGCUAGUAGUGGAAAAAGGAAAAAAUCAACAGUGGAUAAGUAUUUUGCACCAAGAAAUACACAAGGAGCUCAACCUUCCAUGAGGAGUGUGCUAGCUGGGAAAGAAGCUACUUGGAGAGUGGAUAUGGCGGUUGGGAGAUUCUUUUAUGAUGCAUGCAUUCCUACUAAUGCUGUGAAUUCCUUCUAUUUCAAGCCAAUGUUGGAUGCUAUAUCUGCAAUUGGUCCUGGAUAUAAGGGUCCAAAUUACUAUCAGUUGCGGAUUAAUCUUUUAAAGGAUGCUAAGAAGGAAGUUCAGUUACUUGUGGACUCUUAUCGUGCAAUUUGGGCAAAAGUUGGGUGUACAAUAAUGGGUGAUGGUUGGACAGAUAACAGACAAAGAACACUCAUCAACUUCCUUGUAUAUUGUCCUGAAGGAAUAUCGUUUGUGAAAUCUGUUGAUGCUUCGGACAUUGUCAAGGAUGCAACUAAUUUGUUUCAGUUAUUUGAUGAGGUGAUUGAAUGGGUGGGUCCACUCAAUGUAGUUCAUGUAGUGACUGAUAAUGCAGCAAAUUAUGUGGCCGCGGGGAGAUUGAUUUCUCAGAAGCAUAAACACAUUAAUUGGUCACCUUGUGCAGCUCAUUGUCUUAAUUUGAUCUUUAAGGAUAUUGGUAAGAUAGACCAUGUUGUUGAACUUGUAAGACGUGCAUCAAAGGUGACAAUUUUUGUGUAUAAUCAUGUUGCUUUGUUAAGUUGGUUGAGAAAAAGGGAAGGAUGGACAGAGAUUUUGCGACCUGGUGCAACUCGCUUUGCUACUACUUUCAUUGCACUCAAGAGUCUUCAUGAUCAUAAACAUGACUUGCAAGCUUUGGUGACUAGUAAGUUCUUUGUGGACUCUAGAUAUUCAAAGGAUUAUAAAAGCCAAGUUGCAGUUUCCAUCAUCUUGGAUAAUAGAUUUUGGAAUGAUUGUUUGAUUGUUGUGAAUCUUAUGUCUCCACUAAUGCGUUUAUUGCGUAUUGUUGAUUGUGAUGAGAGGCCUUCGAUGGGAUAUGUGUAUGAAGGCAUGUAUAGGGUUCGUUUGGGCAUUAAGAAAUUGUUUAACUACAGCGAAAGACUAUACAAGCCUUAUACAGAGAUCAUAAAGCAACGUUGGGAUCAACAACUAAAGAAAAGCAUUCAUUCAGCAGCUUAUUGGUUGAAUCCAUGUUUCCAAUAUGAUCAGGAAAACUUUUGUAAUAAGCCAAAUGUUAUUGGAGGUGUUAUGGAUGUUAUUGAUCAAAAAGUUCUGAAAGGCAAGAUUGAAACAAUGAAUGAAAUGAGGUUAUUUCGUGAUCGAUUGGGAAGUUUUGGAAGAGACCUUGCUUAUUCUUCAUGUGAAGUACUUCAACCUGGUAAAAUAUUAUUUUCAUUUAUUAGUGUGUUUGUUCUUUUUUAUUAGUUACCUACUUACUAUUUAGUAUUUUAAACUUGCUAAUGUGUUUUAUUUUUUUUCUUAUUUUUAAUGUGAAAUGGUAACUAGAUGAAUGGUGGAGGCUACAUGGAUACAGUGCUCCACAUUUACAAAAGUUGGCCAUUCAAAUAUUGAGCCAAACCGCAUCGUCUUCUGAAUGUGAGAGGAAUCGGAGUGUCUUUGAACGUAUACAUACCAAAAGAAGGAAUAGAUUGGAACAUCAUAGGCUUAAUGAUCUUGUAUACGUUCAUUACAAUUUGCGGCUAAAAAAUCGAUAUAAAAUUAUAAAUGCUUUCUUAGUUGUUUUGAAUUCAAAUUCUUCUAUUCACAAUUAUGAAUAAUUAUAUGCUUUUCUUUUUUAGGUUUUAUAACAAGAAAAGAAUCUAUGAUCCCAUUGACUAUGCAUGCAUUGAUGAGACCGAUUUUUGGGUAGUUGAUGACGAUCAGCCAGCAGAGCUAGAUGUUGAAGAAUUGGAAAAUCUUCUAUAUGAAGAAGGGUCAAUUCCAAUAAAUGAAGUGGAAGGUUCAAGUUCUCACAUUGGUUAGUAAAAUAUUUAAACUUAUAAAAGUUCAAUAAUUAUAUUUUUUCUUCAAAAAUGAUUUCUUGUUGAUAUAUAUUCAAUAUUUUUGUAGAUGAUGAGGAUGGUGGUGACAUGGCUAGAGAAGGGCUUGAUGUGGAGAAUUUUGGUUUUCCAAAUGCUCAUUUUCAAUCUCCAUAUUCCAAUUUCCCAAAUGAAUGAAGACAUGAAUUUUAUAUUUAUUAGUAUGCAAAAAUCUUCAUGAAUAUUCAAACAUUGACAUGUUAUGUUUUUAUUUUGAGUAAUUAUUUAAGUGUUGUGGACCUAUGGUUGACAUUUGUAUUAUUUGGUAUGGACAAUGUGUUAAGUUAACAACUCUUUGAUAAUUUGGUUAUUAUAGGAUAGUAAUGGUUUGAUUAUUUGAUAAAUAUUGAGUUUAUUGACAUUAUGAAUGUAUAACAUCUUAUAUUGUGUUAUAAAUAUCAUAUAUGAUAAUUGAUGACUUCUACAGGUAAAAAAUUUUGUGACAAAACUCAAGUUACUCAAUAAACAAAGUAGAUGCUGUCAAAAUUUACAUAGAAUUUAUUAAUUUGUUAAUUUUUUAUAUUAUAUAAAAUAAUAAAAUAUAUAUUUAUGACGUCACCGGUUCGAUAGCGGUUCGACCGGCGGUCCGACCAGUGAACCGUGAACCGGUAACUUUUCCGGUUCAAUGACCGGUCCGGUUUUUAAAACAUUGCAGUUUUUCAGACUCUUUAUGUUCCUUCUGUUACUAGAGAUUUAGUUUCUUUAUCUAAACUUGAUACAAUUGGACACUCUUUUAAAUUUGGGAAUGAAUGUUUUAGUUUGUUUAAACAUAAACACUUCAUUGGUUUUGGUGUUUUAUAUGAUGGUUUAUACAAAUUAAAACUUGAUAACCUUUUUGUCAAGACUCUGUUAACCUUGCAUCAUAAUGUUGGUACUAAACGUGGUUCAAUUAAUGAAAGUUCAACUUACUUGUAGCAUAAACGCUUGGGUCAUAUAUCCAAAGAAAGAAUACUAAUAUUGGUAAAGAAUGAAAUUCUUCCUGAUUUGGAUUUUAUUGAUCUUGGAAUAUGUGUGGAUUGUAUUAAAGGAAAACACACAAUUAGGAAAACAACCACAAGAAGCACACAACUCCUUGAACUUAUACACACUAAUAUAUAUGGGCCUUUUGAUGCUCCAUCUUUUGGUGGAGAAAAGUAUUUUUUUCAUUUUUAUUGAUGAUUUUUCAUGUUAUGGUUAUAUCUAUUUAUUGCAUGAAAAAUCUCAAUCAAUAAAUGUCAUGAGGUGUUUAUUAAUGAAGCUAAAAGACAACUAGAUAAAAGAGUAAAAAUUGUCAAGUCUAAUAGAGGUGGUGAAUAUUAUGGAAAACAUAAUGAGAUUGGACAAUGUCCUAGUCCAUUUGCUAAAUUCCUUGAGAAGCGUGACAUAUGGGCUCAAUACACAAUGUCAAGUACAUCACAACAAAAUGGUGUUACAGAAAGGUGUAAUUGUACUCUAAUAGACAUGGUUAGGAGUAUGUUGAGCUAUUAUUCUUAACCUUUAUCUUUGUGGAUGCAUGCCUUGAAAACUACCAUGUAUUUAUUAAACAGGGUUCUUAGUAAGAUAGUUUCAAAAACCCUUUUUGAACUGUGGACGGGAAGAAAACCUAGUUUAAGACACUUGCAUGUUUGGGGUUACCUGGCAAAAGUAAGGAUUUAUAAUUUGCAUGAAAAGAAACUAGACUCAAGAACGACCAAUGACUUUUUUAUUGGUUAUCCAAAAAAAUCUAGAGGGUAUAAAUUUUAUUGUCCUGACUAUAGUAUGAGAAUUGUUGAAACUAGAAAUGCUAGGUUCAUAGAAAAUUGCGACAUUAAUGGGAGUGUGAAACCAUGUAAAGUAGGAAUCCAAGAAGUUAGGGUAUAAAUUUCCUUACCUAUAACUUCUUUUCAGGUUGUUGUUUCCACAGUUGCCAAACAGUUUGACAACUUGCAAGAACAAUAAAUAAAUGGUCAAAUUCCCCAUAAUGAAAUUGUUGCAAAUGAAUCUAUAGUGAAUGAACCACAUGCAGUAGCAUUAAGAAGGUCUCAAAAACAAAAAAAAGACUUGCUAUUUCUUAUGACUAUGUGGUUUAUCUAUAAGAGUUAGAAUUUGACUUAGGAAUUGAUAAAGAUUCAGUUUCGUUUUCAUAAGCCAUAGAAAGUGUUAAUUCUAUUAAGUGGUUAGAUGCCAUGAAAGAAAAGUUGAAAUCCAUGGAUCACAAUGGAGUUUGGGAUCUCAUCAAAUUGCCUGAAGGUUGUAAGAGGGUCAUUGUAAAUGGGUUUUUAAGACCAAACACAACUCAAAUGGCAAUAUCGAACGAUAUAAGGCUAGACUUGUUGCCAAGGGUUUUACUUAGAAGGACGGUGUUGACUGUAAUGAGACAUUUUCUCUUGUUUCAAAAAAUGACACUUUUAGAAUUAUCAUGGCAAUGGUAGCUCAUUGUGACCUAGAGUUAUAUCAAAUGAAUGUGAAAACAACUUUUCUAAAUGGCAAUUUAGAGGAAAAAGUUUACAUAGAUCAACCUGAGGGUUUUUCUAUUGAAAAAAAGGAACACAUGGUUUGUAAACUCAAGAAGUCAAUAUAUGGACUUAAACAAGGUUCUCAACAAUGGUAUCUUAAGUUCAAUGAUAUCAUCACUUCUUUUGGAUUUAAAGAAAACACCAUUGAUCGAUGUAUAUAUCUGAAGGUCAGUGGGAGCAAGUUUAUAUUUUUGAUUUUGUAUGUUGAUGAUAUCUUACUAGCUACUAAUGAUCUUGGUUUGUUACAUGAGACUAAGAAAUUUCUCUCUAAGAAUCUUGAAAUGAAAUAUAUGGGUGAGGCAUCCUAUGUGAUAGGAAUUGAAAUAUUUCGUGACAGAUCACAAGGAUUGUUAAGAUUGUCUCAAAAAACAUAUAUUAAUAAAGUUUUAGAGAAAUUCAAGAUGGAAAAAUGCCCUAUAAGUGUUGUUCCAAUUUAGAAAGGAGAUAAAUUUAGUCUUAUACAAUGCCUAAAGAAUGAAUUGAAAUACACAAAAAUGGGAAGGAUUCCUUAUACAUCACUUGUUUGGAGCUUGAUGUAUGCACAAACUUGCACCAGACUAGACACUAGUUUUGCUAUCGGAAUGUUGGGUAGGUAUCAAAGUAAUCCAGAUUUGGAUCAUUGGAAAGUUUCAAAGAAAGUAUUGAGAUACUUGUAAGGAACAAAAUAUCACAUGCUCACUUGUAAGAGAUUUGAUCAUCUAAAGGUGAUUGGAUAUUCAUAUUUAGACUAUGUUGGAUGUAUUGCUAUAAGAAAAUCCACAUUUGGCUAUUUGUUCCUUUUAACUAAAGGAACAAUCUCAUGGGAAAGUGUGAAGUAGUCUGUCAUUGUUGCAUCCAUUAUGGAAACGGAGUUUGUGGCAUGCUUUGAGGCCAUUGUUCAUGGAUUAUGACUGCAAAACUUUAUUUCAGGACUUGGGAUUGUUGACAGUAUUGCCAAGCCGUUGAAAAUUUAUUGUGAUAAUUCUGUAGCAGUCUUAUUUUCAAAAAACGACAAGUAUUCAAAGGGUGUUAAACACAUGAAAGUAAAAUACUUUGUCGUUAAAUAAGAAGUUCAGAAACAUAGGGUGUCAAUUGAGCACAUUAGCACUAACCUUAUGAUUGCAGAUCCAUAACAAAAGGAUUGCCGCCAAAGACAUUUAAUGAACAUGUUGAAAGAAUGGGCAUUAUUGGGUAUCGUUGUUAACAUUAUGUUAUUAUUUUGUGUUUUUAUGUAUUUGACACUUCGAGCUCUUUUAAAUAUUGUUUAUGAUAUUUAAAUAUCAUGUUUCUUAUCGUUGGUAUAUAUACAAUAAUGAAUUAUGUGAGUUUUAACAGGAUUUGGCUCUGACGAAGACAUUAUUGUUGGACCAUUAUGAUAUAUACCAUUACAGAUCAUGUUAAGUUUGAAACUAUAUAUUAUGAUACAUGGAAGGGACUAUGUCAAGAUAAUGACAUAUAACCACUAUGAUUUUUAUUAGUUUUUAUUUAAUGAUGAUUUAUGAUGUGACCAAUGUAAGAAAUGAUUUAGCUUAUACUAUGCAUAUUAUGUUUUAUUAUUAAACCAUGACGAUGCCACAUGGGCCAGUGGGAGACUGUUAGUUUUAUGUGGCCCAUGUGGUUUAUUUUGUUAUUGAUUAUCUUUUAUUUAAUCUAAAGAUAAUCAUGAUGGGUUUAUUAAUUAUCCUUUAUUUAAUUUAAAAGAUAAUUAUGGUUAAUAAUAUUAAGUACUAAAAUCCUAUUGGUCAAUUGAAAAUAUGUUUUAACCGUUGGUAUUGAUAGAACAUGAUAAGAAACUAUUUAGAUUUGGUCUUUUUUCUACCCAGUAUAAAUGUAGUUUUCUUUCCAUCAAGUGAAACACAUCAAACUAAAGGGGUGAAAGGAAAGAAAUCAAGUCUUCACUAAUUUGUUUUCUCAACAAGGAAUAUCUUUUUCAAGACCAACCUUUAAUAUCAAUGGCAUAGAUCAAGAUAUGUUUUCUUGAUUACUUUAUUUACUUUGUGAAAAUCAUAAAGUUCUAAGACCAGAGUUAUGAUUGUUCUCCAAGAAUUAGACUUAUAAUUAUUCUACAUGAUUAUAGGAAUUUCUAAUGAGCCCAACCCAAUUCAAUCACUAAUAUAUCAAUUGAUAGUACAUAAAGAUUCAUGUUGUAACCCACACAAAAGAUUUAAAUACUUGACCAAAAAUUUUAGGGAUUUAGUUAACAAGAUUCUACAAGGACAAAGUGGAAAACAAGUCUUAUAAAGGGUAGAAAAUUUUGGCCACUCCACUUGGCAUGAUCUGUCAUGUUUGGUCUUUACCAUUUUAGUCAAAGCAAAAGGAAAAUGACACCAUGAAAACAUAAACCAUCCCUUAUGUCGGGCAACUUCUAUAAUUUUAAGCUUCCUCUCAUAACCCAUAAAAUGUAAAUUUUCUUUUUAACAUUUUUGAGCCACCAAAAAUAUACCUAGUUGGAAGUUGGAACCACGUAGAAUAUAACCAUUUACCAUAAGCUCAAUUGAAAAUAAGCACGUGCUAAUUGGAAAGAAACUUUUCUCAUCUCUUCACAUUACUAAUACAAAAUACCACGAGCAAAUUGGAAAAUUUAAUAAUAAAAUAGAAAAAUAUCAAAUUCCAGGCAGUCUUUUAGAGAAUGAUAAAAUUACCAAUGCUGCACCUCUCCCACUUUUCUUCCAAUAUUUGAUUUAUAGCUAAUAAUUGAUAUUAAUGAUGAAUUAUUUUUUACUUUUCUUUUCUCACAUGUAUCACGUGCUCAAAAUAAUAGAUAAAAAUCCCAAUUCUCUAUAUUUCCUAUUUUCCCCAAUCCAUAAUGUUUUAAUGAUGCUUGUUGUUAUCAAAACAAGACAUAUUCUAACAGUCCCAGAAGGGCCAACCACAAACUGGCACGUGGUGCUAGAUCGAGAAUACUUAGACGUGGCUCACAGCCGUUGGGCCUUCAGACUUCUUAGGUGAACUACAAAAAUGUUCCACAGGGGUGAAAAAGCUCCAGCGAAAUAAAGCACUUUUAGUUUUGGUAAUUAUUUAUUAUUUAUUUUAUUUUAUUUAUUAUUUUGUGAGAGCUCUAAAGGUGACCAACCUGGUGUCACACUACGUCUCACAUCACUCUUUCUCUUUCCUCUUUCUCUCUCUAAACCCCAAACCCUCGAAAGAUCUUCGUUUUCAGGAGAUCUAAACCAGGUACGCAAAUCUAAAUCGCCUACUGCCCUCUAUACAACGCAGAAAAGUGGGUUUCUCUCUAGAUUUUGUACUCUUUUCACAUGAUCGUUGGUUUUUUUUUUUUUUUUUAAAUUGAUUUGUGUAGUUAGGUUUUCCUGUGGGUCUUGAAUUAGGGUUUAUUAUGUUGGGUGGAUUUACUUUCCAGAGGACACUGUUUUGAUGGACUGGGUGUGAGCUCAGAUACUUCUGCUAUGGAUGAGAGUAAAGAUGUGGGUGGGAGUAGGGUUUUGGAGUCUGCAGUGACUGUGAGUGCACCAGGGCGUGGUGAGAUCCUGGUGGAGGAGUUGGGGGAUGAAACCCUAAUUGAGGAUUCUUUCUCUGAGGGAGGGGGGGAUGAGGGUAAUGGUGAGGAUAUAAUGGUGGAGGUGGUGGGUUCCGAUGUUUUUGUUGAUGGGGUUGGUGGGAAUUCGAAUGAUGAAUCGGGUUGGGGUGGAUUGGUUGUCGAGCCAGGGUUGGAGAAAGAUAUGAAGUUUUUGGAUGGUGGAGGUGCAGCUCAUGAUUUAGCUUCACAGGAAGUUGGGGACUUGGAUAGUGAGGUUUGGGAUCGGGGAAUAGGAACUGGGGUUGGUGAGUCUUCUGCGGUUGCAAGUUCACUUGGUGGAGAAGCCCAGGUUGCUGUUGCAGAGGAAGUUCUGGCAGGGGUGGUGGGUGAGGAGGAUAUGGAGGGAGGCAGGGAAUUGGUUGAUGGUAGUGUUAGUGUAGCUGGUGGUGAGGGAGAUAAAGCCCAGAAUCUAGGAACUGGAACUGAGGCCGAAGGUUCCUUAGCAGUUCAGGAAUCAGCUGGUGAAGAUACCAAAGUUGUCGAGAAGGAAGUUGCAUUGAGGAUUAGUGAGGAGGAAACUGACAGAGGAUUGGUUGGGAAGGGUGUGGAGAGAGUUAUGGCACCUGUUGAUGAAGGGGAGGAGGCAAUUGAUGGUUUGGUAUCGCGAAAAGUAGGUGUUUUGGAUAAAGUAUGGAAUCCUGGCAUUGAAACUGCUGUUGCAUCUUCUUCAGUGAUUGCAAAACCCUUGAGUGUGGGAGGCCAAGUUGAGGAGGGUUUGAAUCCUAAAUAUGAAGUUCGAGGUGCUGAUGCUUUGGCAAGAGUUUUAUCAUGUUCAGAAACAAGUCUAAUCUCCACUGGAGAGGGGGUUUCUGGAGGCACAGAAAAAGAUGGUGGUGUUUGUGCAAGCUCUGUUCUCUCUGAUGAACAAACCCAAGUCGUGGUUGGAGGGGAAAUUUCAGGAGAGAUAUUGUGUUCCAAAGUUGAAGUUAUGGAAACUGAUGCUUUUCAUGAGAGUUUACAAUGUGCCGUAGAAGAACAGCAGUUGGAGGCCAAGAUUGUGGUUGAGACCACUGAAAGUCACAGUGGUGCAACUGCAGAUUUGAUGUCCUUGUCUCAGUCGACUGAAGUUGGUGGUGGUGAAGCUGCUACGGUUGGCAACAGGGUUCUUUUAAACCCCAAAAUUGGUGCUCCUAACACAAAAGGUUUGAGUGAAAUUGUGCCUUCUUCAGAAAAUGAUCAAAAUUUGAAGGUUGAGGCAGAUCAUGGAAGCACAGAAAAUGUUGCCUGUAGUGGUGGAAUUUGCCACAUGAACACCAAGGAAGUUAUGAAUUCCAAAGAUAGUGUUAUGGGAGCUGAUGCUUUUGAUGGGGGUUUACAAUAUUCAUCCAAAGAUAAAAAAUUGAUGGACAAGACGGUGGAGAGUGGCACCAGAGACCAUAAUGACGCAUGUGUGAGUCCCGAUGAACGAACCCAGGUUGCUGAAAGAGGGAAAGCUUCACCUGUGCACAAUGAGAAGAUAUUGGACUCAAAAAUUGAAGUUGUGGGAAGUGAUGAUGCAGAUGGGAAAUGCUGUUCUCCUGAAAAAGAUCAAGAUAUGGAGGUUGUUGGGGGGAGUGGGAACACCAAUAUUGAUGUUGGUGUAUGUGUAGAUCCAGUAUCCUCCAGAGACCAAAUCCCAGUUGUUGGUACUGAAAUUUCGCAGUUGAACAAUAAAGAGAUUUCCAGUUCUCCAAUUGAAGUUUCAAAUACUGAUUCUUUGGAUAGGAUUUCAGCUUUUUCAGAAAAUAAUCAGAACUUGCAAGCUGAAACUGCUUCUGAAGGCAUGGUAGACAAUAGUGUAAGACUUGCAGAUUCAGAAGCCUUGGAUGGACAUACCCUCCUUGCUAAUGGAGAGGAAGUUGCAGCAAUGGACAUCAAGGAAGCAGCACCAAAUGAAGUUGAAUUGUCUGGGAAUGAUGCUUUGGUGGGGAAUUUGUGUUUGGUCAAGGAUCAGGAGCUAGUUGGUGCAAACGCUGAAAAUUUUGUAGAGGCUGAUGGUGACCAAGUGAAUAUUGCUGCAGAAGGUGAUAUUGCAGGAGUAGACCCCAUGGAUGUCUCAAGUCCUGAAAUAGAUGCCCCGAACGGAAAUUUAGCUUGUCCAGAAUCUGUUCCAUGUGCAGAUCCUGAAUCGAAUGGUGAACAGACCUGUAAGAUUGCUGUUGGUGAAGACACAGUUAUAGGUGAUGAGACUGUCUUGGACGUUCCAAAGACUGAUGUCCUGGAUGGUAAUUCAUCCUUCACAGAAAAUCAGAACUCAAAGGUUGAGACAGAUAGUGGAAGCACAGAAAAGAGGCUUUCCCAGACAGAUGCUGUAUCCUUCUCUGAAGGAACUCAGGUUGCUCUUGGAGGGGAAGUUGCUGCCAUGGAUGCUGAGGCAGUUUUAGAUUCCAAACCAGAAGAUAGGGGAGUGGAUGUUUUGGAUGGGGAUCUGUGUGGUCCAGAUGAAGUUAAUGCUCUGCAGGUGGACCCUGAAUUCAGUUGCAAACAAAGCCUAGUUGUUCAAGGAGACUCUAUAACAGUGGAGGAUGUAAAAAAUUCAUAUUCCAAAGCUGAAGUUCCUGAGUGUGAUGCUUUGAACAAGGAUUUAUCACUUUCAGAAAAAGAUCAAGAGUUGAAGACAGAGUCAGCACUUGGGAGCACAAAAAUGGAGGCUGGCACUCAUGUAGGUCCAUCUGGUCUUGGAACGGUUUCAGAUAGUUUGGAAGAGCAUACUUCUGUGCAACAUGAGAAAUUGGAGAUGGUUGUCCAGUCAGAUAAAAUUUUGGCUCAUGAGCUAGAUGGAGAUCAGAGUGUGAAUCCAUCUACUGUAGAAAAAAUGUCUGACCAAGUGUCUUGUGUUACAGCUAUUUCAAAUUCAGUUGUUGAGGUAGCUGUUGGAUCUCAAGGUGCAGUUAGCAUUUUCUCUUUUCAUGAUGAGAGUGAUACACUCUCCUCUUGCACUGCUGAUAUCAUCUGUGAUUUUCCAGGUGGAAAUCAAGGACCAGAGGUUCAUAUUGUCAGCAAUUAUGAUUCUUUACCUGAUGGAGAUGAUAGUAUGCGUAGUCAUGCCCAUGAUUUGGUAAUUUCUCCUGAAAUUGCAAAACAGGCUGUGGAAGCAAAAGACCAAUCCUUUAAUAUAGAUGAAGAUAAUAUUAUAGAUUCUGAUGUUCCUGAUACUAAGGUUUCUGAAUUUGGUGACAAUGAUGGCAUUGUGGGCAGCUUGGUAGUAGAUUUGGAUGCUGGUCCCAGAAGGGAUGGAAAUUGGAAUCUACAUGGUGAAAUUUCCAAGAAAAACAUUCCUUCUCUGGAUGAAUCUCACCAUGAAGAAGCUGAUUUUCAAGGAACAGUGGACAACUUAGGUUUUGAGAUGUCAGAAUGCUUAGAAGAGUCCACGGCUUUUGAUGAUGCCCAGGUUAUUUCAGAUGUAGGGCAAGAAACUGAAGCUGAAGGACAAGUUACUGACGCUGAACAGGUUUGUUUACAAGGAGGGCAAGAAAUAGGAGCUGAAGAACAGGGUACUGAUAAUGAACAGCAGAAAAGCUUAGAGGAGAAAACGGUGAAACGUGCUACUCUGAAGCCUGGAAACCUGAUAAGAGGACAUCAAGCUACUUAUCAGCUGCCACCAGAAAGUGAAGGUGAAUUUUCUGUCUCUGAUUUAGUCUGGGGUAAAGUUAGGAGCCAUCCCUGGUGGCCUGGACAGAUAUUUGAUCCUUCAGAUGCAUCAGAGAAGGCAAUGAAAUAUCACAAAAAGGAUUGCUUUUUGGUAGCCUAUUUUGGGGAUCGGACAUUUGCUUGGAACGAGGCAUCACUGUUAAAACCUUUUCGGACACAUUUCUCUCAGAUAGUGAAGCAAAGUAAUUCUGAGGUGUUCCAUAAUGCUGUUGAUUGUGCUUUAGAUGAGGUCUCCAGGCGGGUGGAGUUAGGGUUGGCUUGCUCUUGCAUACCAAAAGAUGACUAUGACGAGAUCAAAUGUCAGAUUGUUGAAAACACUGGGAUCCGGUCUGAAUCAAGUAGAAGAGAUGGUGUGGACAAAUCUGCAACUAUGAGUUUGUUGGAACCUGAUACAUUUGUAGAGUACAUAAAAGCAUUAGCUCAGUUCCCUUCUGGUGGGGCUGAUCAACUGGAACUUGUGAUUGCUAAGGCUCAACUGUUAGCUUUUUCCCGUUUAAAGGGCUAUCAUAGGCUGCCUGAGUUUCAGUAUUGUGGAGGACUGCAAGAAAAUGAUGCAGAUAUUUCAUGCUUCAAUGAAAUGAUGGAGCAUGAAACUGAUGUUUUGAUGGGUGAUGAUGGGAAGUUCAAAAUCCAAAACAGCUCUUCUCAUAAGCGCAAACACAAUUUAAAGGAUAGUGCAUAUCCUAGAAAAAAAGAAAGAAGCUUGUCAGAAUUAAUGAGUGGGAUGGCAUACUCCCCAGAUGAUGAAAACGAUUCAGAUGGGAAAGCUACAAGUAAACCGGUUUCAUCUUCUGGAAGGAAAAGGAAAGUUGUUGAUUCGUUUGGUAAUGACUUGGAGGUGCAAGAUAGGACUGAAAGUAUUUUCGUUGCAAAAGUUUCUAAUACUUCAGCUCCAAGUCCAAGGCAGUCUUUUAAGGUCGGUGACUGCAUUCGGAGAGCUGCGAGCCAACUGACCGGCUCUCCUUCAAUUUUGAAGUGUAGUGGUGAAAGACCUCAGAAGGUGGUAGAUGGAAGCAUUGGCAAACUUGGUGGGCCUGGAUCUGAUGUUUCAUUAAUGAGUCCUGAGGACCCUCAAAGGAUGAUCAUUCCUAUGGAAUAUCCAUCUCUAGAUGAGAUGUUGUCGCAACUUCGCUUGGCUGCACGAGAUCCAAUGAAAGGUUACAGUUUCCUGGAUACCAUUGUAAGUUUCUUCUCCGAAUUUAGGAAUUCAAUACUUCUAGGCCGGUAUUCUGGAAGGGAGAGUUUGACCAUGGACAAAGUAGCUGGUAAUAGAAGAAAGAAAUCAUCCCAACCUAUUGGAUCUCCUGAAGAGUUUGAAUUUGAAGAUAUGAAUGACACUUAUUGGACAGACAGGGUUAUCCAGAACACUUCUGAAGAGCAACCAGAGCAACCAGAGCAACCACCUCGCAGUGCUCGAAAGAGAAAAGAACCUCAGUUUGGCAGCACUGACCCUGAAAAAUCCCCUCAAUUAGGACGUAGGUCAUAUUCUAGGAAGCGAUAUUCUGAUGGCAAUCAUGAACUGGCAGUGGAGAAACCAGCCAACUAUGUUGAUGAGAAAGAGCGAGAAUUGUUGCCAGCUGAACUUAUACUGAACUUUCCUGAAGUAGAUUCUGUUCCUUCAGAAAUGAUUCUGAAUAAAAUGUUCAGGCGGUUUGGGCCUCUGAAGGAAUCUGAGACAGAAGUCGAUAGGGUGACCAGCCGUGCUAGAGUGGUUUUUAAGAGGUGUUCUGAUGCAGAAGUUGCUUUUAGUAGUGCUGGAAUGAUCAACAUUUUUGGACCAACGCAUGUUAAUUACCAGCUCAAUUAUUCUCCCUCAACGCUAUUUACACCUUUGCCCAUUGCAAUAGAACAAGACCAGGAUGUUGAAAGUUGACGUCUCACUCUGGGAAUUAAUCUGGUGUAGAUGUUUCAGGUGAAUAUUUGCACUUGGACUAAAGUUUAUUGUUUCAUUGAUGUCAGAAUUUUGUUGAUUUGGGAAUUAUGGUUAAAACAUAUUAGAUUAUUAUAGCAGAUUCCAACAUGGAAGAGUUGUUUUGAUUGAUAAUUUAUUAAUGGUCCAUUUCUUAAAUUAUAAUAAUGAGAAUGCGAGAUGGCAUGAGUUGGAAGGUAUUAGAAAUGGGAGCAGCAGAAAACAUGUUGCAAAAUUUUUAUCACAGCAUGGUUUUACUGUUGCAUUAUGCCAUUGUUUUCACAUAUUUCACCUUGCAAAGAGAACCUAGCUUUUCCAGGUUGAUGCUUAUCUAAUUCUAAUAGGCAUUAUGUGGUGAACUAUAGGAUAGGGGGUUGAACUAUGUGCUGUCAUGAUGGCUUUUUGGUACUUUUGUAGUGCAUCAGACAUAACCUUUUGUUUCUUUUUUUGUUUUUUUCUUUUCAUUGUUUUGCUUAAUUUUGAUCUAUAUGAUUUAUUAUAUUUAUCCUCUGUUGGCUGAAACUGUAGGUGAGAGCCAAUGGUAUAAGAUAGUGGCAAGAUACAACGCCAGAUGAUGAAAGCUAUAGCAGCAUGCAACUGACUGAGCUGCUGAAGAAGGUAACAGCAUUUUUGUUCAUCUUGUUAUGUAUUUAUUUAUUUUGUUGUUCUUUCUGUUUCAUAUUUAACCAAGAAGCAUGAUGUUACAUCAUGUCAUGAAAUCUCACUUGUAUGCUUAGUUCCUUGUAUACUAAUGGCAAUGUACUAUGUAGUUUCUAAAUUCAACCGUGGAAGCAUGAUUCCUAAUACUGUUGGUGCUAAAUAGCAUGCAUGUCGUCUAAGGAUAUUAAUAUGUAUGUUUUAAUCAUAGUGAAGUUCCACUUUGUCCUUCAGCUGGUUUUUUGAAGCAUAAGCUAUUUAACAUUGGAAAUGAUAACAUUUGUUGAUGAAUGAGGAUUACAUUCAAGUAAGGCCCUUUAUUAGUUUUUUCAUGUGAUAUGUCUUUAUGAGCAUUACAAUCAUGCAAGAAAGUAGCACCGAACUUCCUCACCUGGCAUGGAUAGGUUUUCUCUUUCUUCUCUCUUUUGGAGUGCUUGAUAUUUCAGAGAGAGAGAGAGAGAGAGAGAGGGCAUCGGAUUAUUACCAAGCUCUACUGGUUGAUUUCACUUCAGAAAUGGGGAAAACUAUGGAAUAUACAAAAGAUCAUAACCAUUAGUGCUUCAAGGCUCACUGUGGUUAUUAGACAGAAAUGGGAGCAGGGAGGGGGCAGAAUUUUAAAGAUGGCUCCAUUCCAUAAACAUUUUUAUACAUUUUCCCUUUUCCUUUUCUUUGUUCUAUUUGUGAAACAAAUGGAGAGCAGGGCUAAUAGUUAAUUCAAAGAUACUAUUAGACAGAAUGAUAAGACAGUUAAAAAACUUGAAAGGUGUAUGUGAAGUUUACGCAGCCAUAACAUGUUCCAGUUUUUAUUGCUGUUAUAUGCACGUCACUGAAUCUUCAGCACACAGGGCCAACUGUUUAUUUAUAAAUGAUGUGUCUAAGAAAUAAAUUUUACAUUGUUAAAGUAAUACUACUGUGUGUGUGUUUUAGCUGGUCAUGUCUUUUAAGCAUCGAGCCCUUUGCUUAGCUUUCACAGGGACAUUGGUGGUCAUGUAUGAUAGUUAAUAGUAAUAAUAAAUAAUUAUUUACCAUUUUGGUUUAUAUGUUAUUCCAAUUUCUUUCUCUGAGGUGAAAUCAGAACACUCCAGUUGUUAUCUAUGGUGAUUACUGUUACAUAAUCAGUACAUUUUGGAACUUGGCAGGUGUUGUAUAUUGGGCUCAAGAGAUGGGAGUUGUUGGAUUUGUAAAAUCAUCGUAACCUUUGUAUUCUACCUUUUGUGUUUCAGAUUUAGGGUUGUAAUUUUAGUUGUGGCAAAAACCAACCUUGUGGUUGGUACUCAUCCUACUAUCUAUAUGAUAUGAAAGGUUGUCUCGCAACUUUGAAACUGGCCAUAAUAAUGCUCUUUUAGUUUCAAAAUCUGGGAGGUGAAGUUCAGCAUCCCCAAUUCUUGGACGAGUUGUUGACACAAUCAAAUGCCAUUCAUUCCUGUAAUAGACCAUUGAAACCCUGCAUGCUUUCUGAAGUGGUAUUUUGAAUUUGAGGCUUGGGCUAUAUUUUAUGCUCGAUAUUCAUACAAGUCUACCUUCAUCCACUCUUGUAACUUGCUGAUUCUCUGUAUGUCUCGAUUUAAUUAGGUUUUGGGGGCAGGGCCAUGUUUCAUCUGCAACCUCAAAAUCUACCUGUAGAGAGGGAGGAGGGAGGAGGGAGGAGGGAGGAACUGCACUUUGGGACUCAUUUUUCAUUUCACCUACAUAGUCAAAUUUCAUUCUAUUGAAUAUUUAAAAACGAAGAGAGAGUAGAAAAUAUCAAAUAUUUGUUAUAUUGCUACUUUUUAUUAAUUAAAAUAAAAUAUUUUGAUAAUAACAAGUCAUUUUAUGUAUUUUUAAAUAUUUCAAAAUAUCCGAAUGGGUUAGAGUAGAAAUUUUGGAUGAAACUUUCUAUUCUUAAAAAUAAAAAUAAUGACAAUUUCAAUAUAAAAUACAAUUUAUCUUAAAAAGAUGUUUACUUUUUAUUGCUCUUCCAAAAAAUUAAGGUAUAAAUUUUUUUUGUUAUCACACAUUUUAAAAGUUCAAAAUUAGUAAAAUUUUAAUAUAAUAAUCAAGAAACUAUUCUAAUUGCCAGUAAAGCAAGUUUUAGUCUUUUGACUUUCUGAAAAAAAGGUCCAAACAAGGCCCUAGUGAAGGGGAUAAAUCUUUGAAUUAACAACUUCUUAAAGCAAUUUAAAAAAAAAAAAGAAAGAAAGAAAAAAGAAAAAAGGGCAAAAAGGGGAAGGAAGCCCGCAAAGUGGGUGUACAAAUCCAAACUUUCCCGCUCAAACGUGCUUACGGACGGUUUCUUUCAUCAAGAGCAGCGAUUAGUUCAUCAACAACGCACAUAAGCCAACUGACCCGACUCUUAUUAUUGGCUACUAUUUCGUGACGUGCACCUCAAAAUAUAUCUUCAUUGGCCGGUCAUGAACAUACGUCACCGCCAAUGCUAAACCCCAUUUCUCCUUGCCUUUUUUCUAUUACGGGAGAAUAAAAUCUUCUCUCUCGCUCAUGAUCCCAUAUUAAUACUAAUUAAUUAGUUAGGGAAUUAAUGUAUUCUCAAAAUUCAAAAAUUUCCCUCUGCUUCUCUCCAUUCUUCUUCUGUUCUUCUGUUUCAUUCUGAAAUUCUACCGUUUUACUUUCUCUCCAUCAUGUAUGCGUGUAAUGUUAUCUGUCUGUUUGACUGAAAUUUAUGGAAAUGGACGGUGUUGAUGAUCAGAAGAAGAAUCUGGAAGAGGGAAAGAUUCGAUUUUCAGGUUUUCUCUCUAUACUCGCAUAUGCAAUUCAUUUUUGGGUUUGAUUGCAUGGAAUCGACAACUCUUUUAUCUUGAUUUUCUUUUUCUUUUUUCUUUUUUCUUUUUUUAGUUUUUUAAGAAACCCUUACCCUUCGUUUGGUUGCGGAGAAAACCAAGGGAAAAUUGAAAGAGGAGAGAAUUUCUCAUAAUUAUGCGUCGUCUUUUCUUCUGCUUUUCUGAAAAUUAAAAUUUGCCCUCAACUAACUUGAAGUGAUCGUAAUAGGUUUAAUUGAGUGGAUGAACGAUUUGGCAUUCAAGAUUUUGAUUAUUAUUAUUAUUAUCUUAUUAUUAUUGUUAUUAUUUUGGUUUUUCUUAUGUUUUCUUGGUGUCCAAACAAGGUUCUAGGGUUUCAGGAUUCCUUUCACAUGAAUUGGCUGAUGAUUGAUUCUUGCGGGGUGUAUGUUGUGGGUGCUAUUGUAGUCGAAUUGUGUGUUUAAUUCUUUGUUUCUGGUAUUUUUGUAAAUGAAUGCACUGAAUGACCAUCUAUGAAUUAGUUGGUACGCUAUUGUGUUGCAACUUAUAUGGUUUUAAUCUGGAUAUAUACGCAGGCCAUGUAAAAGUAGAAAAUUCAAUGGCUAGAGUUUAAUGCUAUACUAGUUGAGUUGUGCAAACUCAUUUUAGAAUUUCUGGAAAGAAAGGUAGAAAAUUUGAUGUAAUAUUUACUGCAAGUUUGCUAGUAUUUAUUGUCUUGGGUCAUUCUAUUUAUCUAGUUUCAGGUCAACUCUCCUUAGAAAAGAACACUGGCACAAGCAUUUAUAUGCAUAUCUUCUAUUUCAUUCAUUUGCUCCCAUUUGUGAUCCACCACCACCAUAAUCAUCAUUUCUUUCUCAUCAGUUUAGUUUUAAGGCUUGAAUGAUCAAGAUUACUGAUAGAAAGCUGAGCAAAUUUGAAGCGAAAUUAGUUGUAAGUUAAAAUGCUUUGAUGGGUUCCUCUUUACUUGCAGCAGGGAGUAAUUUGAGUCUGCUCUGAAUACCGUCAGGGGGAUUAAAAAAAUAAUUUAUUUUUAUAGGCAUUAAAAAAAUAAAUAAUAAUAAUAAUAAUAUAAACAAGCAGAUAUGAUGUCAAGUUGUCUUUUCUUUUUUCUUGGUGGGGGUGGGGGGGUUAGUUUGUUUUCUAGUUUGGUUGUCUCUGAAUAUUAUUUUGUGCGAGGAUCUUGAAGUCAUUAUAUCAAUAUUGUUAUUCUACUUGCCAAAAGCUUAGUUUGAGGGUUUCAGCUUAAAUUGUUAGAAUGAUUCACAGUUAAUUUUGGAGAUGAAAAUUCUUUAUGCUUCCCUCUUUCUAUUUUAUAUUGCUAUAUAACCAAGUUCUGCUUGAAAUCAAUUUGACAGUAACUUUGGAGAACCGAUAUGACAGUUUAGAGCUUUCCGACAAAAGGAAUCCUCAGGAAUUAGAAAAUGCUGGUGAUAUACCUGGGCAAAGCAAACUGGAGCCUUCACUCUCAGAUUCUCUGGAACCAGAAAGACCAAGAGGAACUGGCAAUUACAAUUUGCGCAAAAGUUUAGCUUGGGAUAGCGCCUUUUUCACUAGUAAAGGUCUGCCAAUGUGUACUUAAAAAACCCAUACUUAAAUGCCUUCUAUCAACACUAUUUCAUUGUAUGUUAACUUUACAAUUUCUUCUUUUGUACAUGUUCAGGAGUUCUGGAUCCUGAGAAUGAUGAUUUUGAGCUGUUUGACACUGGGAAUUCUCUGGAAUUGGAGAAUGCAGCUGACAUAUUUGGACAGAGAGAACACGAAUAUUUGCCAUCUGAUUCUUUGGAACCAGAAAUUCCAAGUAGAGAUGGAAAGUUUAAUUUGCGCCAAAGUUUAGCUUGGGAUAGUGCCUUUUUCACAAGUGAAGGUUUGGUCUCAUAUGCUCAGGAGACCCAUAUUUUUAAGUGUCUAUCAAUGUUACCUUGUAUAUAUCUUCCAAGUUACAGAUUUAUAUCAUAACUACUCUACAUGUUCAGGAGUUCUGGAUCCUGAGGAACUCUUUAUGAUAAACAAAGGAUUCAAGAAGGCUAAAACACGUCUACUACCUGGGAUUAAAGAAGAACUUCAGAGAUCUGCUGAGUCGAAUUCUACAAUAGAUAGUGAUCGGUUCUCUUUAGAAAGCCUUGAAAUUGAUCUGUUUGAAGAUAUUAGAGCAUCCAUCCAGAAAUCAAGUAAGGAAUCCAAUUUGUCGAUUUCAAGCCACCAAAUGGGAUUAGGAGUAGGCCUGCAAAGUAUUUGCUUUAAGUAUACUGGUUUUUCAGUUCUUGAAAGAGGCACUUUUCCUGCAUUCUUAUUUGUAUAAGUUUUAGUGUGGGUGUAGGUCAGGAUUCUCCAAAGAGGUUUUCUGGUUUAAAAGGGUCCAUUGGAAUAGGAAACAUUAAGAUUUGAUUAAAUGCUUAGGCUCAUUACCUUUAUACAUAUCUCAUUUAUCAAAUCCCAUGUGGGGCCUGAUAAGGCAAAAAUUCAUGUUUUUAGGUAAUGCUUAUUGUGAUAAUUAGUCAAUAUUGUUUAGUAUGACAUGUUUGAUCUUAUAUUUAUUUCUAUUUUUUCCUUUUGUGCAUCUGCUAUGGCUGAAUUUAUCCUCGAUUGAUGCUUGUUUCAGCCUCAGAGAAAUUGGAUGCUGCCUGUCAAACUAGGGUAAGUUCUUGUCAUGGUGGUCAUUUUUGGAAACUGCCCCUAUGUUCCUUGAGAGUGAACUUCUCUAAAUUUGAAAUUUCAGAUGAAAACGAUGCCAGCUAUCACAAGGCAAACUAUUAAUGUGCAUGGAUCACAGAGAACUGCAAAGGAGAUUUCAAUUCAUACACGAGUGCAGGCAUGUAAUAAUUGAGCUGAAUGAAAUAUUGUUUCUUUUAUGUUAUAGUGCAUGCACUUCUCAGCUAUGUAUCAUCUAGGCUGCUCAGAUUUUAAAUAUGCAUUUGUCCAUUCACAAGCACAGAGGAGUUAGUAGAGUAAAAUCAAAUUAUCACUUUUUUUUUGGUACUAUUUCAUGUACUUUUCAUUUAUGCAUUUUUAAUUAAAUAAAGCAGGCUACUGGAAGCAGAGAGUCAAUUCCCUUGCCUCUCAAGCCACCAAAGAUGUUAGGCCAGAGUAACUCCAUUUCAGCAGCUCCAACCAAAAGGGUUCCUUUGGGUGCAAACCGUGUCGAAGUGGAAAAUAGGAAUGCUAAGACUACACUUGGUGAGAAGAAUCCCCUUGAAUAUAGAUCAAUUUCAAAGACAAUCAAAAGUCCUUUUGAUUGGCUUUUAACUGAAAUUUGCCUUAAUGCAUUACAGGGAAACGUUUGGUAGUGACCCGGCAACCAUGUUUGGUCAACUCUUGCAGUAUCAUCCCUAGCUCUACACCCUCCCCAAGAUCAUCUUCAGGUUCUGCCACCGCUACCAACAAAUCAACGGUUUCUUGUUCCCCAUAUGAUAGGUCUGAUAGUGCUUCAUCUGAUGCAACUGGUAAAUCUCCCUCAAACUCUUUGAGAAGAAAAAUUGAUUCAAGGAGUAUUAAUCUGGCAACCUCUGUCUCUACCCUCAAAACGCCUCUUCGAUGCUCAACAAAAACUAAAAAUGAUGUUAGAAAUUCUGGUCACUCUUCUAGUUGGUUCUCUAGUUCAUUGUCUGCACAGAAGCCUUCCUCUUGCACAUCAUCUACAAGCUCCUUUGAUGGAUGGUCAUCGGAAUCAUCAUCAUCAACUGUCAACCAAAGAUCUAAUGGUUCAAAAGCAAGUCUGGAUGGUGCUCCUUACCAAGGGUUUUCCUUUGACAAUGACAUCAUUCAAGCAUCAGAUAUUGAGAGCCAUCCACCUAAUCAAUCCUCUGUUGGAUCCAAAAGUCACAGAACAAGAUUGCCCAAUCAAUACAUCAAGAAAUGUUCAAUGGUUAAUGGUCCUGUUUCUCCAAAUGUUUCAGGAAACUCCAAACCUUCAAGUCUUCGAAUGCCAUCCCCAAAGAUUGGGUUUUUUGAUGUGGUUAGUUUUUGCUCUCUUUCCUUUUCUUUUUCAUUUUCAUUUUAGGUUGAUCAAAUCUUAUUUUGACUUCAGCUUUUGAUCUCAAUGUCUUUAAUGUAUGAUUUAUAAAACUACCAUAUUGAUAGCUUGAAUGUUGAUUUUCACUCAUGUCAGGAAAAAUCUAUGCCCACUGGACUGAAUGGGAGUUUCCAGUUUCGUUCUGGUGCACAAAGUACAUUGGCUAAAAGCGGGACUAGAAUCAGUAAUCUCAGUGGGGCUGCCAAUAGAGCAAGGCGGGGUAAGCUUCAGCCAGCAAGAACUUCAAUAGGGACUCAGAAUGUGAAGCGAGGUUCUCACCAAACUGAAGUUUCAUGUCCUGAUUCAGGAAUGAAUCCUGCAUAUCCUGUGCAGUUUCACAAUGUUGAAGAUGCUUCUAAGAAAGGGUCUGGCUUGUUGAGAACCACAAGAAGUCAUCUUGGGAUGACUGUAAAGAAUCAGAAUGUUUCAUCUACCAAAGUUAGUAGAGAAAAUUGCUCAAAAACUCCAGAAGUGGGCUCUAGUUCAAAGGCUGAAAAUAAAGGGGCUCAAGCAGUUUUGAAGGAUAGAAUGAGAAGGGAGAGCAAGGGAACAGUCCAUGUAAAAGCCAACAAGACUCUUACCAAGGAAGGUAGACCCCAUCAUUCUCGUGAGAAUAUGAAUCUCCAAAGAAAAGAGCACGAGGAGGUCAGCCAAAACAGUCCUCAAGAUAAUCAGUCUCUACUACACAUGAAUGAAAAGGAAAACUAUUUUGAAGAUCAAGUUGAUGGUUUAAGCAGACAGGUCAGUGUCAUUGAUCUCAGCAGGGAUGUGGUGGUUGAGCCUAGAGGGAAUGUCUUGUUCCAACCUUAUUGUCAAUAAUUCUGGAGCUUGUUAUUAGCCCAUUUCUCACGAAUGGCUUCUUCAUGGGGAAAAGGGCCCCCACCUUUCCCAGAGUAGGUCUUUUUAUAUUGUUGCUGAAACCUGUGUAGAUGGUCAGAGAUUGGAGUGAAAGUUCAAAGGUAACAGGGUCUGUUCUGUUAUUCAGUUUCACGUUGAAGCCUUUUUUUUAAGACAUAGCAUCAAACGCGAUGUAAUGUGAUGCAUUUGAUAUGAUUGUGUUGAAUGUUAUGUUACUUCUCAAAUGGUAAUGAAUUCAAUUCUUUUGUGCCUGUGGUCGUCUCACCUAAAUUUCCUCCAAACUCAAUCCCCCCAGCUCACUGGUGACAACCAUUCUGGGACUGCGACCCACCAUCCUCGAAAUCAUUCCUAGCGUCAAAUGGCCGGAAAUGACCAUUUCCUUAUAAAAGCCGGAUCCGAAACCCUUAAACACUAAGUAUUUGUAUUACUUAUUUGAAUUUCUUCCCCUCCCUCACACUUCACAGAGAGUUCUAACAUGGCUGUUUGCUGUGUCUUCGUAAACCCGACCUCGGAAUUGAUUGCCUUGCUCCACUUUGGUCUUGGUCUUUGGGCUUUCCAUUAACCCAUUUUCAUCCCAACUUAAAAAUCCUAGCUUCAUGAAUCAUGAUGCUGAUAAUUUAAAUUAACCUCUAGUUUGAUUACUCCUAGAGUGUUAACUUUAGAUUUAUCACUUAGUUUUUAUUUCUUUUAAUCCCAACUUCAAAUUUUUUCUAAAAUAUCACAUUGUAUUUGUUCUUAUAAAUUUGUUUGUUAAGCUUAAAAUAAAUUAAUUUAAGGGAAAAUAAGUAAGAAUCUACUUUAGCUUGAGCAUCUUUUUCCCUUUUUCCUUUCUUUUUUCAUUUUUUUUUUGGGAUUGGUGCCAUGCCUUGCCAAUUUCCCACAUCCUAUUCAUAUGGAGGGAAGUAUUUUUCUUUUUGUAAGAAAAAGCAAGUCUCAAUUUAGGGUUGUUAUUUGGUACCCACUCUUCAUUUUAGGUACCUACCCACAUUUGACCUCAUUAAUAAAAUAAUAUAUGUAAAGUACAUAUCAUUAAAAAAUUUAUAAAAACUUAUCAAACCGGUAAAAAUAACUUAUUGGUGAGAAAUAAUCACAUGUAUUUCAUACAUAAUGAAUUACCUAACUCUAUCUAAAAAAAGAAAAUUCUACCAACUACUCUUAUACUCUCAUUAUUCAUAUAUAAAAAAAGGGAUAGUAAUUUAAUAUGAAAGUUAAAUAAUUUCAACUACCAAAUUACAAAAUAUGUAAUAUGUAUUUUGAUGAAUCAAAUUUCAAGAUCAAGUUUAAAACUUUUUGAGAGAUAAAAUUUAAAAUUUGCAUUAUAUGAAGAAGAUGAAGGAUUUCAAGUGAUUACAAGUGUCAAAGGUAAUAUUUAAUUUUUUUUUAUCCAAAUAUAAUUUUUGUAGGAAGAAAUGUGAUGUUAAAUAAUGAUUUUAGAAUUUUUUAUGAGUUUAUUAUAAAAUUUUGUUAUCUAAUUGUUAUUAAUAUUUUUAGAUCUUUUUUUUUUUGUUCAUAAAUUAAAUUUGAAGAUGAAAUUUUAUAUGUCUUGAAGAAGACAUUAUACGAAGGAUGUCAAGUGAUUACAAGUGUUAAAAUGUAACAUUUGGUUUUUUUUUUUUCCAUUUACAUAUAAUUGUUGUAGGUAGAAAUGUCAUGUUAAAUCGCAUUUAAAUAUGUAAUGAUUUAUAACAUUUAGAUUUUUUUAUUUUUUAUGAGUUAUUAUUAAUCAAAUAGAGAACAUUUAGUCAUUUGUCAUGAAAUUGUCAUCAAUAUUUUUAUAUUAUUAUUUUGUGUAUUCGUAAACUAAAUUUGAAGAUGAAGUUUUAUAUAUUGAGAGGAGGUACGAAAAUUGUGAGCGAUGGUACAAACUUUGUAAAAGAGAGUACGAACUUUAUAAGAGAGUGUACGAACUUUGUAAGAGAUGAUAUAAACUUUGUGAGAAAAUGUACGAACUUUGUAAGAGAUUGUACGAACUUUGUGAGAAAUUGUACGAACUUUGUGAGAGAAGAUACGAACUUUGUAAGAGAUGAUACAAACUUUGUAAAAGAGGGUACGAACUUUAAAAAUAUAAUAUUUUAUAUUUAUAGUUGUUUAUAUUAAAUAUCUUUAGAGAAUUAGAGAAAAGUCCAAGAAUUGUUUAGAUCAGCCUAAAAGUAUUUUUUUAAAUAAAAAUUAAGGACGUGUUGGGUAACUAUUUUCAAAAAUAAUUUUUAAAAAUUACAUUUUCUCUAAUAUUUUUUAGAAUAGAAGUAUGUUUGAAAAUUUAAAAUAUUUUAACCUAUUUUUAAUAUUUUAAAUAUGUUUUAAAAUAAAUUUUAUAUCUCAUGUUUUAUUUUUAAUCAUUCCUUGUAUUUGUAUAAUUAUUUUUUAAAAUAAUUAUUAGAAAACAAGUGAAAAUAAUUUAAAAAUAUUGUUUAAAAACAUCCUAUUUUUUAUUAUUAAAAACAAAAAAUAAAAAAUAAAAAACAGUUUAAAAAAAGAAAAUUGUCAAACAUGUUUUUUUUUUUUUUUUUACUUUUUUUAUUCUAGAGAAUAGAAAAUUAUUCUCGAAAACAAUUAUCAAACACGUCCUAAGUAUUUAAUAAAAUUUAAGAAACAUUUUUAAAAAUUGAAAAAAAAUCACUUAUAAUGUUACAAAAAAAUUUAUAAAAUUUUUCAAAGAAAUAUUUUAUAAGUGAUUAUUCUAAAAUAUACUUUAGAAAAGAAAAAAAAAUAUUUACGAACUUUGUAAGAAAGGGUACAAACUUUAUCAAAGAGGGUAUGCACAUUGUAAGAGAGUGUCGUACAUUGUAAUUGUAAGAGAUGGUAUGAACAUUGUAAAAAAUUGUACGAACUUUGUAAGAAAUUGUACGAACAUUGUAAGAGAAAGUACGAACUUUGUAAGAAAUGGUACGAACAUUAUAAGAGAUGGUACGAACUUUGAAAAUAUAAUAUUUUACAAUUACGUAGUGUUUUAAUUUUUUAAUUUUCUUGAAAAUAGUUUUCAUCAUUUUUAAGCUUGAUUAGUAUCAAUAAACAAUAUUAUUUGUAUUUUUAGGUGGAAAAAAUCGAAAUUUUUUAAAAUUUUAGGAUAUGGAGAAUAUGAGGUAGGGUAUGAAGAAUGUGAGGAUUUCUCAUAAUCUUCAUACAUUUUCUCACAUUUUUCGUAUCCUCUUUAAUUUUUUAGUGUUUUAAUUUUCUAAUUUUUUUUUUAAAGAUAAUUUACAUUAUUUCCAAUUUUAAAAAUUUUAAAUUCUUUUUUUUUUUUUUUUAACAAUUGUAUAGUUAAAAAGUAAAUAUGAAAUUUAAAAAAUAUAAAUAAUUUAGGGUACAAAAAAUAUGAGAAUGGUGCGAAAAAUGUGAUAAAUACAUGUUUGGUACUUUCAUCACAUUUUUCAUAUUGAUUUUUAGUUUUAAAAUUUUUGAAAUUGCAAAUUUAUUUUCAAAAAUACUAUCAUUAGUAACUCAAAAAAGUAUUAUUAAAUUUUUUUAUUCUAAUUUAACUUUUAAAACCUUAAAUUCAAAAAAUGUAAAAUUUGGAAAGUACGAACAAAAAUUAGGAUGAUCUAAUUACCUAAGCUUUACAUAUGAAUCAUAUGAUUAUCAAAAUGUUGAAUUUUAAUGAAAAUACUCAUUUCAUAUUAAAAUAUUAUCAUAUCCAUUUUUAUGUUGAAUUCAAAUGUUUAAUAAUUUAUUAAAAAUAAAAUAAUAUAAUUAUGAUAUAUGAUGAUUUUUUUUUGUUAAUAAAUAUGUUUUCAAAUUUUAUAUUAUUUUUAUUUUUAUUUUUUUCCAAUUCUAUUUUUAUCUCAUAUUUAUUUUAUUAAAGGAGGAAGAAAGAAGGCCACCCAGUUCUUUCCUUAACUUUCUUUAACUGGUUAAGUGAAAUUUUUAUUUCAAAUUUAAAAUGAUGACCAAGAUGUAAUCUUGAACAUCCAAUGGCUUAGAAAAACUUUUCGGUAGGUACCAAAGAGGUACCUAGAAUUUUCCCUCAAUUUGAUGAAAGAGAAAGCAUUGAGAGCAUAAAUCUAAUAUCCCAAGCCAUGACAAGGAAACCCAAGAAAACCUGUGCAAAUGGCUCUACCACCAGACUACUUAACAGUUACGAAAUCCCCCCAUUUCAGCACUGGAGUCACGAGAUCAGAAUACUUGUUUAUAAGAUGCAACAACUGCAAUCUUCAAUUGAUCAUGGCAAAAUAACAGUGGAUACCAAAUUAAGUGGUCCAUUAAACAACAAUGAUACUAAAGUUUCCAAAAUUUUGUUCUAUACGACUAAUAGCACUAAGAUUUAAAUCAACACCAAGGCAAAUUCCAUCACAAAAUCAUCACAUCAUUUCCAUUAAGAAACAAGGAGGAAAGGGAGAGUGGACAGGGAAGAUAGAGCUCAAUCUCUCUAUAAACCUAAGACCUAGGCUUUUCCUUUUUCUCUUUAAAGAGAGCCAGAAGGGACACACCAGAUACCUUCACAACCUUGAAUCGGACUCCAGGAAUAUCUCCCACAGCAUGCCCCUUCCGUCCAAAUCCUGCAAUCAAGACCUCAUCCUGUAACCAAAACAAAUUAUGUACCCAUUAAGCAGUGAGUACAAAUGAUAAAUACAUUAAUAAAGCUAAACUAGCUCUAUAAUCCUGGACAACCCUUGAACAUCAAUUUAACAAUUCUAUGAAAUCAUCGUGCCCGCACCCCUAGCCACUCACAAUUUAGAAAAGAAUUAAUAAAGAGGAUCGGAGAUUGGGGUUGGGUGCAGGCUACAUUAUAGGGAAACUUCCCACUUCUGUCUAUAGAACUUACAUUUUCCUCAAUGUAGUUUAAGCAACCAUCAUUGGGUACAAAUGCUGCAAUCUUCUUGCCAUUUUUAAUCAGCUGAACACGAGCACACUUUCGGAUAGCAGAGUUUGGCUGCUUAGCCUCAAUUCCACUGUACAAGGCCAGCAAUAAGUCAUUCAAAUCCAAACUGAUGCAGUCAAUACUAAUGAAACAUGAGAGGCAAUAUAAGUCUGUCCUUACAUCUUUUCAAGGACGAUGCCCUUUGCAUGGGAUGACCCAGCAAAUGGCUUUUUCCACUCGUUGCCAAGGUUAGACUUCUUGUAUGCCUUAUCAGCCCACCUCUGCCUUAUGCGGUGGGACUUCAGCUUGCGACCAGCUCCCAUUCCACGAGUCUUCCUGCAGAAUGCUCACAUCGUUUGGAUCAUGAGUCCAUUUGACCACACCAAAACUCAAAACAAAAGACAUGCAACUCUAAAAUUGGAACCUACAAGAGAUAUACAAUAAAAUGGCAGUACAAGUUUAUGACUAUGCAACCAAAUCACUCAAACAAAUCUACUCCCCCUCCUCUCUCACACACAGAGAUGCACAUGUAAGCCCUUUUUCCUACAAGGGAAAUAAUUCAUCGAAUCUUUCCAUCAAAUCAAUACCCAAAAACUUAGAAAGACAUCAGAGUUGAUAGACACUACAUCUUCCAUACCUUCCGAAGCUCUUAGUUGAAUAGCACCAAGUUGAUUCAUGACAAAUCCAAUCAAUCUACUAAUCUUAGUAAAAACAUUUACUCCUUUAAAGAACACCAAGAUCAUUAAAAUCGUUCAAGCAACCAGUUGCCCUUGUGUGGCAGAAUUGUUUCUAGCUGAUUAUGUCAGUAAAUAGCUUUCUUUGAAGCAUGUCAUCAAUAAGCGAGAACAAAUUUAUUUUUCAUGUUCAUAUUUCCACUGAAAGAUCACUUCAAGAUUGCCCAACUAAGAAAUAAAGCUUGGGGAAUGGCAAUGCAAGACAGUCCAAAGACUCCAAACUUUAUUUUGCUUAGAAAUGAAAUCACAAUUUCAUAGUUCAAAUUUCAUCAUGUGCAAUCACCUCUCCAAGGAGCCCAAAACAAUUAUUUGGCAUAAUUAUACUUCUUUUAUUCAAAAAGACAAAAGGGCUUAAACAAUAAAUUUUAGGAUUUUACUUCUAGCAAGAGACAACCAGUGUUAGUGAAAAAUAAGAGAGAACUUAGUCACGCUACAUUAAAACAAUCUCAAAUAAGAAUAUCCAAGCAACUCCAUUGGGAUUUGAUUCGGAACACUAUGUUUACCAUUAUAUUUGGUUUCUGAGAAAACAUAGUAAAGCAAAAAUAGUAUAGCUUCUUUAACACGGAUUUUUCACGAUUCCCUCCUGCUUCCCACCCUCCCACCCAACAAAAAGAUAAAAAAAACAUCAACUAAUCCAAGCACAACUAUGAUUUUAGUUGAGGUCAGCUUUUUCAUUUUUGGAGACGAAAACAGUAAUCACGUAGAUUUUAAAAAUAUAAAAAAAUUAUUUUAUUUUACUCGAUUUUCACAGCAAUAGUGAACAAUAAUAUAAAACAGAUCCAUCACAUAAAAACUGCUUUGUUUAGUUUCUGCUUAACGUAGGUAAAGCCCAAAAAGGAAAAAUCAAACUACAAACCCCUAGAAGAUUGAAUUUUUCGGAUCCGGUGCUUACAUUACCAUCCGCCUUAGCUAGUUAAGUGAAUUCAUAUUCCCAUUUCAUUUUCUCGCCAGUUUCUCAGAAACCAAACAGAGUGUAAGAGGAAGAGAAAAAAAAAAAGAUGAAUUCAACACAGGAGAUCAGCCAUGAAUCUCUAGACCAUGUAUCAGACAGAGAAAAAAAAAACAGAAAAAGUAAAAGUGUUCUUACCCCAUGGCUGCUGAAAGACGAGACUCGGCUGAUGAAACCCUAGCCCAGAACCCUAAAACUGAUCUUCAGGGUGACGAUGUAUGGAUAAAUAAGGUACUGUUUGGCUGCAAAGACGGAAAUAGUGUGGCCUUUUCAUCAUAUUACGACUCUGUCCUUGAGAAAUUUACAGUCUCCUUGUUAUCCACGUGGCAGCUAUUAGUGAAAAAAUGCCAUGGUAAUUGUUGUGAUCUACAGCUUACGAACCGAUUGUUCAAGGUUUGACUGUUGACUAAUUGCAUAAAUGCAUAAGAUGUAGAUUAAAAAAAUAAGGUUUAAUAUAUAAAAAAUAAACGUAAGUAAAAGAAAUUGACAUCUAAGUAAAAAUAAAAUAAAUAUUAUUUAUAAAAUAAAAACCAAUAGAAGUUUUUUAUAAGAUGAUAAUUCAUUAAUUUGCUAUUGAAUGACAAUGCUUGUGAAUAAUUUGACUUAUUGUAAAUCUCUUUGGUUUUGACAAUUAUUUUUAAAAAUAUUUUUUUAUUUUUCAAAACAAAAACCCGGAUAACAAAAAAUUAUUUUUUAUUUCAAAAUAUUUUUAUAAAAUGUUUUUUUACUUAUUUUUACUUAUUUUAUGAGAAUUGUUUUAAAAAAUAAUUAUACAAACAUGCAUAAUGAUUAAAAAUAAAAUACUAAAUAUAAAAAUUAUUUUUUAAAAAUUUUGUUAUACAAAAUAUUAGAAAAUAAUUUUUAAAAAUUAUUUUACAGAACUGUUUUUUAAAACAGUUUCCAAACAAGCUCUUAUAUUUUUAUUUGUUAUCUAUCAAAACAUUAUUUUACACUCAAAACAUAUUAUGAAAUAAAAUAUUAAAAACUAUAUAUCUUAAUACAAUAAACUAGAUAGUGAGUUACUGCUUUAACAUAAAUAAUUAUUUAUAAAUUUAAUAUUUAAUCAUCAAAAUAUUUUAAAAAUUAAAUAAAAAUAAUAAUUUUUUAGUCUAAUAUAAUUAAAAAAUAAAAAUGUUUAAAGUAUUUUUUAUAUUUUAAUAAAAUAAUAUGUUAUAUAAUUAAAAUUUAGAAAAUGAAUAAUAAUAUUUGAGUUCAACUUCCAAUGGAUUGGUUAGACCUUCAACACCCACAACAAUUCUAAUAUUUUCAAUUUAAUAUUUUUUAGUAGUGGAAAAUCUCUCAUAUGUUAAAGAGCUAUCCAUGUGGAAAAUCUCUCAUAUGUUAAAAGAGCUAUCAUAUUGAACCCAAAUCCAGUAAGCUUGAACCCAUCACCAUUUGUUAAACUAAACUUUGAUAUUAGGGUGAACGAAUAAAUUUUUCAAAAACUAUUUAUUUCCCCAAUUUAUUAAUAUUUAAUAUUAUGUAAAAGCUUAUUUAUUUUCUCUAUUUGUUAAUUUUCUCAAAAAUUUAUUUAUUUUCCCCAUUUAUUUAUUCUCCUCCUCGCAAUUUUUUAUAUCUUUCUUUACAUAUCUCUUAUUUUUUUUAUAUCUCUUCUUAUAUCUCUUCUUCAGAACGUAGAUCGAUCUUACAAAUUUAAUCACGUAUAAAGGAAGGUGUUAAAAAGUAUAAUAUAUAUAUUGAACAAAAUAUGAACGAUUUGACAUGAUAUCAAAAUUUGAUUUGAUGGCAGAAAAACUUAGAAGAUCGUAAUUUAUGGUCAGAAAAGCAAGAUCAAAAUGAUCUUAUAAACACUAAUCCAUAAAUAGCAUUUCAAAGUUAUUUUUCAUGUCUAAAUAUAAAAGCCCUUCUUUCCUUACAUUCUUUUUUAAAACAAAGAAGAAAUUAUUAAUAUUAUUAUUAUUUUUAAAAAUGACAAGGAGGCUAGUGGAUAUGAUAUUAGAUAAUAUUCAAUAUUGCUUUUAAGUUUUAACAGCGGAAAAACACAACCCAACAACAAAUUUUGUUUAUUGGAAUAAAAGUGGGAUUGAAAAAAAAUAAAAUAAAAUGAUGAUCUACCAAAUAUUUAAAUACAAUUUAAUUCAAGUAAUGGUUGAUUGAAGUUAAAUAAUAAGAACCAACCUGGAUCGGGUCUAAUUUUCUCUCCAUAUGUGGUUUGAUUGAAUUGAAUGAGAGAUUUUUUGUUACUAGGGGUGAGCCAUGAGCAAAAAAAUUGCAUUAGAAAAGGAAGAAACUAAGAAAGAAAGAGAAGAAAUGGUGAUAAAAUUAAGACAAAAGGAUAAACAAAUCAUAGUGGUCUGAUAUCUGCUAGAUUAGAACAACAAAAGAGAAGGGGGGACACGCCCAAAUGUAGCUACAUAUAAUCUUUGUAAACAUUCAUCUUCCACUACCCAACCAACACAUAAAUUGCGUAUAUAAUUCCAGGUAUAUAUCCCAAGAUUGUCAGCAACAAGUCUAUCCAGAACUCUAUCUGCAAAUCCACAAGAAGCGAAUGAAUGAAUAUAUAUAAAUCUCAAAUGAUAAAAAAAGGCAGGAAAUGGGAAGAAAAUAUAUAAUUACUCCACAGCCAUAGCGGAGGAAGACGCCGACAGGAGGGAGGAGGAUGGCGAGGAUGAUUUCUAGGAAUGUCUCUGAACCCAUUAUGAUUGUUGCUUGUAGGUUAAAAUGUCGGUCGGUUGGAAUGGAAUUGAGGAUUUGAGAUUGAAGGGGGAUGGAGGGCAUGGGAAGAAGACAGUUAUUGAGGGAGGACAGGUGUUUGAUAGUGAGGAGGUUCAGGAAUCGGUGAGGACACGUAAGGGAGGUGUUUUGACACCUGCCUCCUGCUUUCUCUUCCUCUUGACUCGCGUUCUUUGAAUUCCCCCUCCAUCUUCACACAUCAUUUGGAAAAAUAUUUGGCGGUCUCUGUCAUGGGUCCAUUUCCCACCAACCAGACAAAUACCAUUUUGUUUUUACUUAUUUAUUCUCCUUAUCGCAAAAAAUAAAAAAAAUAAAAAAGGCAAAAUAUUCCAAUCCUGUCGUGCCUUCAUAUCAUGAAAUAAAUAAAUAAAUAAAGAUUAAAACUAAAUAUAAAAUAUAAAAAUAAAAUAAUGGCUUCCUUAAAUUUAUCAUUUUUUUAAUAUUAUUUUUUUCUUUAUUUAUUUUUUCUUAUACACAUGAAAUCAUUGGACCUAUUGCUUCAAAUCUUACUUUUUAUUUUUGUUAGUUAUAAUAAGAUAAGGUGUCUUAUUAGAAAUAUUAGAUUAUUGAAGUAUUAUUAACCACUUAAAAGGGAGGUUAAGAGAAGAUUUUUACAGACUUUUCUGCUUAAAGUGAUCUGCAACUUAUUUUACCCCUUAUAAAAAAAAAUUGUCUGAUACCUUUGUUCAUAUCUCCUUGCUUAUCAGAGUGCUCCUCCUUUCUCUAGGCUUCCGCUGGAUAAGUAAUAGAGACCCUAAAGCAUGACAGAGAUGGUGAUAUGGUUCAGGUACCCAUGGUUUUUCACCAAUAUAAUGAAUUUGAGGGCAUCUGAGAAUGCAUGAAUGCCAAAAUAUUUGCCUAAAAAAGGUGAUUACAGAAAUCUAAAGAUCAACAUGUAUAUCAAUUCAUUGAGGUGAAACCUGGAAACUUCACCAGUAAGUUUUCCACCAAUUGUUGCCAAUUCUAAGGGCCGCAUGGUUCUUUAUGUCUGACGGAGAAAUUAUCUGGGGUAAAAAAAAAAUUGAUAGAUUUAGAGGGAUGGAAGCUGACACUCAAGCUGAGAACUUGUAUUUUGGAACUCCAGGAUGAUAGUCUCAUCUUGAAGCCAACCAUAUUUAAUUGGACUGAAUUACCUACAAGAAAGAGCACACCAUGGAAGUCGCAAGCAUCAAGUAAAAAUCAAGUAAUCGUUUCUGCUGAGUGCUGAUAUGCCUUUCAAGAGCCAACAUGCAACUUAUAACAAAGGGGAGAAUUCAGAAAGCACACGAUAAUUUAUUUCAUUCCUUUUCUCCAACAAUGGGCUUCAUUUGUUUGUCAAGGCAACAGUGUAAGGGAAAAAAAUUUUGGAAUCUAACUUCCACCACACCAACCACAAAAUGUCCCAAGUUUCCAAAUUAUUUUUUGUCUACAUUCCAAGCAACCUAAUAGAGAGCGUUAUGUAACUCGAGACCCUGUUCCCAGAGAGCUACACAAUUCAGAGGAUGGAUGAUGGAAUCAUGGAACUGAAGAAAGAAAAUACAUGUGCUAAAAACAAUUACCAGGACAAAAAACAGGAACCUAUUCAUUCCUCUCUCCAAUAUUUUACUGCAUCAGUGACAAUUUUUUUACCAAAUUUGUGAGAUUAAGUGCAUGAAACCUACCACCUAAUCAAGGCUGAUAAACCUCUGGAAGCUGAAGACCCACACUUGAAGCAGAUUUUCCAAGAAUUCUCUUCAUUUCAUCUGAUCUAUCCACAGCAAUGUUAUAAGAGAGCAGUAACUCCUGCACAACCACCAUCAGUUCAAAAUUAGAAAUUAAGGUUGAGGUGGCCACCGGUUCUUGGAAUAUUUCCUUUCACAAAAAUCGCUUAAACUAUUUAUUAUUAAAUAACAAACAAUCAUGCACUUGUGAGAGACACAUGGACAAAAAAACAAAGUGAUAGCUAUAUUUAUUGUUAUGCAAAGGUAAGACAACCAUGAAUGGACUAAAAAUAUGGCAGUAUGCCCAUUUCUAAAAUUUGCCAUCCCUUUGUAGCAUUUCAAUAAUUUCAAUACAUUGAAACUAGACAAUAAAAAACAUAAUUCUUAAAUUAGGUACUUGGAUGUCCUUUGAUCUUGAGCAAUGAAAGGUUGUAAGGGCCAAUUUGGGGUAGGAUCCAAGUCUUUUGAAAUCUAAGUAGAGGUUGUCAAAGGUAGGGGAAGGUAUAGUUCUAGAAAAGGGGUCGUGGGUUCUCUAGUUGGAUUAAUUUCCCCAAACUCUUUUGGCUUUCCUUUUCUUUUUUCUUUUUUCUUUUAUAUUUUUUUUGGAUAAGUAAAUGUAGUUGUAUUAAGUCUUAGAACCAAAUGGGUUUAUUAUAACUUUUGGUAGCUUUGUUAGGACUAUGUGAAGAGUGAAGUGUUGGGAUUCUUUGAGCAAGGCCCUUUUGAAGGAAGUUUAAAUACCACUUUCUUGGUCUUAAUCCCUAAAAAAAGUGUAGAGUAGAAAAUUUAAAGGAUUUUAAGCUCAUCAGUUUGGUGAGAGCCUGUACAAGUUAGAAGGAAAGAUGUUGACAAUCAAACUUAAGAAAGUUGUGGAAGAAGUGGUCUCUAAUUCUAAAAGUGCCUUUCUAGAGGGUAGACAAAUUUUAGGUGUCGUUCUUAUUGCAAAUGAGGCCAUUGAUUCAAUGAUGAAGAGCUUCUAUAACAUUUUUUAUUUAUUUUUUAAUUUUUUUUUAUUUAAUGGAAACUUGACAUUGAGAAGGACUAUGACUAUGGUACACCUGUCAACUUCUUUCAAAGUUCAAGGGGUUGAGGUAAAGGGAUCCUCUUUCUCCCUAUUUAUUCGUUUUGGUGAUGAAUACUCUUAGUUAUCCUUUAAAGAGAGUUAGGGAGGAGGGUUUCAUCUUUGGUUUUAAAGUGGGAGAUAAGGACAAUGAGGGAGUGUCUCACAUGUUGUUUGCCAACAGCAUUCUUACUUUUUGUGAUACAAAGAUCAAAUGUUACAUCUUAGUUAGACUUUCAACAUGGUUUGAGACAAUUUUUGUGCUAAAAAUCAACCUAGGAAAAAGUGAGUUAAUUCCAAUUAGGGGUAUUACUAAGGUAGGGCAAUUGUUUUGAUAGUUGUAUUAAGGUGUAGACUAGGGGAUGCUCCCUCACAUGUAUCAGAUCUCCCUUUGAGAGUUUCAUACAAAUCAUCAACAAUUUAGGAUGUGGUGGAAGAGAGGUUUUACAAAAGACUUGCAAUGUGGAAAUGACAACAGCCUGUCAAAAAAAAGAAAGAAAAAAAAAAGGUUUAAUAAAAAAAAUGCCCUGCCUAGCCUCCUAAUUUAUUUCAUGUCCUUAUUUUCAUUCCAAGAAGGGUGAGUAUGGGAUUGGAAAAUAUUCAAAGGGAUUUUCUGUGAGAAGGGGGAACACUUGAAAAAGUUCACUUAGUGAAAUGGUCAAAUAUUUGUAUGGAAAAGAAAGAAAGGGGGGUUGGGUAUUCGUGAUUUUUAUGUUUUCCAUAAGGCUCUUUUUAGGAAGUGGAAUUAGAGGUUUGUAUUGGCAAGGGAACCUCUAUGGGAGCAGGUUAUCAUACGAAAAUUCAGGAAAGAAGAGGGAAGAUGAUGUUCUCUAGAGGUGAAUAGGGGUUUGGGGUAGGGUAAUGGAAGGCAAUAAGGAGAAGAUGGAGAUUUCGAAAGUAAAAUCUAUUUCUUUAUGGGCAACAAAAGGAGAGUAAAAUUUUGUAAGGAUACAUGGUGUACUGAUACACCUCUGAGUACUUCUUUCCCUUCAUUGAAUGUAUAUGGUGUUGAUACGUUCCUUUUGAGAAUGCAAGGAAAAUCAAUAAAGAAGGGUGAUGAACAUAGGGUGACUUUGAUGGUUUCAAAGAGUGGCAACUUCUCAAUUAAAUUCUAUUACUCUUCGAUGGUACUGAGAUCAUAGUCUUCUUCUGUGGAUGUUAUUUUGAAUUCAUGGGUUUCAACAAAAGUGAGCUUUUUUUUCCUAGGAAGUGGUUUGGAAACGAAUUUCAACUGUGGAUGAGUUAAAAAGGAAAGGAUGGACUUUGCUGAAUAUAUGUUCUACGAGCAAAGGAGAGGAAGAAUCUGUUAAACUCUCUAUCAUUAUGCCAAAGAAAGAAUCUUAUGUCAGCUAGUCUUCUCCUCAUUUGGAAAAGUAUGGUGCUAAAUUCUUUAGUGUAAACAAUACAAUACUUCUAAGUUGACAUAGAUCCUUUAUCUGAAAGAGGCAGAAGAAAGCAUGGAAAGUUGCUCCUUUGAUUUUGUUUUGGACCACUUGGAAAGAGAGAAAUUGAAGGUUUUUGACAAUGUGGAGCUUUCAGAUCAAGAACUAAAAAACCUGUUUUAUUUGUAAUUUUUUGGAGAAAGUAAAAGGGGGUCAUUGAGGAGUUGUCUAUGUCUAUGGUAGAGUUUGUUGAUUGGUUAGGUUGCUAGUAAGGGGUGGGAGUGUUUUUUGUUACUCUCUUCUUGUUUUGCUUGCUUGUUAAAUAUAUAUAUAUAUAUAUAUAUAUAUAUAUAUAUAUAUAUAUAUAUAUAUAUAUAUAUUUUGUGUGUGUGUGUGUGUGUGUGUGUGUGUGUGUGUGUGUUCUUCUCGUAUAGAUAGGGUAUGACCCUUUUCCUUGGCACUCUUUUAAUAGAUGCCCAGUUUGCUUAUCAAAUAACAAUAAUUCUUAAAUUUUUUAAUCUGUUCAUCCAAUAUUGAAAGAGCAGAUGCAAUUUUUUAUCCAUCAUGCCAUAAGACUACAAUAUGUACCUCAAAUGUGGUAAAGAGAAUAUCCUAAGAUUGAAUUCUCAAAGGAUCAAACUUGGACCAAAUGUAUUCACUUUAAGUUCAACUGAGUUAUAAUGUAAUGAAUGAGAUUUCACUUCAAAAUCAGGCAGGUCUCAUUUGCAAAAUCAGCAAUCUGAAAUCAAAUCUACUAAACCAUCUAAGAGUAUCUGAUCAAAGAUCCACAUGUUGAAAAGAAUAUAUAUAAGAUAGCAUACUCCCCUUGUAAGUAACAAAGUCCAAUGCCCAAGAAUUUUAAGGCUCUAUUUGGUUCUUAGAAUUUAUGAAGGAAAAUGAAAUAGAAAAAGAAUAGGAAAAUAAAGUAUAAGUUUAAACCCAAUUAAUUUUCCUCCACUACAUCCCCAACUUUCUUCAUUUCUUUCAAGCAAAAAAUGAGGGGGGCUUUCACUUUUUGGAGUUUACAAUUUCCCCCUAAUUUCCAUCUUCUUUUCUCUUUCUUAGGAUUUUCAAUCACUACCAAACAACAAAACUAGGUAAUUGAUCCAAGUUUUCUUCCAAUUGCUUCUUGUUACCAAGAUGAAAACAGAACAUAAAAAUUUAGGAAAGAAAGAGAGCAAUACCUUGUGAUGGUGCACACUGUUAAGCAGAUAAGUGUAAUCAUGGGCAACCUUUAAUUUUUGUUGAAUAGAUGAGAGGUCCAGCAGUCCACGGUUCUUCUGAAACUCUUGUGUUAUAUGGUCUCUGAAGUGCCUUUUGUGGUCUUCCUUUCCAAUGUGAUUCUUGACAGCUUUGAGAAGUUGGCGAUAUACCUUAGUAGCUUGCAAGGCUUCAGAACCCAUUUCCGCAGUUUGUCCUUCUCUUGAUCUAUCUCUUUUUCACCUUUUCUGCAAUGCAGUUUGUAUUUAACAGAAGCACCUCUCACAAACUCAGUGAAAAAAAAAAAAAAAAACAAAACUCCAAUAUUGUUUACAGAUGAAAAACUAAUAUAGAAAAAUCUUGAAGGCCACUGCACAUCACAGGUGAAGAAACUGGAAGUUAGCCAUGAUUAAAAGAAUGGACUAGAGCAAGUAAUCUAAUAUCUUAAUCCCUUUAAACCUGGCUCAGGAGACAAGGAUUUUGUGCUAGCAAGCAGGGGGUUUGGGUGAGAAAAGUGGGAGGUUCCAGGUUUGAGUUCCAACAGGUACAAAGAAAAAAAAUCUGUAUAUCUAUAUCUAUACACACACACACACACACACAAAACAGAACAAACAAAAUCUUUUUCCUAAUAAAAAAUCUAGUGUCUAGAAUCACAAAGAUAAUGUGAUAUCAGGAAAAAGACAAAAGAAUAGCUUGCAAAUAAUGGAAGAAAUCUCUAAAAGGAUGUUAUGUAGCUUACAGCUAGAGAAAUCUCCUUAGCAAUAGGGCAUGUAAAAUGCACACGUACAUUACUCACAGAUCUCAUAUGAGAAUUUGCAAAAUUGGUGAUAAAUAACACUGGUUCUCAACUAUUCAUAGGAAAUGAUACAAAUAAAGAAGUCUUCAAAAUUGGAUCUCUAAGGCCUGGGAAGCAACAGAAUAGAGUAAACAAGAGAGUAGACAUUCAUAAUAGCUAAGCCAAUGACCAGAUUUGUUCUCAAACAGGCACAUGCACAAACAGCACACAGAUAGAGAGAGAUCUAAAGUCUCCAACAUUACACUGAUUUUUUUUUUUUGAUAGACGAAGACAACUUGAAUUGAUAAGACGCAAAAACAGGGGGGCAAUAUUACACUGAUUUGUGCAUAGCAAAUCAUACACUUGUGUCAAAAUGUGCAUUGUGCCAGAAAUUUUGACCAUGUGGCAUGACAAGGGCUCUUAAGAGACUUAUGUUGAUCAUGUGGUUCCAUUAAUGAAACUCAAAUUACUCAUCAAACAAGUAAAAGGCUUAGCCACCCAUGGAGGACAUUGCUAAACCAAGACAAAUAAAAUUACAGCUUAUCAAUUCUUUGGUUUACAAAUUUUGAAGUACAUUCCCUGCAUCUUGAAGCAGAAAGCUAAGUAGUAUCCCAUCUAAAGAACCAAAUAAAAGAAAAAAAGAAGAGUCUUAAGAUUCUAAACAUCCAAUUUAAUAAAAAAACAUGCCCACACAUAACUUUUGCUAAUAAAUUUUUUUAUAAUGAAUUAUAAAUCCAAGCACUAGCAUCACAUCAACAUUUCCUACUAAAAUAUGGCAUUAUGCAGGAAACAAACAACUAAAAGUAUGAUUGAAAUACUUUUAACCGCAAGCAAACACACGAAUCCUCAUCACCAUACCACCCAUACUUUCAAAUUAAGAGCAGAUUGUGCUAUCAUCCAGUGAUAUAAUUAUAAGUUAUAACUGUUGUGUCUCUAAAAAAUGCCUUUUUCUUUAUUCAGUUUCUUAUAUGCAAAUACUUCUCAUUCUGUGUCCAAUGCUCAUUGGUGGGUUGAUAACAGAAAGAAUAUGCACAUUUACUUGGAUACAAACUUUCGUGUUCUAGUGAAUACGAAAGUUCGUGUUUACUACAAGACGAACCUCGUCUUGUAGGCAAGACAAGAUCUCAAACUCGUCCACUUCAAUAACUAUGUACCAAAGCACAAAACUGCACCAUCACAUAUCUAGUAAUAAAAUUAAAUUAACUGCAACAAAACUAACUUCAAAAUAUUUUCAUAUUAUUAAAUCUUUAUGUUACAACAUGAUCUAUAAGCAACAUUUCUUAGAAAACUUGUAAGUAAAAAUCAGUGACUGGAAAAUAAAGGAAGAUAUCUGAAAUCCAAUUUUUGUCUCCUAGGUCUUUCAUUGUUUGGAACAUGGCAAAACCAAGACCUCCAGUCAAAAGAAAAUUUUCUAUGACAACCAUUAUGCUCAAUUGAUUUAAGUUUUCCAUUCAUUUUCUUGGAAACCAAAUAAUCUAACAUAAAUUUAUUUUCCCCACUUUUCUCAUGGACUCCAAAUGUAGGGUAGGGUUUCUAAGCUACUUAUGUCUGAGUUUGGGAUGGAUUGGCAGCAACUUGGAGCAGUGGUUGAAUAUUUACUCUGGUUCUAGCAGAUUUUAAUAAUUCAAUCUAGAGGACUUUGGUUCUGCCCAAGGAACCAGGUACAGUAAAUCUACCAAGCCCAACCUGAGCUCAAACCUGGAUCAAUAUUUGAGCUCAGCUCGAGUUAGAUUAGGCUUAGGCUAAUCCAGUUAGGUGUAGAAUCUAGUAGAGGUUGGCAACCCAACUUUUCUUUUAUCCUUUAUUUUCUUUACUUUUUCCAUCAAAUUUCCUCUUUUUUUCAAAGCAACCAAACAAUGUCAAAAUCUGUUUUUGGUUGAAGUUGGACCCGAUUUGUCAUCAUGGGACUUAUCGACAACAAGACAAGGAAGUCAUAUAAUCAAUAUGGAUGCUGAAGAUCUUACUAUUCAUGCCAUUUCAACAUAAUUAAAGCUAUUUAAUGCACUCAGAGGAAAAUCAGAGCGUCAGCAAUCUUCACAUAAGGCAAGUGGCCUAAGAAACAACUGCCAUGAUUUCGUUUUACCAGCAGAAAAACAACUGCAGUGUCUCAUUGAUGCUGAAAUUGAGUUCAAGGACAACAAGAUUAAGAUGUAGCUACAUUGUGCACUGUACUAAGCUAUUCAUAAAUCAAACAGUUUUAAAUAUAAGAUUUUUUGCUUAGAGUCAUAAACCUUCGUCAAAUUUAGACCACAAUAGAUUAAUUUUUCAAUAGAAUUAUUAAUCCAGUAUGUAAAAUAUUGAUUAUUUAUGAACUGGCUUUGCUUUAGUUUCUGAUUCAACAUUACUUUUUCUACUAGCUUCGAGUCGCUUUGACACACUAUUCAAACAUUGAGCAGAUUGAGCAAAAUUGAGCAAUAAUUCAGUCUUUCCAGGAAAUAGUCAAAUUAAAAUGUGGACUUUUUAUAGCCAUGAUUUUAGGUAAAAAUGCAUAAGAAGUUAAAGCGUACACAUUGAAUUGUUAAACAAAUGGGUUAUCUCUUAUGGGGCUAUAAAUUUAUUCUAUUCUUUUGGUCAAUCGUAUAAACUAAGAGUUAUAAGAAAUCAAUCAAACAUAGCUAAACGUUAAUUCAGAACUUUAAUGGUUUAUUAGGACGAUCUUCUUUACUGCAAAGACUUUCCACCAUCCUCUAACCUGCUAAUAUUACCGUUAAAAUUAACCGAAGUGACGACCAUAGAAACUCCAUAAUUCAGAAAAUUUUUCCGUUGAUUGUUAAACUGUUUGCUCCUCAUUUCAACUCCAGUUUUCCCUCCCAUUUAUAUGCCUGAGAAAAAGGGAAAAUAAAUCGGAAACUAGAGAACACUAGAUGAUUAAGGUGUUGUUACCUGGUUUUUCUUGAAGAAGCGAGUGAUGGAGAUCAAGGACAUAAAAAAUCCUGCACCGGGUGAGAGAUUGAGAGAGGUAUGAAGAAGGUGUGGGAUGGAGUGGGAAUCUAGGGUUUAUAUAUAGGACAUGAUAAGAAAUAUGCAAAAUAGUGAAGGACAAAUUUGUAUUUUCAAUGUAAACGGGCCCUGUAAGGAGGGUGGAAUAACAUUAAACCGUCAAAAACCUCCCAUACGCAACCCAUUGCGAGUGAUAUGCGCUUGGCCUACUUAUUUGCAAGCUGGAAUGAGGAGGGCUAAAAUGUCGUGUUGGGCUUGGGCUGUUGGGCUGAUCCAGCAACUUUGAAGUCCAAAUUAAAACUGAAAAAAUCUUACUAAGCAGACUUUGGAUGAGAAUUGCCACCCUUGUGAGUCACGCCCACGGCCCACCUAAAUACAUAAAUUAUAAUAAUGAAUCACUCCAUGAACACGUGGGGAACCGAACAUAUUGUAGAGGGUGAACCGUAGAGUAACGCUUGUGGUGGGGGUUGUUAAUAUUCAAAGCCCUGGCGUCUCUCACACGAGCUCUGCUCUCGAACCUCCUCCUUUCCUGUCAAAACACGUGACUUCAACUUCCACUACAUCCUUCAAGUUAAGAUUCUCGGCUUUCCUCCAUUUUUUCUGUCACCAAAACCCCUAAUUUCUCCAUUCACUGAAUUUUCCACUUGUUUUUUUGGUCUUCAUCCGUUUUUCUGUUUCACGAAAUUCAAUUCGCAAUACAGACAAUUGGAAUCGGCGAGGACGAUAUCGAUUCGAGGCCAUGUUGCGCCAGAGAUCCAGAAAAGGCCCGUUGCCUCCGGCUCAGGAGGUAUUUGUCGCUGUUUGUAUAAAUGGGUUUCUUUUUUCUCCCCAAUUUGUUGAUCGCGAUUUUUAGAUUUGAAACUGUUGGGUUGCAUUAUCUAUUUGGUUAAUUCGUCGGCUUCUCGUUACUUUUGUUAUGCAUUUUUGUAAACGAGUAACGUGGAGUCGUCUGUAUGGUUGCCCAGAAAAUUAAGGAAGCGAAGAACACGAAAUGAUAUUUUUUUUGUUUUUUUUUUGUUGGGGUACACUUUCUGCUCUUUCUUUCAUAAGAGAAUAAAGCGAGUCAGCUUGUUUACUUUUUAACUUUGGUUUAUUUGAGUUCUUUCGGGCUUACUCGAUCACGAGGUUUGUGGGCAUUGAUGUGAUUGGCAGGAAUCAGAGAUUAGUCUGCUUCCCCCAGAGUCUUCUGAGUAUGAAAAAGGGAAAAUGAAAAGGAGGAGGAAAGGACUAAUUUGGCUUAUUACAUCCUUUUUUAGUGUUACUUUUAUUGGAAACAAAUAAAGAAAAAUAAAGGGUCAGUUUUGUUCUGUUUUUAAGUAUUUGUUGUCAUCCAAAAUGCGAAGUAAAUGAUCAUGGAUUGGAAGUUUGUUCAUCAUCUUUGCAAACUGUUUUCUUCAUUGCGUGGCAUAUUACUUGGGGAUGCUGAAAAAAGGCUUUUGUUUUCUGUUCAUUUAAUUUUUUUAAAUAAAUUUGGAAAUUCUUGUCUGAAAAUGAAGCUAAACUCGAUAUAAAUUUUAGUUUUUUUUUUCCUCUUAUUUUCCUAUGAUUUCCAGAAACGAAACAGAGCUUAGAUCAAAUGUGGGGAUGUUGAAGCUGAAAGUUAAUAUCAAUUGUUUUGGAGACCUUGUCAAUUUAAAACAAUCUAGUUUGAACUUAGGGGUCUUUUUUUUUUUUUCAUAGGCAAGUCUUGGGUUUAUUAUGUCAAAAUAUUGUGUGAAUGGCCGAAUUCCUUGGCCUUGAGUUUUGUAUAUUAUAUAUAGACUUUACAAGGAUGCUAUACAUGGAAAGCAAAUAAAAGCAAAUAAAUUCCCUCAUGAUUCUAGUCCUAUACAUGUAAACUAUAAUCUGUCAAAUAAUAUAUGCUAACUGUACAGAAUAAUAAAUGGAGAAAUAAGGAAACAAUUGUAGGCUAAAAUAAGGAAAGAAGUGUGGGUUAAAAUAAGGAAAGAAGUGUGGAUAGCAAAGCUGUCCUUAGACAUAUUAUAAGUAAUGAAACUAUCUGAACUUUCUUGUUACUCCCUUUUUUUGAGGUUUUGUUUCUGGUCAUAGAGGUUUUUAUUUGAUUAGGAAGAAGAUCUCUGGCCGCCUUACAAUUUUUUUGUCUGUUAAAUGCAGCAUAUUGAUAAAUUAGAGAAAACUGUGAAUGAUGGUGAUUACUAUGGAGCUCAACAGAUGUACAAGUCAAUUAGUGCAAGGUAUUGGUUGUGAUAUUUCUUAACUAUCUAUUUCCUUUUUAUUUCUACUUAUAUUUCAUUUUCUGUUUAAUAAUUUUUUAUUGGGGGUAUGGAAUUAUUCUGAAGUCUUGGUAGUUGGUAAAUAUGGUAUUUCCUUUUUUAGUUGAUGAUCCUCAAUAGAUUUAAUUGAGGGGUUGUACUCUAAUUUCUAGAUUGGGGCUGUAAUUGAGGGUUGUUUCUUUUUGUUUCCUCACAUGUUUACUUCUUGUGUAUUAUGAUCACCUCUUGUUGAUUGACAUUUUUAAUAUAUAUAUAUAAUGCUUAUUUGUCUAUCAAAAAAUGGAUCACAAUUCUCUAUCACUUAAGUAAGAUAAUGCAUGUGUAGGGCUGCGGCCCAUGUACAGUCGUAGUAGAUGUGGUAUGCCUGUACAUACUGUUGUCAAUGUAGCAAUAAUGCUAAUCGCCAACAAUUAAGGGGAGGGAUUAGUUUUGUGUGUUUGCCUCGCUAUUUGGCAAAUCCUUUUGAAUUGCAUUGUAUAUGUCCUGUGUACCUUAGUGCAUAACUCCUUUUAGAAUUUUAAAAUAUAUUCUUGCUUAUGAAAAAAAGCCAGUGCAAAUUGCCAGAUAAAUAAUGUGAGCUCAAAGAAUUUUAUACAUUUGUUUUCUUGAGAGGUCUUUAUUUGUCACAAUCAUUUGAACUGACUCUAUUGUUUUUGAAUUUGUGCAUGCUGAUGAAAUAUGAAUAACCACAGAUAUGCAUCUGCUGAAAGGUGCUAUGAGGCCUUGGAUAUCCUUGAGUCAGGUGCUUGCAUCCAGUUGGAAAAAGGACAGGUUAUACUAUUUGUAGUUAAAAAUUUCCCAUGUUAUAGAAUGAGGUUGUGUUGAAGUUGCUAAUAACCAUGCUAUACCUAUUUUUUACUUUUUCUUGGAAUGUUCCUGGGUCCUUUUGCAAUUUCUCUCUAAGCUUACAUGUGUUAAAAUAGAUGAUGUUACUUGCUAGAUAGCAUGCUUGUUAUAGUAUGCCAAGUUAUUUUUAUCUUUUUCUUCAUAUAUUUUUCCUUUCUUCGCAAAAAGAAAAGCAGUUGGAUUAUACCUAUCAAAAAAAAAAAAAAAA